rnacentral:lncRNA from 1 species
UUGAAUCCAAAUCAAACAAAAAUUGCACUUGAGGAAUCCUAGUUUUUUUUUUUUUUUUUUUUUUUUUCUAGGAGCACUCGAGGAAUUCUAGUUAAGAAUGUAAUCUAGAACAUGUGUCAACCAUCUUCAUCGUUCCUAUGCCUUCUCUCUUAACAAAACCUUUGGAAUUUCACAAACUACUACAUACACUAGUUUAGAGUUCUCUGCCAUGAAAUAUCUCUAGGUGUAAAAAACGAAAUUAAGAAAAUAUGGAAUCAAACCAUGCAUGCAUAUCAAGUUCACUAUCAAAGUUCUAGCCUAUUAAACGUAACUAGCUAUAUAGGCUAUGUCACUAUUGGUGUCCCAAAAUGAUCGAUGCAUAAUUGAGCAAUGCGCGUGUGUGUAGCUGUAGGUAUAGUAGUAGUGUAUAAUGAGGAGCAGAGCAUGCACGUGCUAUUGAGUUUGUGCAACAUGGUACGCUAAAAUCAGUUCGUGGGGUCGCAUAUAUUUGAAAAAUAUAACCACAGUAAAACUCGAAAAAACAUUUCUCUGUUGAUAUGAAUUGGAUCCUAUGCAUUCAUUUCUGAAUUAUGUUUCCUUUCCCGACAUUUAUGUUCCUCAUUUAAAACUCAAAAUAUUAUUUCUAGUAAUAUUAUUCUAUCCCCUACAAUUAUUGAAAUUUCACCAAAGAAAAUACUAUAAACUAAAACCGAAAAAAAAAACACAUCAGUUUUUUUACUAACACACCUUCUAAACUACAGUACUAAUGUGGUUUGUGUCAGUGACUUAUUUGGUCUCUUUGGAAAAGUAACGAUUCAUACUAACAUAACAUCUAUUAUAUGUCACAAAUUUAAUGUAAAUUAAGAAAUAUAAAUAUAUAUAUCCAAAGUUAUUGACCAAGAAAAUGAAGAAAAAGGGUAUAGAAAAUGUUCAGUUAAUCUCUGCAGAUGGUCCUUACAAGUCUGCAACCAAUACUCUGAAUCUGUUAUAAUGUAUUCCUCUGCCAAUUGAUAUCUUUUUCUGGUCAAGGAAGAAAACAUCUGCUUUAUAUAUUUUAAAGUUUCACCUAACAUAUUUCCUUAAUUUGACCUUUGUAUGUAUAACCUAAUAUGAAGUGUCUAUGCAUUUAAUCAAAAUAUGUAGUUGCACAUUAAAUUCAUUUAUUAAUAAACAAGGAUUUGAUAUAUUUUAUUUUAUUUUCGGUUUUUAAAAAACUUAGCAAAAGUUCGAAAGGGGAGGUACGAAUUGCCUUUAUAGUGUAAUGAAUAUUGCAGAAAUACUAAACUCUAACCAAUCCCUUACAAAAGGAUUUAUAGCAGCCACUUCUGCAAUAGAUGGUUGGGUAAUUAAUCUGAAAUCAGUAAAUGGUAGAUUGAUAUGGCAAGAAAAAGUUAAGACCUCUAUAUGAAAAUUGGAAAUAUCUUCUGUAGAUUAUGGAGAGAGCGAGAGAGAGAUAUAGGGAUUGGUGAUCAGAUGACAUUGAAGUGUGCGUGUGAAACAAAUUGUUGUGGUUAGAAGAAACGCAAACAGUCAAUUCAAAUGUGCUUUGAGCCUUUUUUUGGGCAUUAGUUCGGACUAUACUUCGGAUGUUUAGUUUCAUCCUAGGACUUCCCAUUAUUUCCAUUAGCAACCAAAAAUAACGUUAGCAAGCAUUUAUUAAAAUAAAAUAUGUACAUUUUUAAUUUGAAGGCUUUUCUUAGGUAGAUAUACUCAAUGGUUUUUUAGUGAAAUUUUGGUAUAAAAAAUAGUAUAAGAAAAAUGAGCUUUGGUGGUGAUUGAUAUUAGGGUUUAAAUCAUGAUUCUACUAUUAUUAUAUGACAAUAUUAUUUAUUCUUAGCUCAUAGAUAAAACUAACUGAAAAUUACUAUCUUUUAGUUAUCUUAAAAAAGAAAAGUUAAUAUCCCUAAUCCAAAGAAGUAAACCACAUUGGUUUACAAAAGUUUAUAAACCCACAUAAUUUUUCCAGCAAGCAACAAUAUAAUGUCUUGUUUGGGGCAACAAAGAACAAAAGCAGUUGAACUAAAAAAUGAUGUUUACGGAUGUUUAACAACUUUUCAUCUCUCCACUUUUCCAAACACAACUCAAACUGCUCACAACGUAGGAAACGUGUUCCCUGUCCUCUACUCUCUUUUUUUCUGUCCAACCUUGUUUUGGAUUAUUUCUUUCAUCUCUAUAUAUAUGCUUUCACAUUUAUGGGUUUUCUCAACAAAAAAAAAAACAAAAAAAAAAAUUAUCCAAGACUUCAGUGAGGAUUAUUGUGAAGAUGACUUUGGACACUAAAUUUGAUUUAAUAUAUGCAAUGUAUAAAUACAAAUAUAUAUAUAUCAGCUUUCAGAUCAGUCCGUGACAGGCCAUGAGAACCUUUUAACAGUUGUAUAACAGCAUUUUGUCAGAAAAUAAGGUCACAACAUAUAUACACAUACACGCACAUAUCUUAGAGCCAUACGUAAUAAUAUCACACCAAAUAUCAAUUAUGCUAUACAAAAACUCACAUUUAAUAUUGCAUCAUAUAUCUUCUCUUCCAAUGAGGAUUGAGAUGGUGCAUAUAUACUGACGUGGCGUCCGCGUCUCUCUCCAUAACACUUUGCUUCCCAUCUUCUUCGUCUUCGUUCUCACCUCAUCACUACCCAACACCAACAUUGUAUCAUGUCGGAAGAUCACCACCCUUUGAUGGAUCAGACCGCUUCAUCAGACGAAUACUUCUCUUUAAACAUCAACAACGAUCAACAUCUCCGUAGCUACUCCAUAAGUCAUAGAGAAGAAGAGAUUAGGAACUCUUAUCUAAGUGAUCACAGUAAGAAAGACACAGCAAACUAUGGAAGCUGUGGACACUCCUCAAAAGGUUCGGUGUCGAGAGGACAUUGGAGACCCGCUGAAGAUGCUAAGCUCAAGGAACUAGUCGCCGUCUACGGCCCACAAAACUGGAACCUCAUAGCUGAAAAGCUCCAAGGAAGAUCUGGUACGUUGACAUAUUCUAUACCCCUUAUUUUAAGCUUUUUUCAAGAUUCAGGUUCUUGAUAUUUUGGGUGUUAAUGUUGAGCAGGGAAAAGCUGUAGGCUUCGAUGGUUUAACCAGCUAGACCCGAGGAUAAACAGAAGAGCCUUCACGGAGGAAGAAGAAGAGAGGCUAUUGCAAGCUCACAGGCUUUAUGGUAACAAAUGGGCGAUGAUAGCAAGGCUUUUCCCUGGAAGGACUGAUAACUCUGUGAAGAACCAUUGGCAUGUCAUAAUGGCUCGCAAGUUUAGAGAACAAUCUUCUACUUACCGUAGGAGAAAGACGAUGCUUCCUCUUAAGCCACUCAUUAAACCUAAUCCUCACAUUUUCAAUGAUUUUGACCCUACUAAGUUAGCUUUGACCCACAUUGUUACUAAAGACCAGAAGCAGCUUAUGUUGCCCAUUCCUUGUUUCCCAGGUUUGAGUUGGUGUUCUCUUUCCCUUUCGGUUUACAACUCCCAUGUAUCUAUACUUCCAUCUCUUAAGCUUCUUCCAAUUUUGUGUACCACUUAGGUUAUGAUAAUGGAAACGAGAGUCCAUUAAUGGUGAGUAUGCUCGAAAACGAAAUGGUGGUCGGGGAUUACACUGCAUGGACACAAGAGGCUACUACAUUGGAUUGUUUAAACCAAACCGAGAAGAGUGAGAUGUUUGAAAGAAUGAACGAGGAGAAGAAACCACUGUUUUUCGAUUUUCUUGGGUUAGGGGAGGGCGUGAUCUCAUCAUCAUGAUGAACAACAAGACUAGCUUCAGUUAGUUAACAACAAUUAUGAAAUGAUUUGAGUCCUUAAAUUUGUCGUUGUAGUUUAAUUUGUUGCGUUAAUAAUCAAAUUCAAUUAGAUUAAACGUUGUUGUUCCUUAGUCACAUGCAACAUUCCUAACGCGUAUAUAUCAGUACGUACGUACAUAUACCCACUCGAUAAAUUGGUCAAGAUAUUAAUUAGUGCUUUUUCAUUUAUGUACAGUAGAUGCCAAAUUGUCUCACCUUCAAAACCAAACUUGAUUUGAAGUAUAUAAAACAUAUGUGUGUGUACCACUUUAUAGUUCUAACUAACUCAUAUCUUAUACGAAAAUGUCAGAUUCCGUCAUUAAUGGUCCAAAAAAACUUGUGUGGAGUGAGAGUAUAACAACAACAACAUGCUUCGUAUAUGAAGAGGAAGGUGACAUAUGGUAAAGCAGGGACGAUGAUGUGGAAAUAAGUAAAGACAAAGAAGAAGAAAGAGAGAAGUCAAAUUAAAAGAGAAUAUAAUGGGUACUAUAGCAUUGAUUUGGAGUGUAUGCAGAAGUUAAUGAUAACAUGCGAUAUUGAUGAGGUAGCAAGAUUCAGGGCACAGAUUCUGCAACAGAAAGUCCAAACAUCGAUCCCACUCUUUUAAAUUAUUCUCACAACCCAUAUUUCAUUUCUUUGCUCCUUACUUACGACUCUCAUCGACCUCAUGUCACCCACAUGGCCCUUUUCUUCUCUCUUUCUCCUUACCCUUGUUUUUCUUUUUGUUAUAUCAUUUGAUACAUUAUAAUAUUCCAGCUUUUAACAAAUUUGUAUGACUAAAUAUAAGUAAUCGAGUUUGUAAAGUUUGGAUUAUGGAUUAAGUAUUAAGUCCUCUUUACACUAAACAUUUCCACCUUGUUACAUAUUGCCGAAUUUUCUAGUGUUCUAUUUUAAGGGUUUUUUUGGUGUGGUUUGGACUUUGGACCAUAUAGGAAGCCGUACGUAUGAAUUACCUCGGAUUGAAAUUAGGUCAAUUCAGAUCACUUAUUAUAUUUAUUGUUAUUCUAGGCCUAGGCCCAUAGAGUCAUGAUCAAGCCCAAUCUCUGCUCUAGUGCUCUGUCUGAAAGCGUUAUAAUUCCUCGAUCGAGUAAUUUGAAGUCGUAUGUGAGUGAAUAUCUAUUUCUUUUUUGUUUGUAAUUUUAGUUUUUGUUAAAAUGAAGUAUGGAAACCAAAAGCGAAAUACAUUGGUUCAUAAAAAUCGAAACGUUGAAAAGAGCAUAUACUUAACUGAAGUAAAUAUCAAAACCCAAACCUCUCUAAUAACCAAAAGGACAAGUAAUGAAGGAGAAAAUUCAUGAUAAUGUAGUUCCUUGGGUAAUCGGUAAUGCAAUAAUUAAAUACUGAUGAGUAAUGACAUUUUUCUUUUUUCCCAAAAAGAAAACACUCUAAUUUUAUUCUGUUUUUUCCUAUAAAAAGCUGAACUACUUUACGAACAUAUGUACGUAGGUAUCGGUCUCUACGUAAUAUGAAUGGUCCAGAUGUGAGGAGGCCUCAAAUUCUACCUAACUUUAUUCCUCCUUUCUUGACAUUUUAAAAAUCAUUUAAUUAACUUUAUGCAUAUGAUAAUAUUUCCGAUUAAUCAUUUGUCAGCUAUACGUCAAGGCUCACGUUUAAAUUUAGUUAAUUCCUCUUAAAACAGUCGAUGUUCGAAUAUCUUUAGAAGGAUCUUAUUUUUUCUUGGUGGCCAACUUGUAAAACGUUUGUGCUAUACCGACGUCAACUAUGGAAAUGUUGAGCACCUUACAAUUUUGUGUUCCCGCUCGGUUUCUAUUAUGGUUAUACAAAAAAAAAAAAAAAAAGAGGACUCACCAAACACUUAUUGUAGAACACAAUUUAUACGGUUUGGGGAAAGAGCUUAUUAUGAUGCGUCCUAUAUCUAUAUGUACUUCUCGUGUAGAACUAAAACAAAACAAAAACAAAAGCCAAAAUUUAUUUUAGUUCUUUCUUUGGUUUGGGGAAAAACUAUACUAAUGAGCUCAAUUCAUGUAUUGAAUGGAUUUGAGUCCCCUUAAAGAUGUUACUGCAUGUUACAUAUAACCAACAUGGAUUUAUUAGACAAUUAAACUAUUCUAAAUGUUGAGUAAGAUUUAAGAUAUAAAGCGGUAUAAAGCCAAUAAGGCAUCGAUUUGAACAUAAAUAGUAGAGAAAUAUUGCUAUAUAAAUUUAGUAAUAACCAAAAUGAGUACAUGUAUAAGAAGAGAUUAGUGAAGAUGCAAAAAGAAACGAAAAAGACAUUGGAAAAGAAAGAAUAUUUUCUUUCUUUCUUUUAAGUCAGAAAAGAGACUUUUAUGCUCUUCUUUUCUUCUUUUUCAGUGCCAGUGGUUGGAUUCUUUUCUUUAAUCCGAAUAUGAAAAUGAAAGAUGCUCUGCUUCUUUCUUUAUUUUCUUUGGUUUCAUAUUUCACUUUUUCUCAUCACUUAUCUUAAAACAGUUUGACCCAUUUACACUAAAUACCAAAAACGUAUACAAAGCUAAAUAAUCUGAAACAUCAUGCUCUUCUGACAUUCAUGCAAUUUACCAGAGAGGAUAAUUGGAAUUGAGAAUAUUUAUUUAUCUCUUGGGAUCAGGGCAAAAAUGUAAUUGUAAGUUUCAGAUAGAUCACGUAGAUAUUAAACCUAAAAGGUUUAUAUAUGUUGCAACUUCAUACCACAACGGAGAGAAAUAUCUACAACUGCAAAAAAAGUAUUUCUCUUAGUGUACAACAGUAAAAUACUAUAUAUCUACUCUUAGUUCGAAACAACAAAAUAUCUACACAGUGAUUCCUUCUUCCACAAGGUAACAAUUAGCUAAACUCAACUUUCUCAGUUACGUUCAUGAGUGUAUGGCUAUAUCAUUGUUCUGAUUAAUGUUGCAUGCUCUCCCUGAAGUUCAUAGCUCUAGACAUCGCUGCAGGGUUUGCUUGUAGACUGUGAGAAGUUUCAGGGACCAGGUUUCUUGUGUUGCUGUUACCCUUUGUGUCAAAUCCAUUGAACAAACUGAAUCCUUGUGUUUUCUUCUCGGGUUUUGUUGGUAACUUAGACCACACCGAGCUCUUGGUAGCUUCGCUAUUCGUUCUAAGUGAUUCUGUAACCAAUCUUGCUCUUGUAGAAGUUGUUGUUGUAGUAUUAUUGAUUCCUCCCUCAGUUUGAUGAUCCCUUGACCGUUUUCCUAAACAUGGUGAGGUCUCUGAGGUAGGACAUAUCGGAACCGUGCAGCCCCAGUAUAAGGGAAUUGGGUAGAAACUAGCAUUAGGACCCGUUGGACUCCACUGGUACGGCCAAGGAGAAGUAUUAUUAGGUGGCAUUACUUGCGGAGGAAGAAACCCUUGGUAGUUUUUGUGCUCUUGAGAAACUGAACCAGUGUUUAUCUUUGUUGUAUCUCCUGACUGAUGCUUACCAGUCUCUGUAACCGAAGACUCCGAAGACCCGAAACUAAGGAUCGUUCCCGAGUGAUUGUUUUCACAAUCCUCAGAAGUGACUUGCAAGUAAUGGUUUGAAGAACCCCAUCCUUUGUUCUUGCGGCGUCCUGAGCCGACGGGAACGUUCCUCAUGGAUCCACCAGCUGUCCAAUACCUCUGACAGUUCCUGCAGAAGUAACGUGGCUGGUUCACGUUGUAGUUGUUGUAGUAACAGAACUUGGUGUUUCCGCUUUCGCAUCUAGGACAUGGAAGAAGCUUGUCCGGUUUCUUGAGAGCCGUUGAUUUCUCUCCUGAUGUAGUACUUGUAGUUGUUGUAGUUGUGAUCUCGCUCUGUUGAUCACAGUUGUUGUUCUUGGAGCUUCUUGGUGAUGAUGAGAUCUCAGAUACUGCUUUUAGCGGUUCGUUUAGAUCGGAUAAUAUGUAAGGAUCUUUGAAUCUGUUAUUCUCUUUCUCAUUUUUAUUAGCCGGAACCUGAAAAAAUUUAGUAGAAUUUUGAUUAGAAAUAGCAAAAAGGUUGAAUCUAGUAUACAGUAUUCUAAAUUCAAGUUGGAAUUCACGGAAAUUUAAAGUGGUAUACUACUAAAUGAAAAAAAUGACAAAAAUGUUAAACUCGUUAGAAACAGAGAGAUGAACAAGAAAGUCUCAAAUUUUAGGCUUUACUUAAUAGAACCUUUACAGACUUCUCCUUUACAAGGGCAACUCAUAUCCCAGAAUAGCAAUAAAAAAAUUCAGAUCGAGGUCGAACCAUUACUAUAUUCGAUCAGCACAUAGAUGGAUCUCUUUUAGAUAAUCCUCAAUAAACCGAUAAAAUUGACUUACCAUGGAAUCUCUCAAGAAGUUCGAACCAAACCAACACAACACAACAUAAGAAAAAAAAAAGACUAGGAUUCUCAAGACAUACCCUGCUGUUUGGUCCAAUUGUUGGAGAACAAGAAGAUGAGGAAGAAGAAGAAGAAGAACCCUCCUUGCUUUGAUCGGAAGAAACAUCGUGAACAGGGGACAACGACGACGGAUCAUAAUGAUUCUUCACAUCCAAGAGAGAUGUGAUUGUCCUCCCAAACAACUUUAUCUCCGUAUCUCUAGAUUUAGACAUACUUAAAUUACGAAGAAACUUCUAGAAAUUAUAUGAAGGUGUCUAAAUCUUUUUCCUCUGAAUUUUUAUUUCUUUAAAGAUCGGAGCAUGAAGAAGAGAAUACAAAGGGGGCUAGAGGGAGGUUGGGUAUUAAUGACGAUAGAUAGUGCAUAAAAGAAGAAGAAGAUAGAUAGAGAAAAAGAGAAAAUUACAAGUCAGCAUAGAGAGAGACUUGAGAAAAUAAGAGAGCCACAUGUUUAUUAAAGAAAGUGGGCAUUUUAGAGAUCUUUUUCACGCUCUUUUUGAUUCCCUCUUCUAGUGGCGUUUUAAAAGAUUUUCUCACCUUUCUCUUUGUUGCCACAUCGGAUAAUAAAGGAGAAUAAUAUUUAGAGAGAUAAACACUUGGUUCGUAGAAUGUCUAUGGUCUUUUACAAAAAAAAAGAAAAAGCAUUUUUAUUAGAAUGAAAGAACAUCAUCUAGUUAAUGCUUGUUCAAUAUGGUGGAAACGUACCCAAAACGGAUGAUUAAAAAAAGUCUCAUGUACGUACUAAACAUGAAAGUCAUACUAGUAAACAAAAACGUUUGAAGAAAAAAAAGGUUUUUUCAAACUAUUGACGCGUAUUAAUUUAACUCAAGUUAUGUGUUCAUAUUACCAAUCAUCGAAACUCCAUAUUGUACCUUUGGUCGACAUACGUUUAUAAAGUCUUCCUUAACAUUUAAGAGACAAGUGUUGAAUCCUCAGGUUGCGAUCUUGAUUUUGAUCAUGGUAAAAUUUAGCAUUAUUUUAGGAUGUUAAUACAAUGGCAACUCAACGUGUUAAAAUAGUUUUAUCUCAUCUUUCUCUCGACAGAAGAACUAAAUACAACAAGUAAUCAGUCAGACAAGGCAUAAACUGUCGAUGCCAGGUUGUGUAACAACGUGUCACAUGACCCACGUCGUCUCCGAAACAUCCUACAUAUAUAAGCCCACGUCAGCUGUAAUACAAGCACGUGUGGAUUGGUCCAUCUCAGAACUCUAACAAAAAGUUCAUCUGCCAGAAAUCUAGCUGUUCGUCAGGCAUGUGACCAAUGCGUAUCCAACACGUGGAUUAGCAGAAACAUAUUUAUAUUCUCUGUGUAGGGUAUUAUAAUAUGUAGCGUAUCCAACAUAUAGCUAGCUAGCAUAGCAAUAGGCAAUAGCAUCGUUGUGAAAUUCUUUAAAUUAAUGGAAAGUAAUCAAAAAAAGAUUUGAAUAAAAGUUUGUGUGGUGGUAAAGAGAGGCUUAUGUUCUGGUAGUGUCUGACACUUGGCAUUUUUCCAGGUAUGAGAUAAGGCUGGACCAUAUCUUUUUCUCUUAUCCCAUUAAGUCUUCUUCGAUCGUGUUUGUUCUUUAUUACAUUUUUUUGUCUUCGUAUUUUGCUAUUCGGAUAGUUGCGUCCGUUGUGCAGUUACGAUGAUGAGUAAGAAAGAUAAUAGUAUAGAUGUUUGGUGACUAAGAUUGACAUAAUGGAAGCCUAUAAUCAUUUUCAUGAAUUCUAAGGCAAGGUUUCAGUGUUCACUCAUAUUGUCAAAAAAGAGUAUGUACUUGAGCACUUUAUUUUAAAAGCUAUGAUCUCUGAGUGACGAAAAUAUUUUGAAAAUAAUUAAUCAUAUCUACAUAGUACAUACUAUCGAAGAAAUAUACAUUUCGUAUAAAUAACUAAAACAGUGUUCAUUAAACAUACAAACGAGGCUCUCUUAAUUUUGUGGAUGGACUCUAGAACCUUUGUUAAUGGGUUUAAAACUUGGGCAUGGUCUACAAUAUAUAGAUAAAGUUUAUAGGCCAGUCCAAGCAAAUAUUCAAAACGGUAAUGUCAGCACUACACAGGCCUUAGUCUGACAAUUUGUGUUGUUGUUGAACUAUAUUAUAAGCCCGUUAAAGGGUGUGUACAUCUAAACGACAGCGAGCAAUCCUACUAAUUCACUGUCUCAUUUGAUUGCCUCAAGUAAUCCUUCUACGAUCACUCCACAAACAGCAAGAUUUCUUUUCUUUUUUUUAGAUGCAAUGCAAGAAUCAAGUUCCCAUAGAUACUCUAAGUUUCCGAGAAAGAUUUAUUUGUUUUGAUUUGGAUGAUAGGUUUUAAUGGCAUAGUUGUUUAUGUAAAAAAUCUCCAUAAAUUAAGUUUUUUUUUUUAUACAACUCAUGAAUGAAUUUUGUUGAAAACGGAAAAAUUAUUAUGACCUACAUAACAUGUCAAAUGAUCUCAAAGUUCUUAAUAUUAUCUUAACGAAGUUCUUAAUAUUAUUAUUGACCUAAAGUUUUCUUGAAUUAGUUCAAGUGACACAUGAGUGAUGUCACGUUUGUUCAACAAUGGAUUUAUAGAUUUUUAAAAAUGUUUUAAAUUUUAAUGUUUAGAUGUUCUUUUUAGCGCAUAUGGAUCUGUGCAAUACAAGCACAUUCUAUUGAAUUGGGUCCCUAAAAGCUAAAAAAGAGAAUAAUAAUCGAUGAGGCAUCUCUCUUUCAGACUGCUUUCGAUCCAAUUUCAACAUUAUUCAAGAAUCUCCUUUUCUUUCCUUCUUUAAUAAUUUUCAUCUAACUACUAUCAUUUUAGUCAUUUUCAUCUCAUGACUUCAUUACAAUGGAUGCAGAAAAAAAAAGGUACGUUAGAUUAAUCUAAAGGGUAUUUAUAAUAAAGUACUUUUUUGUAUUAUAAAUCUUGGUAAAGAAGAAGAUAGUGAAGUCUACUAUAGAAGAUAACAUAAGGAGAAACAUAACACAGGAUGAUCACUAAUCGCAUCGUAAUCAUGUAUAUGAAACCGCAAUCUCAACAAAUUAAACGUAUUGUAAGAUAAUCGCAGCUGAGUACUGUAUAUAUAUAUAUAUGAAAUUAGGUUUAGCAUGAAUCAUGCUGCAUGAUGCUAUAUAUGUCCUAUCCAAAAUUUAAAUUUUGAUGGUAUGAUGGAUGUUGUCACUAUCAUUCUUAAACGGGCAUGUAGCUCGUGAUUCUUAUGUAUAGAUCACGUAACGCUUCAUCAUGUGCUAUGAUGUAAAAAAAGCUUGAUUCGAUUUACAUAAUCUCUCUAAAGAGAAUGGUUUAUUCAACAAGUUAUUAAAGAAUAUGUUAUCGCUUUUUUUUUUUUUCCAUGAGAAGAAAGUAUAUUAAAUAUGUGGUUAAAGAGAAAGUUCUAUGAAUGAUCAUUAUCCUCUCUUGGCUUUGAUGAGUUUCUUUGCUUGUUUUUCAAACAUUCGGGCCACACACCUAGGCUAUGAUCGACAUGUAUGUUUAUAUGCAUAUUUAUGCAUGCAUGUGUGUGUGUGUGUGAAGUUGGAUUGAAUGAUUAAAAAUAUUCCUUUCUUUAAGAAAUGAACAAAUGAAAGGUGUCCACUAAAACAGAAACUCGUAGUAGGAGAAGAUGCUUCACCACGACAUCAAGCUACCACAUUGGGUCCCCUCUAUUUCUCUCUUAGUCUUCUUCUCCUUCUUUAUAUCUAAAAAAGAAAUCAGAAUCUUACGAUUUUUAUGCCCUCAUAGGCCAUAUAUAUGUAUACGAUCAUAACAAAACUUAUUAUCAUUGUUGCCAAUGAAUCCAUAUUCCUUGAGUAAUAUGUUAAUCUAACUAAUGUUCUUAAUAAUAUAACAUCAAGAUUAAAUUUGUAUAUCCUUUUAGUAUUAAUAAACGAAGACAUAAAACCAUACAUUGCAUAAAUAGGUCAUAUAUAUUGUUGUACACUGACAAAUAAUUAAACAAUGGAUUAUUCAAAAAGAAAAGAAGGAUUAAGAGAAUAAUCAUUGGAUUUCGAUUCUAAAGACCAAAGCCUAAAAAUUUAAAGCUCUCCGAUCAGAUUCUUCAGCUUUAAUUUUGCCGACGGCUCCUCUAUAAGCCAUCACAAUUUACUAUACAACUCCUACUUCUUCUUCUUUUCCCCAUUAUUUUCUUAUAGGAAUUAUAUUUUGCAACCUUUUAAGAUUUCUAUUCAACAGAUGAAUUUUUUUCUCUCCUUAAAGCUAGUGAAGAAUCCAGUUUGGAAUAUAUUUUAUUUAUUGCUUCUACAACAAGGUUUGCCUUAUAUAUGUGAAAUAAAAAGAGCAAAAGAAAAAUAUUGUAUUUAUCUUCUCUAAAAAAAUAUUCUUAUAAUUAUGAUGUCAAUAAAAAAAAGUUCUUAUUAUUAUGGUCUUUAAUUUUUUCUUUAUAAUAGAAAAACAAUAAAAUAAAAAUUUGAACAAACAAAGACACGUUAGUAGACUAUAGAGAGUUGAAGUUUUUUUUGGAUAGGAAUCGUCAGCUUUCAGGACAUGUAGUUUGUUUGGCUAAAACUAUUUAGUCUCGUAAAGCGGCCCUUCCUCACACAUAACACCAAAACAUGUACAUGUAAAUACAAAUAGAAAAUCUUGAUUUUUCAUCUCAAAAGACUUUAAGAUCUCUCUUUCAUAUAUCAUUCAACUGUUGAAUCUUUUUAUCAUAUAGUUUGACGAUAAAAUUAAUAUAAAAAUAGACUUCCAUAAUCGGUUCUUAAGGAUAUUUAUAUAUUAGUUAAUAUAUAUACUUACAAAAUUAAACAAUAUGCUAGUUUUUUAAUGAAUGAUUAGAUUUUACGGCAUGAGACGACAAACAAAUUGUAUCUUCGAACAAUAAUCAUGUGGUUAUCUUGACCAAUAAAAUUCUGAGCAUCAUUAAAAGGUCAAUUCUUUUUUUAUUAUUUGGAGAAUUACUACACAUCAAUCAUACAAUAACAUUAAUUAAACACUAUUUAUAUUGGGUUUUAAAUAAAAUACUGUAUGUAUCAACUAGGUCAUGAAUUUUUGUGGGUUUCAUUUUUAUAUUUUUCUCCACGGUAAUAUUUGAAUAAUAUGUUGAUUUAUAUAUGUAUAUGAAAUUGCAAGAGAAUGCAUAAUCCGAGAACACCUGAAAGAUUCCUCAUGAAGUGGAUCAUGAAACCUUCAUCUUUCUGGCUCAUUAUAUCUUGUUGUGGACAUUUAUGGACCAUAUUAUUAUUUUGCUGUCAAGAGUCAAAACCAUGCAUAGAGUUGUUAAAUAAUUUCAUUUCAUUAAGUUACCGUUUUUGACUUUGAAAGAUUUAAUUUUAUUAUAUUAAUCUAACAAUUAUACAAAAAAAAACUGGCUGGAUUCACUUUCUUUUGUGUGGGUGGUUUUUUAUAAAGAAAACAUAAGGCAGAGAGAGAGGAAUGGAUUGUUCUUUUUAAAGUUAUAUUUGAGGUUUAGAUUCCUUCACCUCUACAUACAACCAAGAGAAUCUGCCAAUCGCUCCCAUCUUUUAUUUCCUUUAAAAUGAUAUAUACCUAAAAAAUACUGUAUAGCUUAUAGCUUUACAAGAACAGAGAACAUUUUUAAACAUUUAUAUAGAGUUAUCGACACUAUGGUCUAUAUUUGUUUUCAUUUAGGUCUCAACAUAGAUAUUCAUCAAUAUCCAUUUUGAUUCGUUAUCCCGUCGCUAUGCCAUAUAGCAGAUCCAAGACAUUAAGUUCCACAAACCACAACUCAACAAAACCAUUGAUAAGGAAAGAUUCUAACACAUGAAAAAGUCAAAAUAGAUGACACUAGACAAAUUGCUAUCACAUAGUUAGAAGUAGUAGCUCAGCAACAUCAUGAAUACAACGAUUCACGGUAGCAUAUAUUCAACAUGUGUACAUGUAAUUUUUUGUUAUACAUAUAUAGGUGAGUCUAUCAAUAUGUUUUUGUUGCUUCUGUCGACAUCGAUAAGUCUAUAUAUAAUGUAGAUUCUUCGUUGAAAAAUGUUAUAUGAAGGGACAUAUAUACAAGUAUGGUGGGGGCAACAUUACCGAAGAGCAAGCCAAGAUAGAGAUGAGACACAACACAACAAACCUUACACUUUUUCUUUACCCUUCUUUUUAGGAGCAAUUCUUGUAUUUAUACAAACUCUUUACUUCAUUAUUAUACAUAAUCUUUCUAUCCUGCUAUAUAUUAAUUAUAAUUAUACAAAAGACAUGUCCGUGUAGUGGAUAAUAUAAUGCGUGUUACUAAAUCGAAUUUUUAUAUAUAAGUUGAUCAUUCCCAGACAAUAUCCACCCACGAAACACUUCUUUUAAAAAUGUUAUUUGUUGUAAGACUUCAACUUAUACGAGUCGUGCAAUAUCCUAAAGGAUACAUUUGCUAUAAUAUACAACCAUUUCUGCAAGAAGAAUGAAAACAAAAUUUGAGGACCAUUUUAGGAAUAGAAAUAUGAAACGGUGAUGAUAAUAAUUGCAAACAAAGAAUUUUUGCACAUAUAUACGAUUAUGAUGUCCAUUAGGAUCGAUCAAUGUCUAUACGACCAAAAACGAAGUGUACAUACCUUUUUGUUAUCUGAUCUUCUUAUUGCCUCAUAUAUGGAAGAAGAAAGUAACACGAAAAUUACAUAAAGCUAACAUAUACGAAAAAAAAGUGGUGUGAAAUCGGGAAAUGAUCGUAGAAAAGAGAUUUAAAAAAAAGAAACAUAUAUAUCAACCAAAAUAAAUAACAUAAUAAUUGUAAAGAGAAAGAAAGAGGAAAGGGUCAAGAGAGCAUAUAUUCUCUUCUCCAACAGAACCCCACUCAUGUUUCCAGAUAUGGAGUGAGAGAAGAAAGAAAACAUCAACCACUCCAAAGAUUUAUAUAUAUAUAUAUAUAAUCUAAUAAUCUCCAUAUCUUUGCCAACAAACCCAACAAUCUUUUGAUAAAACAAAAUCACCCUUUGGUUUUUUAUUUGAAAUUUUCUUGGGUCGUUUCUUGAUUUGUUGUAUAUUAGAGAGAAGAGAGAUUUUGUAUGUGUUUAUUGAUGGAGAUCAACAAUAAUGGCAAUGAUAAUAACAAUAGUGUUAAUCACAAGGCAAAGGUGAUGAGCCUUGUGUUGUCAACGGAUGCUAAGCCAAGAUUGAAAUGGACUUGUGAUCUUCAUCACAGAUUCAUUGAAGCUGUUAAUCAACUUGGAGGACCUAACAGUACGUACACCUUAGCUUUGUGUUUUCAUCUUCAUUUUCAUGUGUUCUUGAUUGUUUUUUAAUAUAUGUUUGUUUUGUUUGGUUUGUUUUUGUAGAAGCAACACCUAAGGGUUUGAUGAAGGCUAUGGAGAUUCCUGGGCUUACCUUAUACCAUCUCAAGAGUCAUUUACAGGUAUAUAAUGUUCACAAGAAUCUUUGAUUGGAUCAGUGUUUUAUCUUCUUUCUAUAUAUUUUUGUUUCUUUAAAAUAAACUUUGAAUUAUUGUAUUUGAUCUUUCUUCAGAAAUAUCGGCUAGGGAAGAGCAUGAAGUUCGAUGAUAACAAGUUAGAAGGUUUGAGAUUCUUUGAUUCAUUACUAACGUUUUGAUGAUGUUUUUAAAGACAGAAGAUAUGAUCUUGAGUUUGAACUCUGAUCUGACCAAACUGGCUGAAGAAAUCUUUAGAUAGUUUUAUUCUUAUGUAUGUAAUUUGUUUCUUGAUGUAGCAGUCUCCUCUGCUUCAGAAAAUCAAGAAGCUGAGAGUAACAGCGAGUCGAGAGAUCUCCGAGGCUGCAGUGUCACCGAAGGAAACAGCAAUCCAACUAAAGAGUAAUGAUCAGAGAAACAAAAGCAUAAUAUCUUUCACGUAUCGAUUUGAGUAAACAAAAAACUAAUUGUUUUGUUCAUUUGAUGCAGAGGGUUGCAAAUAACAGAGGCUUUACAAAUGCAAAUGGAAGUUCAAAAGAAACUUCAUGAACAAAUCGAGGUAAUCACAUCAACCAAAUCCAUUAUUUGAGUCUAAUUAAGCACAACAGUCACUCUUUGUUGUGGUCUUACAAUGUUUGGUUUCAGGUUCAGAGACACUUGCAGGUGAAGAUUGAGGCACAAGGCAAGUAUUUACAGUCAGUUUUAAUGAAAGCUCAACAAACUCUCGCUGGCUACACAUCUUCAACUCUAGGCAUGGACUUUGCGAGAACCGAGCUCUCUAGAUUAGCAUCAAUGGUGAACAGAGGCUGUCCAAGUUCUUCAUUCUCAGAGCUAACGCAAGAGGAAGAAGCAGAAGAAGGUUUCUUGUGGUGCAAGAAACCAGGAAACAGAGGAAUUAGUCAGCUGAGAUGUUCAGUAGAGAGCUCGUUGACAUCUUCAGAGACCUCAGAGACAAAAGUGGACGAUAACAAUAACAUCAAUAAAUCGAUUGAGCUUCCGUUGAUGGAGAUCAAAUCGGAAGUGAUAAAAGGGAAGAAGAGAAGCUUAAACGACGCCGUUUGCGUUGAACAUCAGCCUCAAAUGAAGAGAGCUUUUGGCGUUGAUGAGGAUGAGCACUUGAAGUUGAGUUUGAAUAGUUACAAGAAAGACAUGGAGGCGUGUCCGAACAUAGGACUAGGGUUUAAUUAAAGAAGAAAGGAAUAAACAUUUUACUAUAAAGUUAUUAUGAAAAAAUGUUUUAAAAAGAAUCCAAUAUAUAGAUUGCCAUAGAGAUUUUGUGAGUAAGUCAGGGUGAAGAACGCAUGGGAAUAUUCUAUAUGAGUCAACAUGAUGAUAUUUAUAUAUAUACAUAUAGAAAAAAUGUGUGUAAAGAUUAGGUGGGGAGGCUUGUGGAUGUGGUAAAGGCGGAUUUGGGGGGAACUUUUUAUGAUCAAUUGAAAGAAGCAAAAUGAUUAAAUUAGAGUGAGCUUUUUAUCAUGAUGUUCCGACCGUGAUAAGCAUGUUGGCCUCUCAGUGGUUGUUUUAUGACAAGACAAACCAUACUUGAGGUCUUGCAUGCGAUACCAAAUUCGAAUGUUAGUUUGUAUAUAGAGUAUCUUUUUUUGCUUGAUUAUUUUACUAAUUAGCCAAAGUUCGAAUAUUUUCUUUCUUCGAACCUCUCAUGAGUCAUGGAGAAGGUAAUUAAUGUUUGUUGUUAUACGAAUAUUUUCUUGUAACGUAGAGGAAAAGAGAGUCACGUGUUCAUGAAAACGAGGCUGAGGCUUAUCUGUUUUCCUCCCAUCUAUAUGUAUACACUUCUCACCGUUUUACCGAUUUGCAGAUAUAUUCACAAAAAUUUUAGAAUCUUUAUAGUAAGUUGUGUUUAUAAUAUACUUUGUUUUCAGACAUAUUUUCAGUCGUAACACAAUUUUUUUCCGUUAAUCUUCUUUUCAUUGUUUUCUAAGUAUAUAAUAACAAACUUUUAGCAAUUUUUCAAAAUUUUCACAAGUUUUGUAAAUUUUGGCAACUUUUUGACACUUUCAUGUAUUUUUCUUCCUAUUUUUUUUUUUUUUUCAUUAUAAAAUUUAUAAUUGCAAAUUUAUACUUUUAGUCUAAAUUCUAAUUCUUGAGAUAUCUUUACUCCAAAAUCAUAAUAUCCUAACCGGCCGUCUAAACACAUACACCAUGAAGAGCUCUUCAAAGUGACGGACGUUUCUCUUAUAUAUAUAUUUGUUACGGGCACUCUCAUUUAAAUAUCCGCCUUGAAACAAAAUGAGAACCGUGUAAUCCAAUCUAUAAAAUGAGAAAGAGAUAAGACUUGUGUCGUUAUUUUCUUAUAGAAAUGUUUGAAGCUACAUGUUACUUCUUAAAACAUGUAAAUGUUAAGAAAACUAGGAGGAAAAAACAAAAAACAAAAGUUACACGUCGUAAUGUUCCUCUUCUUUAGAAACUAACGAGAAGAAUCGAACCAUAUCUGUGGACAAACCAAAGGCGAGUUAAUUAAUUGGACGUUUUUCCAAAGUCUCGUCCAAGCAUAUAUAUGGUUGUCGAACCCGUGAUAUCCAUCAUCUAUCUAUGUAGCCAAAAUCAUAUUUUGUCUGAAUUCAAUUAUAUAUUUUGCUUUCACAUUGUUUGAAAACAAAAUGGAAAUAACGUUAUUGGUAUCGUCCAAAAAAUCAUGUAAAUUAUGGCUCUGAUAUAUUGCAGUAUACGGUCGGUCUGGUGUAGAAACUAUAAACGUCAAUCUAACAAAGUUGAUGCACAAGUAUGGUUAGAUUUUACUUAUUGUUUAGUGAUUAGAAUGAUUCAGUCAAAAUAAGUACCAAAGAACUUUUUAAGGAAUAGUGAUAGACGUUUAGAUUCGUUGUAUAUAAGUCUUACUGCCACAAGUUACGCAAACUUAUAGAACUAAGAUUUACCUAAUCAUCACAAAAACUUAGUUUGGGAGUACGCUUAAUGUCAUACAUCAUCACCUUGCACUUGAUUGAUGUGUAACGAAGGCUGUCUGAUAUGCACAUGAUACUGUUUCCACAUGUUCGCAUCCUAUGUAAAGUUUGAGUUAACCCGAAUAUACACCCAAAAGGAUAUGUUAAAAUAGUACAAUCAGAGUCAGAUGUAUGUCACAUUUUUCCUUCAUUUAUACUUAGCAAAAACUCAAAACUAAAAAAAAUGUUAAAUGCUCAUUUUACUCAGAACUGCACUAUAUUGGCCGAGGAGAAAAUAUUAAUAUUCAGGCCCAUCUCAUCUAUAGAUCAAAUUAGCAAUGCAGCCCAUGCCCAUUAAAUCCCUACAUUAAAUCCACACACCCUUCACAAUUCCAUACAAAUCUGAUAACAAAUUAUUUCGAAAGAAGGACUAAAAAGAGAGUUAAGAUGGACCUCAAUCCUAUUUACAUAAACUAGGGGCAUAGGAAUGUAGAAAUGGCAAGAGAACCGACGGACCAUUUUGUAAAAUGUCCAACUAGAUCCGGUGUUUUUUAGUCCACAUGAGGCUUAAAUCGACCUAGGCCAGGACCAGAUCUGCAAACCCAUAAUUUAGCACGGUCCACUACAAGACGGUCCACAGCCUAAACCCUCAAUCAAGACAAAUUUAGGACCCGACUAAAUCAAGAUUGGGUCACAGCCAUCGGAACAUCCCUAAUUUAGAUGCUACAGUCAUCACUUGUCUUAAUGAUUGUGCAUUUUGGACCUUUAUCCACCUUAUAAUCCAAUUAUAUAACCCAAGUUUUGCUUUUAUUUUGCUUUGCUUUUAACUUCUUUUGGAUCCCUCCGACCACAUCAGAGAUCUCAUUGGUCACAUCAAAAAACCAUCAGGGGAAUAAGAAUAUCAUUGUUUUUUAAAUUCAAAAAAAAAACAAUCUCCAAUCUCCAUCAACAUUUCAAGAUUUCACUAUCUUGUUCUUUAAAAAAUGUUUUUGUUUUGGGUUUUUUUAAGUAAAGGGAAAGUUGCAAACUUUAGGACUAACCUCGAGAAUGCAGAAAAAGCAAAGCGGAGGGGGAACUCAAAAUCAGCAAAUGGGUAUUUUGUUUUUUGGACCAACGACUGGUCUCCUGCUUGCUUUGUUUUUGAGCCUGCAAGCAAUAUCCAUUCCUCAGUUUUAAAAUAUGUUACUUUUGAGACAGAACCUGAUGCUUCAGAAUGUUCUUAGUUUGCAUGUGAUUAAAAUAUUUGUUAAAAGAAAUACAAAUGACAACAGUAAAGAAAAGGGCAAUUCAGAUAAAGAUAAAGAUCGACCCUCCAUGAAUAAAUGAGAUAAGGAAAAAGAGAAAUUGGGUCUUUUAGCAUCAUUGCAUUCAGGAUUAAGAUCUGUGGAUGAAUCAACAAGGUGGGAAAAAAAGCAUUAACAGGCAUAAUUAGCAUAACGCACAAAAUCAGUUCUUAAACUUGGCAAGCAAAUAUCGAAUCUCUCAAGCAAACUUGGUGACUGUUUGUGUGUGGAACACAUGACCUAUGAUCCAUCAAACACAAUAUCUUUAGUUAAUUAUUUCCUAGACUACUACUACACAGAAUCACAGGCAAAAGUGACUGUGAGGAGUUAAGUUAUGGUUGUUUUUCGGUAUUGGUGUUAUAUUUGUGAGAAGAUAUAAAGAUGAAGUAGCACAAAUAAACAUGCAGCCGAUGUUGUUGCUUAAAAAAGUGAGCUAGUGAUCCUAAAGUGAAGGGGGGAAGAUCUUAGAAUAAUAUAAAGAAUCAUUCUUAAAGAGGAAAAAAAAAUAAUGUAUUUGUUUCUUUUCGAAGAGGGUUGCUCUGUUGUACCUUUUUUUUGCCAAAGCUUAAUGCUUUAUAUGAGUAGCUCCUGUAGGUUGUAGUAAUGGAAUAGUACCAACGGUUUGCAUGGCCCACGGCUCCGGUCCGCUAUGUUCCUGCCAUUUAACAAAACACCACACAAAACCACUUUCCUUAACAACAAAGGAAUUAUGACAUACAAUAGCCAGAAUCCACAGCAUUAAAGAGUGUAAACUUGAAUGAUUAGGAUAUAUAACCCAUUGUCUCGAAAAGUUAAAGGUAUUGUACACUACUUCAAAGUACAAUUUUGAAAUCAAGGAAAAAGCUUCCGAUGCGAUGAAUAUGCAAUGCUAUGACCAGAUAAGAUAACACUGAACCGUAAGAUCUGUAACUCAACGUAUUUCAUGCUGUUUAAACUAUUCGUCGAUAUAUUCAGAUAGGAACACAGCAUAUAGUGGAACUGUAGCAGCAUAGAAAAUUGGCUUAUAACUAAAUCCAAGGCAAGUUAAAGCUUAUAGAUGGUGUAUACGGAGAAUCUAACUAAACAAGUUCACUGGAAAAAGUGUUCAAGAAAGUGUCAGCAUGUCAGUUUAACAGUCGCCUUCAACGAGUGGCUAGUUAGGAAGGUCUCCAGAAACCCAAAUUGGCUAAUUUUCCAGUCAAGAUUGGAAUGUUAUGUUUAUGGUUAGACAAAAGCAAAGGAUAAUGUAGAGAUGUAGGGAAACCAAUGAAGAAAGAUACUUAACUUCCCAGUGGUUUUUCGUGUACUGAACUCUUUUGUACAAUCAUUGUCAGAUUCUUUCAUAACAGCCUUAAUCUACUUAGAUUUCCAAAGCAAUGGUUUUUAAGUGAAUCUAAAUUUCCCAGGGUCCCAUUUUGCUUUACACUUUAAAGCUCCCUCCAAAUCCCAAUAACUGAUAUAUAACAUGACUAUAUCUACAGGGAGGAACACACACAAAAUCAGAACUCAGAAGGGCAAUAAUCUCAGUACUCCUAACCCUCUCAUUUCUUUGGAGAAAAGAAAGAUACUCUGAAUCUUCUUGUCUGCCUAAGAGCAGAAAUGUUGGGUUCCAGUACAAGAUCGAUGCUUUUUCUUCUUGUCUGCAUAGGAUUACUAGCAGACAACAGAUAUAAGGUCUCAGCCAUGAGACAUACAGAGUUUUUCCUCAGACAAACACAAACAGAUAAAGCGAGAGUCCAGCCAAGUGAAAUUGCUAAUCUCAGGAGCAUCAGAUUUCAAUUCAGGCACACCCUUGAAGAUCAAGGAAUGCUCAGGAAAAACAGGCGAGUUCUUGAGGAAGUAAACAAGAGUAAAGUCAAAAAUGAAGAGACGCAAGAACAAAAGAAUAAGACAGAUGACUCAUUCCAAUCAAGCAAGAGACGUGUAAGACGAGGAUCAGAUCCUAUCCACAACAAAGCCCAGCCAUUUUCUUGAGCGGCACAAGAGAAACCAAAUACAGAAAAAAGGCAAUAUACUAUAGAAAUGCAAGAAGCAGAAGAAGAAGCAGAAGAAAAAAGGGUACAACAAUCAACCUUAUCAAGCUGGAGGUAGGUUAGUUGGUUUUUCACGAGUUACUUUUCAAGUAUAGGGUUUUGAUAAGAACACACAAUCUUGGGCUGAUGAAGCCUAUCAGUAUGCAGAAGAACAGCAUUGUCUCUUCAGAUACACCAAGAGAAUACAUAUUUGUUUUCAAGAAAUUUCCUUUUGACUAAGUCUUCACUCUUUUGUUUGCAUCAGUUCUAAGUUUCUCCACAAUUUUUCUUCUUUCUGCAUUUUCUUUCACUUCACCAAAACACAUCUUAUGUACAUAUACAAUAUCUCAAAAGUUUUGAUUUCUCUACAAACAUCUAUUUCCCCACAAAGUGACAAUGAAAAUUGAACAAAACUUUGUUCUUCUAAAUGUUCACAACUCAUGGAUAAAGCCAUAAGAUCAACCUUAACGCAAUUGCAAUCCAACUACAAUGCAAGCUAAAGCUCCGUGAAAAGCCAGAUAACGAAGACUUACAGUUCUACUCCGAACAUAUCUUCCGGCAAGUUAAACUCCGCCGCCGCAUUAGCAGUGUCCUCAUACGGUGAGGAGGAGAUUUAUCAGCAUGCCACCGCGAGGAACAACGGCCAGCCACGACGGUUCAGUCGCUGAGAUUUGUUACUCAUUAUUUUGCUUAGUUUAGUAGUUAGGCCCAGUCCAUAUAAAAAAACUAUUUGGGCCUAGCCCUUUAACAUGGUUUUUCCACAAAGCAAGCCUCGUUGAUUAAAAUUAUAAACAUCCCUUGAAUAGUUGAAUUUAACUACGAAACUACAGGAAAGUUUGGUAGGAGUCUCUCUUGCCUUUGCGCAAUUUUAGUGUUUAGAUUUCAAUUUUUCCAUAAAGUAUGUUUACUCUAUAGAAAUUUGUUUUUAUGUUUGGUUCAUUUUGCUUCCCUUGUUUGGGAUUAUGUUUCCCUCGUUUGGACCAAUAUCUCCAAGAACGUUUUUGUUGUCCGCCAGCAUAUGUAUUUCAACUUGUAUCGUUUUUUGAAUUUUAAUAAAAUUUCGGAUGACAAAAAAAAAACUACGACACCACCGAAUACAAUCUCAUCGACGUACGCAUGGUGAUGAAGUCUUGAAGAAUUGUAAACUACUAGAUUGUACUAAUACCAUCCGAACUAAAAUCGAGAAGAGUUUAUAAAUUUUAGAAACAUUUGAGUAGCUUAAACAUCUUUACUAUAUCAUAUGUUACGAUUAUGUUAACCUUUAUCUUUCUUUUUUUUGUCAUAACAUUUAAUUUUUUUUGGUAUCAUUUACCAAAUUCAUUCAAUACUGCAAAAUAGGUGAAGGGAUUUAAAACGUUGAAGAGGAAAAAGAAAUGAACCCAUCCAUGAUCAUAUAUCAAAAGACAUAUCUAAAGUUUCGGCUAGAAAUUACUUUUUUUUUUUUUUAACUCAUCCUAUCCUAGUAGUCGGGUAUGCGUGAUGCGCGUGAUAUUAUGGUCAUUUGACAAGAUGCGAUCGUUAGGACAUUGUUCUAAUCCGUCUUUACGAUUCCAAUUUUGUGUAAUAGGGCUUAAAGUAAAGAAAUUGUUAAAUCAAUGUGUCCUUGUCAACGAAAUUAUUAUUAGCAAUCCAUAAUAAAUACGAUUAUAUUCUUUUAUUCUAUGGUCAAAAUAUCGCCGAUGGUUGCAAUUUGGGUACUAAUUAAGCGUGAUUGGUGACUAGGUUUCUGAUACACGACAAAACGUUACACCAACCUUUAAUAUAGAUUCAUUGUUACCCCUAGCAAAGAAUACUUACUCCUUAAUUAUCUCAUUUUAUCGAUGUUUAUUGUUAUGUGGUUUGAUGUAUUAUAAACGGUGAUUGGCGAAUGCACUUAGUUAGACAUUAAUGAAAUAUAAUCCAAAACAAAACGGUAUGAUUUGUCAUUUGUGUGGUUUUGUUUUUGUUAAUUUAUGUUAACAUAACUUAAAGCUCUAGUUUUAUUAUAGAAAAAAAGUUCUAAAGGUCGAUUUCUACCAUAACAUUGUAAAACUGUAGUUUGUAACUAAGCUUAAUCAUGUGUUUUUUUCUUUCUAGGUGACUCAUCAUUAAAGUAACAAUAGUCUCACGAUUGUCUUUUACAUAUAUAAAUUUUGUAUGCUAAUAAAUGAUAUGGAUUUAUCGGACCGUAAAAAUCACGAAAACCUAAAGUUUUCUUCAUUUAAAAAUAUUUUCUACAAAUAUAUUAUAAUGGUAUAAAGUGUUUACAUAAAAGUCACAUCUUCACACAUUUGUAAAUUUAACGUAACCCACAUGCAGUAAGAAAAGAUAAUAACCAUGAGAAUGAGUAAGCUAACUAUACAUUGCUUUAUAAAAUUUUGAUAGAAAUAUAUAUACCCUAUGAAAAAAUGAUUCAGUAUGGAAUACAAGGCAUUGAUGAUUGAGAAUAAUUUGUGGGGUACUUAAGAAGAGGAAGACUUGAAGACAUACACACAUAAUUGUGACCCAAAGCUAAAUCAAUAACGUAAACAAAAUGCAAAGAAACACUAAAAUUGCGGCGCCACACACACUAAUGACAAGAAAGUGAGAAUUAAGAGGUCGGUAAGAGAUGAGAAGAGUCUUUCAAAUGGAGUGGUUAAGACAAUUUAGAUAUUAUAUUUUCAUGAUUAAAUUACAAAAUCAAGUUUGGCAAUUGUCACAACAAAGACAAAAGUCUUAUUACCCUCCACUAUUGCGGGUUUAUAUACUCGUGCGAAACAAGUUUAACUUUGAUGAGGUGUUUUCAGAUUUCACUUGAACACGUAAUACCUAUAUUGUAUUAGUCUAGAUUACUGUUAUAAAAUAAUUUGACCAUGUUAGACCUCUAGGCUAAUUGGUCCCUAAACAGAAUCAAACUCGAUAAAGAAUGAUACAGUGAAAUCUAACCCAAAAAAAGCAUGGGGCAGUAACGUAAAACUUUAGAAAAAGAAUGAGAGAAAUUGUAAGGAUGUGUACAGUGUCGAAUAUGAAAUUGCAGGGCAGCUGUAAUUGUCCUUUAGUACGAUGCAUGUAAUGGGCUUUUGCCACGUUAUACACUUUGGACUCAAAUCCUUCAAAUUAAUCCCAUCCUCUCCUUGGAAUAUAUACUCUUCUUAAUUACAUUUUAUAUAUUUUAUAUGGUUCAGAUCAUCAGAGAUAGAUUACCCAUUUGUUUCUUUUUCUACCAACAAGUUACCCACUGGUGAAAAGUGAAGACCCAUAUCUAACAAAUGUCCCGUAAAAUCAUUGCGUUUGAUAAGACAUUAGAUUCAGUAUUUUUUUUUAUAAACAUAUUCAAAGUGUAUAGUAUACUAUAGUCUAUCUAUAUAACGUAUGAAUAGAUAUCAAAACUAGUGACUACAAUAUUCAUUAAAUAUAUAUGUUUCACCAAAACAAGAAAAAAGUAAAAAAAAAAUGAGUUGUAAAAUUUUGAUACAGUGUGUGUUCUUUUCUUUUGCUGUAUGUUUUGGAAGUUUGUGAGUAAGCACUUAUUAUUAUUUUCUUUCAAAUCCUAAUUAUAUUUCAUCACUGCCAUGUUCUUUACCGAUAUAAUUACAUCAUCGUCACAUGCACUUACUUGAAUUAUCUUUUCUUUUUUAAAGAAUUUUUUUUUAAAAAAUAUCAAAACCAAAACCUAAUCUUCUUAUUAAUCACAAAGCUAAAAGAGUUUAAGUAAACACACUAUAAAGACAGAACUAAAGUAAAGCUAUGGAUUUGUCUUCUGAAACAAAACAACUACUUAAAAACUCUCUUCCCAUCGUCGCCGGAGAGCUAACUGUCACCGGAGAAAUGGGUGUUUGUUACAAAGAGUGUUUGAAAAACCACGCGGCUAAUCUCGGCGGCCAUGCUCUCGACGGUUGCGGCGAGUUUAUGCCGAGUCCCACCGCCAAUUCCACUGACCCUUCUUCCCUCCGUUGCGCAGCCUGUGGCUGCCACCGUAACUUCCACCGCCGUGACCCUUCCGAGAAUCUCAACUUCCUCACCGCGCCGCCGAUUUCCUCUCCUUCCGGCACUGAAUCGCCGCCGUCUCGUCAUGUGUCUUCACCUGUUCCUUGCUCUUACUACACCUCAGCUCCCCCACAUCAUGUGCUUCUCUCUCUCAGCUCCGGCUUCCCUGGCCCGUCAGAUCAAGAUCCAACGGUGGGUAGGUCAGACAACAGCUCAAGAGGAGCAAUGAGGAAACGAACGAGGACCAAGUUCACGCCGGAGCAGAAGAUCAAGAUGAGAGCGUUCGCUGAGAAAGCAGGUUGGAAGAUCAACGGCUGUGAUGAAAAGUCGGUGAGGGAGUUCUGUAACGAAGUUGGGAUUGAGAGAGGAGUUCUUAAAGUGUGGAUGCAUAACAACAAGUACUCACUUCUCAACGGCAAGAACAGAGAGAUCGAACAUGGUCUGUGUCUGAACACUCACAGCUGUAACAAUGAUGGUGAUGGGUCUUCAUCUUCUUGAAAGAAAGAUUAAAGAUUUGGGUUAAACCGUAUUAGGAUACUUUAAUUUGGGAAAAUAUGAGCAUUAACCGGUUUUAAAAUCUUAUUAUGAUAGUGUUCUUUCUCUCUAACAUGUUAAUCGAUCUUGAUAUAUAUAUAUAUUUAUGCAGUUUGAUAUUUUCUGUUGUCUUCACAUUGACAGAGAUGUCUGUGUUCAGAGAUCAUGAUGGGUUUUUGAUAAUAAAUGAAUUUUUAAUACGAAGGGUAAACUUAAAAGCCAAUUCGAUCGAUAGAUCAUUUCUAAUUAUAGUAAGUGCCCUAAUUGUGAUUUGUAGAAAUCAAAAGAUUCGUUUCUUUGUUUACUUUGCUUAUAUUAUUCAAUGUUAUCUUCUGUAUUAUUGGAAAUAAUCACCUGAACUUUAGAGAUAAAGUAAGUAAAGUUUGCUUAAUGAAGAUACGACGACGUGGUUUAAUCAAAAAUUGUAACAAACUAUGGCGUGGCAGAAUAUAAUUAGGGCAUCUGGGCGGCACAUUAUUGUUAUACUAUAUCAUAUGAUUUAAAGUUAUUAAAAUGCGGGCUUAUCUCUUUCCAUUUAGGGGAUAAGCUUUGGCAACAGCAACCUUGCUUACUUAUCCUCAUUAAGAAUAAUACAAAUGUUACAAUAUCGAUUUAUUAAAUAUCUAUUCUUGUUUGUGGCUCUUCUCACACCACUAAUUAAUAUUUAUUAUAGAUUCAUUUUAUUUCCCUAUUAAAAGCAAAGAAAUCGGUCCUCAUGUAUCUUGAUUCUUGACGAAUCAUAGCAAAUGCUUUUUCACGUAUAAAGCUCAAAUGCUUGGGACAAAACUAUAUUUCACCAUGUAUGUACGAAGUAACGAAGCUAAAAGCCUGAACAAAAGACAAGCCGGUACGAUAUAUCCGUGGCAGACAGACCAUUGUAUGCCAACAAGCUUUGUAGAUCAAUGACUUUAACUACAUGCACUAUAUAAUAGUUAAUGAUCCAACUUAUGGUCUACAAGAACACAUUUUUGUAUGCUACUAUAAAUUACAAAUCGGUAAGUACUGCUUAUGGCAGGAUGAUUGAUUGAAAAUUUUGUAUGCUACUAUAAAUUACAAAUUAAGAUUCCAUUCGGACAAAUCAUAUCGGAUUUAGAUGUUUAUUGGUCCGAUGAAUGAAUGUAGAGGGACAGUCGAUAUCAUUAAGGUUCACACAUUUUAUAUGCUUCCGUGGAGGGACAGUCGAUAUCAUUUGAGAGAUAGUUUCAAACCUUAAAUGAGAAUGAUACUAAAUGGGAUCUCCGACAAACAUUUGAAUACCAUACAUGCUUCAAACUAUAUAUAUAGCUCAAAGUUAAACUCGAAUAUUAUGGAUACAUAAUGGCUGUGAAUUUGUUAGGGUUUUUUGAAAUAAAAAUAAAAAUCUGCUGAAACGGGCAAGCUAGGAGGAAAUAAAUAUAACUCAAAAGCCCAUCAGUUUAUUCAUUUUGCUUUUUCGAGAGCUAGACCCAAUAACAGACUAAAGAACAUUUUAUCAACCAAGCCACAAUUAAGGGAUCCGUUAAGUCAUUCACCAACCCAAGACUUGGAAAGGUAAACCGUUUAAGCAUUACAAGAAAUCAGUAUCCGGUUCAGUGGGGAUCUUUCCAUCCAGAAUCAAUAAAUGAUUAUUCAAGACCAUGAUCAUAUGUUUUACUCCAAGUUUAGGUUUAGGAUCAUGUCUACUUCCUAUAACCAUUCAAAACAUUGAUAUGUCUGAAGUAACCUAACCCCUAUCCAUGAUCCAUAAUGAAAAAUAUCUGGUCCGAACCUAAGUAAAAGCUAGCCAUAAUUUAAUAGACCGAGUGUUAAAAAGAUAAAUUUAAAUCAAUACAUAAACACACAGACGAGUCAAAUAGUUAAAUAAGUCGAUUUAUGUAGUAGAUUUUCUUAAUAAUUAUGCAGUUGUCGUCAUCAACAUCAUUAUCAAUUUAUCAUAGAAAAGUGACGUUUAUUGUUAAUUGUAACAAAAAUUGACGUUCAUUGUUUAUGAUUUAAGGAGUAUUACCAAAAAAAAUGUCAACAAUCAUACAUUUAAAAGAGGAGUGGAUACGUCAGCAUCAAUGUCUGGUCCAUAUCUACGAGAACACGUGUAGCAUUGCAUCUCUAUUCCACGUUGAAAAUGAAACCAAAUUUGGCGAAAUUAAUUUUGCUUUUAACACCUAAAAGAAAAGGACUAAAUAAUAAAAGACGCAUCGAAAAUUAAAAUGGAGUUUUUUGAACUUUUCAACAUAUAAAAAUGAAGCAUCUGCCAUAUAAUGAUGCACUACAUUGUUUGUCAAUCAAAGUUAUGGACAGUGACUUGCCCAUGUUUGGACGGUCGAAAGGCCAAACUCUCACGAGGUUACAUACCCGAACCCAUCAAUAAUACACCUACCAAUUGUUCACCAUAAGCUAGCUACAUUCUACACACGGGCAAUUAUAUUCCGGGCUAGGUCGUGAUCCAAUCCAAAUUGUCACAAUUUUCACAAAUAUAAUUAUAUAUAUUUUUUAAUUAACAACUUUUAUAGUAACUAAAACCCUGUUUUGAAAAUCAAACUAACUUUACAUAAAAUAUAAAAAAUAUGAAUAGUUUGUUAUCUUAUCUGUUGUAUUCGGACUAUCUAAUUAUUUCAUAAAAUAUAUUUAACUUGAAAUCUUAUUUUCUAAAUUUUUGAAAUACUAGUAUCCUAUAAACUGUACGCAUUAUCCCGUCAUUUUUAUGAUUGUAAAUAGUAAUUUUAUUUGAUUUAUAUCCGCUUUUAUUUAAUCUUUGCCUUAUUCAUGCACAUAUAUAGCUUAUAAUUUUAGUAAUGAAAUUGAGUAAAAAGGUGGCUUACAAUUAAUGAAAAAUCUAAAGUUUUAAGAUUAAAAAGUGGUUUUAAUUAAAGAAAAUCUACAAUUCUAUAAAAGUAGUGUGGUUGAAAAUGGUUUUUAAUUAAAGAAAACCUCACGUUAUGACUCUUACAAGAUGAUAUUUUAUUUUCUGACAAAAACAAAAGAGCUGUUUUUUUUUCUUUUCUUCUAAACCUUUAAAUGAAACAGUUGAAACUCCAAGAGAAAAAGGGCAAGAGUGAACCAAUGAAUGUUUGAAGCAAAGUGACAAAUGGAGAAUAGCCCGAGAAGCAAUGUCAUACCUUUGACUCUUGAGUUCUCCCACGUUGAACUUUGUCCGUUCUCCGAGACAAAUGACCAAAACUAAAGUUUUCAUUACAUACAUAUAUUCGAAUCAUUUUAAUUCAAAUCCUAAUGUAUUGAAUAUCAUCAUGCUACAAAAAACAAACUUUAUUCUCUCUUCUCCCUUUCGGACAUCUCAAGCACACUUAUUUUUGAAACCCAAAAAUAAAAUAAAAACAUUAAUAUCAAAAGAAAAAAAUGAGAAAAUAUAUUUAAUUUAGAAAGCAAGAUAUUAUUACCAUAGGGGAGAUAUUACAUAAAAGAAGAGUUGUGUAAGAAUGAGAUAUUUUCCCAUCCACAAAUCUCGCACCUGAUUCCAUAACAAAAAAAUUCAUCUUCUUCUUCAACGCACAUCUAGUGACUUUUUAUAUGUCCGUAUACGUUGUCUCUCCCAAUAGUUGAAAGAUCUCUUGACGAACUUUUUUUUGGAAUUUUCUUGGGGUGGCAAAAGUCAUUAAAAACACUAAUCAUGUUUAUGUACCUCUUGAAGACGUUUUUGCGUUUACUUUAAACCACACAAACGCGUUCGAAUGGGUAUUCUAACGACGACGAAGACUUAUACUAACUUCGAUUUUGGUGUUGGUUUUAAACAGUUUGUGUACGGUAACACUUUCGUAGUUCUCGAUGCUUUCUGGGGUUCUCUCUCUAAUCUCUUCUUCUCAUUCAGGUAACGUUAAAUUUCUUCUCCUUUGUUUUAUUUUCUCUGCUUUCGAGUUCUUAUUGGUUAAUGGGUUUGUGUUCAUUUAGAGUUAAUUCAGACAAAGAGACAAGCUUGGUCGUGUUCAAGAAACAUAACACAAGCGAUUCCUCUGUUUACGGAGAUCAAAAUCAAAUUGGUGGAACACAAGACGAUGAUGAGAUGGAAAGCUCUCUGGUUUCGAUUAGCAAGAGAUGCGAGUUUUAUUCCGACAAGAAAAGUAUCGUUGGUUUUGUAGAAGAGCCUAAAGCGUUUACCUUUAAGUUUCAUGAUUACUCUGCUACUGUUCAGGAGGAGGAGAUGAAGAAGAAGAAGACUGUGAGAUUCUCGGAUAUUGAGGAAUCGAACACGACUUCCAUGGGUUUGGAGAAAUCAGAAUCAGAGGAUUUUGUGAAGGAACACGUGAAAGAAGAGAUGUUGGUUUAUGAGUUCAUGAAUUGUUGUGUCUUAAAAGAACUUUUAGAUCACGAAGAAAACUUGUUUGAUGAUGAUGAUGAUGGGUUUAUAGAACUCAAUCCAAGUUUACAGAGAUCUCACUUUGCUUAUGGAGAAAGAGAAGAAGAAGAAGAGUUUAUGCAGAGAGAAGAAGAGCUGAUGAAUAUGGGGUUUGAUGAACAAGAAGAGGUAUAUGAUGAGUAUGAUGAUGGUUCAGAUUCAGAUGAUGAUGAGUUUGAGCAUAGUGAUGUGAUUGAGAAACUGAAAACAGAACUAAGGACUGCAAGAACAGGAGGAUUAUGCACCAUUCUUGAGGAAUCAGAGACUACAUUGGAAGAGCUGAAACCACUCAAGAUUGAUUCAAAACCAGAUCAGCACAAAGACAGAAUCUCUGAAAUUCACAAGGUUUACAAGAGCUAUGCGGUUAAGAUGCGAAAACUCGAUGUCAUCGAUUCUCAGACGAUGCAUUCCAUCAGUAAGUUAAUCAAUCCCUUUUUUUAAUCAAUGUUAAACGUUUUUGACAUAUUAGCAAUGACAUGUCUUUAGAGUCUUUUAAUAUUUGUCUGAUUCCACCUCUUGCUUUGAUUGUGAGGACAUGAAUGAUUGUCAAAGAAUGUCUCUUUCCUUCUUAAAUGUUGUCUCAACUACUCGAAGUAUAAUAUUUGUUGGUGGGGUCUAUAGUAGUAACAUAUUGGGUUUGAUUUGCAGGUUUGCUAAAGCUAAAAGAUUCACCUAAACCAAGCAAAAACAAAGCUAAAGCGCCUAAAUCUCCUCUGCAUCAGAAUCUGUGGCCAUUCAAGAAACAUAAGCUUGAAUGCGAUCCGAUUGAGAAAGAAGCUAGUAGAGACUUUGAGACUGUCUAUGUAGGCCAACUUUGUCUCUCGUGGGAGAUGCUUCAAUGGCAAUACGCUAAAGUCUUGGAGUUUGAUUCUCAGGUUCCUUUUUAUCAAUACAAUUUAGUAGCUGGAGAGUUUCAACUAUUCCAAGUUCUGCUUCAACGGUUUGUGGAGAAUGAACCGUUUCAGAACUCAUCUAGAGUUGAGACUUACUUAAAGAACCGUCGCCAUUUUCAUAAUUUCCUUCAGAUUCCCCUUGUAAGAGGUAAGUAAACAUGUUUUCACUAUUCAGUUUAUGUACUAAGCCUUUCUUGCUAAUACAAAAAUCUGCAAUGUUUUCAGAUGACCGUUCCUCGAAGAGUAAUAAGAAAUGUAAAUAUGAAGGAGAAUUCGCGGUAAAGAUUGAAAUGUUGAGAGAGAUUAUCCGAGAGUCAAUGAGUGUUUUUUGGGAGUUUCUUUGUGCAGACAAAGAUGAGUUUACUUCAAUGAUGAAAGUUUCUCACCAAACUCAAGUCUCUCCACAAGAUCCUCUAGAUCUUGAGCUCUUGACAGAUAUCAGAACUCAUUUCCAAAAGGUAUGUAACUCUCCCAUUAUCUCCCAUUCAUUUUGUCAAAUCACAUCAAUGUUCUAUAUCCCACUCAAGAAUUUGUUCUUGCUGUAAUGUAGAAGGAGAAGAAGCUAAAGGAAAUACUAAGAAGCCAAAGCUGUAUAGUAAAGAAGUUAAAGAAGAAUGAGUCGAAGAGUAGUGUUGGAAUCAAGGAUGACAUACUGAUAGCUCAAAUCGAACUGAGACUUGUUUCAAGAGUGAUGAACAUGUCAAAACUUACCACUGAGAAGUUAGUUUGGUGUAGGGAGAAACUUGACAGGAUCAGCUUCAACGGUCGAAAGAUUCACAUGGAACCAUCUUUCUCUUUGUUACCUUUUUGAGCCUUCUCUGCAUAUAAGAUUUAGAUCAUAGAUGUUGGAACAUUUUGGCUUCAUCAGAUCCAGGAAGAUGUCUUUUUGUUGUUGUUCCUGAGAACAAAAUUUUAUAUCAUAAUGAUGAUAUAUUGUAGCUUAGUUUUGUGAUUUUCUCCUUCUACAUUUUAUUACUACAGUUGAUUAAUCUAUGAUUAGUUGAAUAAAAUCACAAUAGAAAAUAUUUAUUUUCACAUUAAAGAUCCGAAUUCAUAUACAAAGCCACAAAGGACCUUUAUUCCUGAACACUACACAGUACACUACACACUGAAGCAGCAAUGUAUUUCUGAUUCAAACCUUGAGGCUUGAACUUAUAGUGGGCCUUGGGCCGUUUGGCUUAAUAAUCUCUGUUUUGUAAGCCUAACAAGCCUGUAAAAUCUCGUCUGUUAAUGAUCAUAAUUCAAGAUGUGAUCUGAUCCGUCCGAUCUAGGGCAAAAGGGUAUUGUAAGUGAAAAAGCCCUUAUAUAAGAUUAAGCUUAGCUUAUAAAGCCACUUCUCUGCUCCGUCAAGCUGAGGAGGAUAAAACCCUAGCAGAUACGAGAGGGUUGUGAGAGAGAGAGAGAAGCGAAAAUGGUGCAGCGUCUUGUUUACCGAUCGAGGCACAGUUACGCCACCAAAUCAAACCAGCACCGGAUCGUCAAAACCCCAGGUCUGUUCUGUUUCUUCAGCUGAGAAAUCAAAUUCUGGAUUCACCGAUCUAUCAGAUGUGUAAUGUAUUUUGUGUAUUCUUUGAUUUGCAGGAGGUAAAUUGACUUACCAGACCACAAAGAAGAGAGCCAGUGGUCCUAAAUGUCCCGUUACCGGCAAGCGUAUCCAGGGUGUAAGUAGUCUUCUGUUUCUUAUCUCUUAGAUUUGAUUUGGUAACAUGUUGAUUCUAAAGUUGUGUCCUUUGAUUGAUUUUGGAUUGACCCGGAAAUGAUAAUUAGAUUGAGUCUUUGAGUUGAUUGUGUUGAGGUUGCAAAUGCAUUGAUUGUUGCAAAUGUAGUAGCUUUGGUUGAUUUGUGAGUGUGCUUAUUGACGGUCUUGUGCUGGUUAGAUGAAUCCACAUCAGUAGAUAACUUUAUCAUAAGCUAAAUUUAGUGCAGCCUUGUUACUUUUAGUUUUCUCCUUUUGUAUGUAAGGAGUCUUCUUUUAUCUUGGCGGCAGAAACUUUUGUACUAUGUGUAUGUAUUUUGUAUUCUUGGUGUCUGAAAAUGUAUUAGUUUUGUUUCUGUUGUGCUUAUUGACGGUCUUGUGCUGGUUAAGAUUAAUCCACAUCAGUACAUAACUUUAUCAUAAGCUAAAUUUAGUGCCGCUUUGGUCUUUACAAGUUUUCUCAUUUUGUAUGUAAGAGUAACCUUAUUUCCUUGGCGGCAGAAAUCUUAAUAACUGUUAUUGUUUGGUUUACAUCAAUUGUAAUUGAUGUGGUGUUAGUUGUUUCUGCCAUCUUUCUUCAGCACCUAAACUUGUUUCUCUUUGAUUCUUUAGAUCCCUCACUUGAGGCCUGCUGAGUACAAGAGGUCUCGAUUAUCCAGAAACAGGAGGACUGUUAAUCGUGCUUAUGGUGGUGUUUUGUCUGGUUCUGCUGUUAGGGAAAGGUUAGUUCUUGAGCUCAAUCUUUGUAUCAGUUUUCUUUAUAAACAAAGGACUAAUUUAAUUGCUUCUUGUGAUUACAGAAUCAUCCGUGCUUUCCUUGUGGAGGAGCAAAAGAUUGUGAAGAAGGUUUUGAAGCUUCAAAAGGCAAAGGAAAAGGUUGCUCCCAAGAGCUAGACCCAUUUAGUUUUUAUCUUUUAUGGCUCUGUUCUAGCGAUAGUACUGGUUGCAGAGAAACAUUGUGUACUCAUCCAAAUUUUUAAGCUUUUUUGUAUUGGUUUUGAAUCUUUGCCUCUGUCGACAAUUCGCUUCGGUUUUGAUUUCUCGUUUCUUUGAGUUCAUCCUACCCUCUUAUCUUAUCUUUUGGACAUGAUUAAUACUUUUUAUCGGUUUGAAGUAUAAAGCUAAAAUUGUUUAUCCCGACGAGAAAAUUACGAAUCAUAUUCCUUCUCUUCGGUAGAUUAUCUGGAUUAAACUUGUUUUGGGGACAAAAGCUAAACACAACAAAGACAUACGCUUCUAUAUGUUUACUCGAAUUGUUCUGUAUGAAAAUUACAACCCGAUGAUCACAAGGUUCAGAUACUCAAGCCGCACACGUACAACGUCUUAUAUCAUAACACAUACUCCUCCCAGUUAAGCUUUAGACCAAAGCAUUUUGUAAACACCAUAACUCUGAGUGAAGGUAGUAACUAUUUUGACUGAAAUGCUCAGAUAUACAUUAUGGAGGGUACAAAUAUUGAACAAAAAUCCUCAGGCUCAGACUUGCAAAAACUCUCAAGUUUGGGUGUUUGUAUCAGAAACCUUGCUUCAUCCAACUCGCUGAAUCAAGAUUUUUUUGGCAAGGAUCGAUUUAUAGGUCUUGAAAAAUUUGUAACACCUAACUUUCAUUAUAUGAUAUUUAUUCUCUUUCAUUGCCGAUUGCCUAAUCUGCUAUGGUAUGACGUAAUUAUAUUGGCAUGUAAAAUGUUCUUUUCAUACUUAAAUACGACUCCGGAUUAAGUUUAUAACUCAUUGUGUUUAUGAGUUAGGAAUCGUUUAAAAAAAAAACCCAUUAGUUUGAAAGAAGAAUCCGAAAAAAGCAGAGCUUUAAGCAAACAUAUAAAAAUCUUGGGGAUAUGAUCAUGUUAUAUCAUAAAUAUAUUGAAUAACGUCUCUCAAGUAAUGGAGAAAGAAGUAGACAAUGAGGAAUAGUAAUUAUCUAGCAACAUGGAGUGAUGCUUCUGAUCUCCAACAUUACUUGAAGGCAAGUGAUGUAGAGCAUGAUGAUCCGGAUUCGUAUUACUCAAUAUAUUCUCCUCAAAACGGGUCUCAUGAUGGUGCUCUUGUGGCAGACUCACCAAUGCAGGACACUGUUCUUGGGCCAAUACCGAACUAGUGAGGUCCCCUAUAUGAUUUGUGUAUUCUUCCAGAAACGAUGAGUCUGUUGACGAGAUCAUGUAGUUGGUAAUGAACUUUGGGAACUGAGGUGGUUGUGUUUCUUGUGGGAAAAGCAAGAGGUUUCUCAGGUGCUGUUGGUCUAGACGAGAGCCAGGACUGUCGGAGGAACUGAAAUCCAAGUAAGAAAAGGGGCUAGUAGUUGUACAAGUACUAGUCUUGGUAGCCUCUUUAUGAUCGAAGCAUGAACUCGGUUGGGUAACAUUCAUGUCUUCAUUGUAAAACUUGAAGCAAGAACUAUUUUGGAGGAUCUUGUCUGAAGAAAUUUGGGAUGUGUUUGAUGGUUUUUCAUAGGGUUUUAUAUGGGUGCUUUCGUCUUGCGGUAAUGAGGAAACAAAGGAGUGAGAGAUAGCUCUAAAAGCCGUUGUGUUUAUCUUCUUUAAUAUUCUGCAUAUUGCCCAUGAAUCCUGCAUUUCACAUAUACAAAUAAGAUUAAACUAACUAGGUAACAAAAUAAAUAGUCCAAAGGAAAGAAAAAUACGAAAGAGUAUAAAAUAUAAAAAUAAGAUUUGACUGCAAAAAAUCAAAGAAAAAUACAAAAAAAAAAGACUUGUUUUUGGUCCAUAAAUAAAACUUAUGCACAAUUAACUACAGACAAAAGUAUCAUUUGUCAACUUUAUAAGAAACUAAUUUCUUUAUAUAAACGAAACCAUGUCAUAAAUUAUUGACUAAUUAAUUGAGUUACCUUUAACUCAAUUCCUUUAAACACAUUACAUAUCUAUAUGCAUGGAAUUAUACAACAUGUCAACAUAUGAGCGUAUAACUAAAAUACUAUGGUAGCUUAAGUGCUUAACCACUAAUUAAUAACGUGUACAUUGCUUACGUUUGAAGAGACAUGAUGAGUAUCACCGAGGGUGUGUGAAGAAGUAGAAGGCAAACGGAACUCAUGCAUCAUCCAAUCUGUCUUAAUGCCUUUAGCAGCUUUUCCACUGUAAUACACAAGUGACUUCCUCAGGCCAAUGAAUUUGCUUCCGUCCGAUGAGUAUAUCGGCCUGUCCGUUCCCGUGGCUUUCCAGAAUCCAGCACCAGUCACUCGGUUCGGUCUCGUGCUGUUCCUAUACUUUCUAUCUCUUGGACAGUAGAAGUACCACUCUUUCUCACCCAUCAUCGCAAAUUCUACAUUCAUCAAACAUAUAUAUUUUAGGGUUUUCGAAAGAAGAGGAAGAUAUGUAGAAGGUAAAAGAGAUUGUACGUACUUGGAAGAUCCCAUGGGUCAUAUUUGUAGAUGUCGAGCUGUGUAAUGAGCUUGAUGGAGAGUGGGCGAUUUUCAACCUUCCGCUUAAGAUAGAAACUCACGAGCUCUUCGUCUGUUGGAUGAAAUCUAAACCCAGGCAACAACACAUCUUCCAUUUUCAUAGCUUCUUCGUUAAUCUCUCCCAUAUUAGUAUUAGUGAAUGUUUUGGACAAGUGCUUAAACUUUGAACACUUUGUGUAUGAAGAAAGAUAUUGUGUUAGUGUGACAAGAGUAGUGAGAUUUUUUUUAAACCCUAAAUGGAAAAAAGAGAGAGUUGGUAUGAGUGAAGUUUAUUUGCUUGAUUCGAACACAAAUAUAUGCUGCCCUGUGAGGGGUCUGACCCCGAAGGAUCAGCCGCCUUUUCUGCUGAUUUAUUGACAAAUAUUUUAAUGGAGAUCAGAGUUUAAUUUGUUUGAAAUCAAAAGUGUUUAAGUACUUAGUAGAAGCAUCUCUAGAUCAAAGUUUGCGUACUGUCUUGGGGUAUACGUCAUAGUAUAGUUUAAAUUUGACCUCUUUUUGGACUGUCUUAUAUAUGGCAAGAGAAGUUGCAUCAUUUGUUUGUAACCAAAAUACGUUUGGCAUGCAUAUACUUUUUCCAUUGUCUAACUAUCUUGACUUCCUAUUAAUUAGAUACGUAUCGUGGAAUUAUAAAAGCGUCUACGUGACAUGUUAAUAUUUCUCAACGUUGUGUUAGUUUUUGUAACCAGUUCGUUUUAAAUUAUUUGAAGGUUCUAUAUAAGGCAAUAAGCAUUAUAGUGAAUAAUUUAUACAGUGUGUAAUUUAUUAUUUAUGUAAACUCAUGUAAUUAAUUAAGAAAUGUGUUAAGGCCGUCCCUCUUGUUUGACGUGUGUGACAAAAACCGAGGCGUACCAAAAGAUUCGAAACUAGAACUAACAUAGCAUUAGUUAAAUUAAUUUAGUUUUAAAGAAUCUAAUGCUAUGCUCAAAAUCCGAAAUAUCUCUGAACGUUUCAUUCUUAUUCGAACAGCUUCUUCUAUUCCCACUGAUUUCUGUCAGGCACUAGCAAAUUUAGGUUUUUGACUCUAAAGACAAAUGCUAACAUGUGUGAUUGAAUAUAUAGUAUGUUAACAAUUCUAUCCCUUUUUAAAAAUCUAAUCGGAUGUUUUCUUCUGUUGUAUUCUUCUAAUCGCUUAAUUUUGACCACACUAUACUUCUCAUAAAAUUUAUCUACGACAAAAGAAUGACUUCUAUACGAUUUUCAUGUCCACAUGCAUGUGUAUUAGUUUUGAAUUAGUGAAAGUGAUUAGACAAAAUAAAUGAAUACUUAUUAAUGACUUGUAGAUACUACGAACUAAAAAACACAUUUACAAGAGGGCGCCUGAAAUAUUCACAAGGUAAAAAGUCAAAUCUGCCUAUUUUUAACUUCUUAAUUUUGAUGUGGGUUUUGGCAAAAUAUCGAAUACCAAAGUAUAGAAUUUCUCAAUAAUUUUCUUGCUUUUAGUAAAUCUGGUUGAGGUUCAAAAUUUACUUCAUCAAUAACCUAUGAUUUCUUUAAUAUUUUCUUCUCUACAAGUACCAUCAAUUUUAUCAAGUAUUUACUUUAGUGUCAAAUAGUUAUUAAUACACAUACCAGCUAAAUAGGUAAAAAUUUGAAAUUUUUAAAAGUGACCGAGACUAAUGCAUGAUGUUCAACUAGACUUUAUAUAGAAGUUGUACUAAUUACUACUCUGUAUUUAGUAUUUACGUUACGUUUUACUUUUGUUUCCUAACGAAUUUUAGAAUUUCAGUAUGACUUUUAAAGUCAGUAUCCUAUUGAUUGACUUACUCCAAACCAUGAUCGAACUAUAGGCCAAACUCUAAGAAUACAUCAAAUUCAAUGAGAUCACAAAAAGCCAAGUUUCCUCGGUUAAUACCCAUUUUGUCUCUUCAAAUUUUCUGUUGACUCAGUUUGUUUGUUUUUUAACUUCCCAAACGUGUAUACUUGAUUUUAGAGCUUUAAUUAAAUUUUAAUGACCCAUUGUCUUAUUAAGUAAUAGUAUGAAAAUGUUAGGAGUCAAAGUAUGGAAGUCUUCAAGCCCAAGCAUCCAUACCUCUGUCUUCGCGAACAUGUUGUAUGAGUAUUAAUAAUGUCUUUGGCUCUGUCUUUAGAAAACACAUUUACAUUGCACCCAAAAAGUCUACUCCAUCUCCACUACCAUUUUUGAAUAAUAUAUCAUUAGAGUAACCGACCUCCUUAAUCAAUCCUCAUCAAUAAGACUAUGGUCAAUUAAUUGAAUAAGAAAGAUUUUGGCUUGCACUACAAAAUUCAAAGAAUCCAAUAUUAAAAUAAGGAGAAUUAUAAAUUUAUAAUAUGUGGACACUUCACUAUGUCCAGAUCUAAAGAACCAUACACUCAUUGCAAGAGAGCCUCUAGAACAUUAUCAGAUCAUCAACUCUCUCUAAUCCGUUGCUAGCACUCACAAACAAUGCUUAAACUGCACUACUUCACUUCGUAUCAUCUAUCUAUUGGCUAUAUACACUUGGAGACCAUUUUUUUGCAGAAUCUAUAACCUCACAAUUCUCCUCUGCUCUUCAAAUUCAUCUACUCCAGUGCUUCCUCCCUCUUACCAUAGCCACAGUUGUUUUAUAUGAUUUUCUAAACUACAUUAUUAAAAUGUAACUAAGUAUCAAGUCCUUAUGAAAGACCUUGUAGACAAAUAGAUUUAACAAAACCAGUGUGUGGUACAAUAAUACAUGCAAAACAAAAACCCAAAGUAGAACAACAGCUCGAUAAUGUUUAUAUACAAAUCUCAACUUCAACUACUUAGCUCUUGGAAAAAGAAAGGCAAAACGCAAACCAGUUCUGUUUCUGAUUUAUAAAACUACACCUCCGUGACACAAGUAUCAUCCAUUAGCCAACCUCAGGGCAGAUAAACAAACAUAUAUCCAAAAUCCAAUGUCUUAAUCUUCUUUGAAUUCUUUAGUAGGACGUGCUUCGAAUCCUCCAUCUUCUCUUUUCUCAAGAGAAUAUGGCAUGUAAGUUCCCAGAAUACGAUCCCACAUGACAAAGAAAGGCUGAGAGAAAUUGUAUUUGGUUCCAUAGAGCUGAUGAUGGAUAUCAUGGUAAGCCGAGUUGUUCUUGAAGACCAUAUGGAAUAAGUUUCCAGGAAGCCAGAGACCACAAUGGUCAUCCACGGUCUUGAUUGUGGCGAAAGAGAAGAAGAAGAUGGAAGUUCUUGGAGACAUACCAGAGACUAGGAAAGAUAAGGCCCCACCAAUUGUAUCCAAGAGAAGACCUUCCACUGGAUGGUUGUAUAACGCUCCAUAUGCAUAUGGGACAAUGAGACGGUGGUGUUGAGAGUGGAUAUGUUUGUAUAAGAACUUGUUGUGAUGCAUAUAUCGAUGCAUGAAGUAUUGCCAUGUGUCGAGGAUUAUCAUGGCUGUCACAAACUGUCUUGCUAGAACCAAAAGGGAAAACUGUUGCGCUUUGUCUGCUUCGUCAUCACUUUCUGUCACCUGCAUAGACAAUAGAGCAGCAUAUUUGAUGAGGGUUAACGCAAGAAACCAGAACAAACAAAAAAUAAGUUAUUCCAUGGUAUUGACAAAUCAUCUAUGAGAGACGAGUCAAAUAAGAAAAUGAAAUCUCUCAAAGACAUUUCUAGUAACCCGCGCGGUCCACGACAUAACAAGUACUGAGGCUAAACAACAUUCAAGUGCCAGGAAAUGCAGCAGAGUAGAGGUAACGAAGGCAAACAAUAAUCUAUGACACAGCUUCAGGGAUUAUAACAGCAUUCCUGCUAUCACUACAUAAUAACUCAUUGUAAUUUAUUCAACAAACAACCUUGUCUAAUCAGAUUUAGAAAGGUUGUUUAUUGCUACUCGGCUAUUUCUUGGUUGAGUACAGUUUUCUCAUCACUCAUCAGCUAAGCUGAUAAAAACCAAAACCAAUACCUUCCUUUACUCCUCUCUGAAUCCAAUACAACUGAAAAACACAGGACUAACCAACAGUCCUAGGGUGAAUUCUAGAACAACCUACUCUCUCACAAGUCCCAAACCAAUUGCCAAUACACUAACAACGCCUUUCACUGGUCUCUUAAAUCCUUAUUACUCAAGCUAUCCUCUAACUCUAACUCUCUGUCUAGUUUAUAACACUAAUAGUCAUGAAAGAUUAAGAAUAGUUCAUCUAUAAUCUAUAUCCAAGACUUAAAAACUUUCUUCUGGCAUCCUUACUUUAAAUUUGGUCAAAGAACCUACACAUUUGACAAAUGCUCCAACUAAAAUCAGAUCAUUAAUGCAAAAAAAAAAUUCUCUUUUUGGGUGGAAAACUACAGCAACCCAAAAAGAUUCAACCUUUUGUAAAAUUCAUCAUCAUCCAUCACACCCAUAAAAACGUCAGCAUCAGAUAUCAAGAUUCCCCAAUUUGUUACCAUUUUUUCACUCAAACUUCACAAAGCAAAAAACUCCAAAAUGGGGAGAGAAGAAAAAAAAAAACCAAAACAUUACCGUGAACAAAAGGAUAGCGACAACAGCUUGAACAACCUGCUGAAGAAGAACACCUUUCACAACAGCAGAUUUCGAGACAAGAUUCUUCUCUGCUUCUUCAGCCUUAGAAUGUAAUCUAUAACUCUCCAAAGACGACAGCGCUACGUAUAUCCCAGAAUACAACCAAUACACCACAAUUGGAGCAACAGUUCCAAGCAAUUCAUCCGAUACAGCAAAACCCAUCAUUCCCUAAAAUCUCUCCUAAUCUCAGAUCCUCUUCAUCAACCAAACGCAAAUGAUGCAGAGGGGAGAAAAAAAUAUCCCAAAAAAGCUAAAGAUUAUUCUUUUCACAGGAAUCGAGAGAGACAACUUCCAAAGGUUUGAUUUUUAUCUUUCAAUCGGGGAAGAUUUGAUAAUUGAAUCGAUGAUUGGGGAUAGUUUAGGGUUUGGGCGUAUUGAGUUGACAAAUCAACGAUGAAGAAGGAAACAAAACCAAUACUUGCGUUUUGUCUGAGAGACAGACGUGGCUGAACUGUACUCAUUGACAGAAAAAAAAUUAAAAUAUCCAAGUUAUCCAGUGAGGUCAUAUCUACAGUGACCUGACCUACGUGACGAAAUCUAAAGCGUUUAUAAUUUUUGAGUUGAUCCUUAACGUUCGAUUCGGUAACCAAAAUAUCUCGUUAACGUGUUACUUAUCGUAUCUGAUUUUCACUGUUACCGCUUCGUGAUUGGUUUGUUUCAUGUCGUCUGUGAAAACGACGCCGUAUAUGUUGGAUGCUUGAAAAUUUUGAUAAUGUUGGGUUUUUAAAUAUUUUGAUAUAUCAACUUGUAGAAAAUACAACAUUAUUUAGCUUCACAAUUGAUCAAAUUUCCAAAAAUUGUAUAACCCCGUUUCAAACCGCACAUAAGAUGAUCCAUAAGAUAAAACAGUGUGGUACUUGAUCGAGUGGCUUAACUGGAGAAAUAUUAAGACAAGAUAUGAUCUUUAAUUUCGCUAUUUCUGUAUAAAUGUUUUGGAAUAAACAUAGAGUACGUACUAUAUCAUAUAAGGAGGCAAUAUGAAUUAAUCCUUCUAGUGAAAAACAAACAAAAAACAACAACUACAGAAAACCAUCUUUUCUUUUAAACACAAGUUUACGGAAACUAAUUAAAGAACUCGAAAUGAUGCUGCCUCCGUUUAACAUCCCAGAUUCAACCUAGUGUCGUAAAUCUUUUCUCGGUUUGUAACAGUAGUUGUUUUGUAUUACCCAGGUCUAAAGCCCAAUUUGGGAUCAUGAGAUGGCACAUUAGUAAAGGCAUAGUAUUUGACCCAAAAAAAGAGUAAAGGCAUAGUAUUAUGUCGUAAUGCAGUAGAAUAGUCUACUCAGAGUAGAUGAUUUGAUACUCUAAAAGUAAUUAAAUAUAGAGACUAGAUGAUGGAGAGUAUAAAAUCCUUUCUUUUAAAAACAAAAUUAUGGAAACUAAAGAACUCGAAAUGAUAAUUAAAAAUUGGUCCAAGACAUACAGUAUUAUGUCGUACUGAAAUAGUAGCUAGUAGUAGUAGUCUACUCAUAGUAGAAGAAUAAUAGAUAUAUAAUUUGAUACUCUAAAAGCUAAGUAAAUAUAGAGAUUAGAUGAUGUGAGAGUAUUUGGUUGCAGAAACAAUUUUGAAUUCGGCCACAACAUUCAAAGUGUCGUCUUUGUCCAAGUAAGUCUUCCGAAGUUCAGCUAAAGCCAAAAAGUGUUUCCACCCCCAACCCAAGUUUGAUUUCUCGUGCCAGUGUUUUACUGCAAAAAGAAAAAAAAAAGAAAAAAAAAAAAGAGAAGUGAAACAUAGUUAAAAGAAAAAGACGAAUGAAUAUCUCAAGAAGUAUGAAUUAAUUAUUGUUAUGAUUAUUAUAAGAUAAUAACACAACUGUCUUAUAGAAUACGAAACUACAUUGGUAUCCCAUAUGUUUGGAGCCAAGCGGGUCUAGAACUCGCAAAUGUACUUGCGUGAAUAUCUUCUCAUCUGAUUUUAGUGUUUCAGUAUCAGCUAAAUGAAGAUAAAGGGAUAAAUGUUUGCCAUCUGAUAUAGAGUCACCCUUCGGAUGCAGCUUUAGAAUCCUACAACGUAACGCAUGAAAUAUUAUUGGACUCGUUAACAUUUACACACUUGUAUCUUUGUAUAGUUACGUACAUAUUUCUUAGUGCAACAUAGAUAUAUAUAUAUAUAGAGGUACUAACCAUUUCCUUCCUCCCAAUUGAAAAACUUUUGGAUGUGUAAACAGUCUCUUUCAACUUAGAAAGAUUCUCAAGAGUCCAAGAGAACUUAUUAGGGAUUUUCUCAUCAAAAGAAAUGAUCUCCCAAUUGGUAAGAGGCGGAGCAACAAGAACAUCAACACCAAACUCACAUUGACCUCCCUCAAAGAUGUAUCCAUCCUCAGGGUUAAUAAAUGUAUCAUAUGGAAGCACUUGUUGCAAUCCCCACACCAUUUUGAGCGCAUUGAACCGCUUUACUUGUACAUCUGAAAAUGUAAUAGAUAUGGCUUUGUGAAUAUAUGUAUAUACAUACACGCAUAGGUCUAACUAAAGAAAUAAAAAGUUUCACCUUGAAUAGUAAAAUACUUGUUUUUCUUCUUGUUGUAGACAAAGAAGCGGAGUUCAGCGAAAACCUCAGUUGGUGGUGUGGAUACCAUCAAGCUCGUGCUGUCUAAUUCCACGUACAUGGAUAUAUAUCCACUUCCAUUGUCCUUUUCGUUCCCUUUCGGAUAUACUAUCAAUCUCCUGUUUUUUUAAGAAACAGGACAUAACUAUUGAUAUGUCUUGUAUGUUCUUCUGAAAACCGUAUGACUUUAUGUCAUAGCUUGUAUGUAUGGGAGUUUAAGAUAUAUAUAUAUAUAGAUAUAUAUACAUUAUAUAUAUUUUUAUAACGAAAAAAUAAACAGAUAUAUUGAUAUUUCUGAUGAUGAUGUGAACAACGAAGAAAGCAAGAUUUGGGUCUCUAAUAUAUAUACUGUACAUGGCGCUUAGACAAUCCGAUCCGUACCAGUUGUAUUUACCGGAGGUGAAAAGAUGAGACUGGUAUUUUUGAUCAGAGGCGGCGGUAGAAUUCUCAAGUUGUGAGAAGUUUUGAAUCUUAAAGGGAAUAAGAAGAAGGAGGAUGCUGUCUCCAGCUCCUCACAAUUGGAGAAACUGCUGCUAGUGCUGCGCAUGAACCCAUUCCUACGAAUCUUAAGCUAUAAUGUAUUUGUUGUGGGCACUAUAUGUAUUUGACUAUUGAGUUCAAUCCUAGGUUUUGGACAAUAUAUAAGUACGUUUUAGGAAAACUAGGUUUAUAUAUUAUAUUUUCCUAAAACUUACUUAUAUCUUUUUUAAUAAGUUAAAUUGUUAAUGGACUAUUCAAUAUGAGCAUGCAAAUAAUAAUUACUAAGAUGCUAUUAAUAAGAAUGCAAAUACAUAUGUGUAAUUGGAAAUAACAUAUUAGGGAAUGCGUAACAGUUUCAAUGUCUCAAAUCGAUUUUAUUAGAAUUAGAAGAGCCAUGACUCGUGAAUCCAGGCGUUGACACCGUUUAGAGUAUACAAAACAUCCAAAUUUCAACUUGUGUUUUCUCCCAUAUCUGUAUUUUUAUAGUCAAGAGAAAUGUUUGAGUAAUGACAAUCUCAUCUUUCUUAACAAUCUGUUUGAUUCUUAUAUUGGCAACCAGUGAUUAAUUAACCAUUUACAAAGAGCUGCACAGAAGACGCUCAUCCAUGCAUGAGAGAUACAAUUAAGAUAGUUUAGGAGAAAAUUUAUGAUCAUUUCCCCAUCAUAGUAAUUUGUGAUGGAACUUGCACCUCUCGUGUAUUCUGUGGGAAAUUGAGUCUCCUCUGUCUAACUUUCUUUAAUGUUCCUGAAUAAUAAAAUAAAAAAAGAAUAAAAACUGUGAGCAUAAACAACUGUUUCUACAAUAAUAUGAUUUGCAAAUAUGGUAUAUGCUUUACUUGAAUUAUCAACAAAUAGUCAACUUGAACAAACACAAUAUAUAGACAACUUGUCUAUGAGUCAAAAACUCAUGUCAUCGAAGUCGAACAUGCGCCUAAAUAGAAGAGAAGCUGAACGCUAAUUUGUAAGAUCAAAAACAAAAACAAUUAAAUAUUUUCUUUUGAACAGAAAUUUAUAAUUUACCAAUAAGAAAAGCUGACUAACAAAAUAAGGGAAACAACGAAGCAAAACAAACAGAGAGACAGUGUUCUCCAAACGUUUUAGGCUAAAUAGCGGUAAAGUUUCCGGUCUGUACUAUCCCUCUCCAAGAAAUCGCGUUCAAUGAGUGACUCGAUUCUCUUCUUUAUCUCUGUCGGGUUUGCCAAGAACCGCGACUGCAACUGUUUGGUGACCUCUGCGAUUAUGUUGUUGUGAUCCAACAGUCGUCUCGCCUUCAUAAUCCUCACAAUGGCUGCUUCAAUCUGAGGUUUCCUGUCUUCUUCUACUCUCUGUCUCGUCUCUUGCUUCUCUGGUUCUGUCUCCUUUUGUGCCACCACUGUUCCUAUCUUCACUUUGUAGAAUUUGCUUGUGAACCUGUCGUUCACAACAAACGAGUCCUCUUCUGCUAUGUCCUUGCUCAUUGGUUCUUUUCUUAGCACGUUUUUACCCUUUACACAUGCCAUUGACUGCAAGCAACGCUUUAGAUCUGACGCAGGGAUUUCAGUUGCAUGUUCGAUCUCUUUGUAGCUUAGUCGAUCGGAGUUGUUGAACAGCAUAAGGACACACAUUUGGAAAGUAGAAACAUUUAGUUUGUGCCUUUGGCUCUUUCCAAACACUGCUUUGAUAUCUGCUGUGCCCAUAUUGGUUUGCCAAGAUAACCUCCUCCCAGUGUGAGUCCCGAGGUAAUAUGACCUGAACUUCUCACACAGAACAUAAACUUCUGCAGGUAGGUUACAAUGUACGGUUGGCUGUGUGGGCCAAGAACCAGUUGUGAGAACCUGAACGACAAGUGUAGGCCCUUCUGAAAGUUCGGGAUGACUAUAAUAAAAUCCUAGCAGCGUGUCAUGUGAAGUCUUCAUGUCAGUAAACAUACCUUCCAAUUUCGAAGUGAACUGAUAUCCACAUUCUGUCUUCAGUUUCACUAUAAGAUUCCUCUCUGCAUCAUCCGAAACUGUUUUUCCAGAUAGAAGCCUUUUCGCCAGAUGCUGUUUGUAGUAUUUCUCAAAAACGUCUUUCUCCUGUAAGUAGCGGAACAACAUCAUCACCUUAUCAAGAAUAAGAUCCACAUCCUCUUCUCCCACACCUUUUAGUCCUUUUCGUAGGUUAUCAUCAACAAACAGGGAGAUAAACUCAAGAGAACGGGUGUUCAAGUUGAGGAAAUACUCAAACGAAGAAUUCAAAGCAUUCUAGAAUGUCUUAUCAUUGCUGAAUGCCAUGUUGAUAAUUUUGUCAUAUUUAUCCCUUUCAUCCAGUAGACGCUGCACAAAUUCAACAGGAUCCUUUGAUUUCUCUGGAUCGGUAACCAGCUGUUUUCCCAUCUCCCUAAGAUGCAAAGUCAUAACAUCUCUGACUGUAACAAGACCAUUACUAACCCUGCGGAACAAGCUGUACAUUCUACCCAUAUCCUCAUACUUGUCAUUCAGAAGCAUAUUAACCAAACCUGAAUUCUCCAUGUGAACUAGUCUCUGGACAUGGUUGGCAAUCAUCUCUCUUUCAACCACACUAGUAAUCUUCGCUUCGCUCUUGGCAUCCAAAUAGUGAGCUACCCUUUCCACUUCUUCAGUGAGAGGUUUCUCCGCUUUCUUCAAGUAAUCACCACAAUCACAAGACUCAAUGAAUCCCUGUGACUCAACCUUGUAAAAAUCAGCAGAAGCCCCCAAAAACGGCUUCUCAAAAUCCUCCUGAUACACAGAUUCACCCAAGUCCAUGAACAUCUUAAUCACAUUCCUCAUCAACACCCUAUCAAUAACUUCACCAGUCCGUUCCUUAUGAACUAAAUCAAGAAGCGUAUUCAAAAGCCGCGUCUGAAUCUUGCUCGAAUGCACAACAUUAUCCCUCCACAAAUGAAGUCCAAGCUCAUGAACACGAGUUCGAAACGUAAGUCCGAUCCAUAUACAUCAGAAUAUCCCUAAUCAUUUGCAACGCUUUGUUGUGAUCAUCCCAUUUCCUAUUAAGCAGUUAUAGAAACGCCCCUCCUUGAGCUUCUUCAAUAGACUUACAUAUCUCUUUGAGAUGAAACGUCAUAGUGGUAACAAGUCCAGUAUAAAGCUUCUCACCAAAUUUAUGUAGAACCAUGUUGUACGCGUUCCUGAAAGAAACCAAUAUACAUAAAAGUUUAAACACAGCUUCAGAACAACACAAACAACAAGGGCUUAUACCAAAACUACUACCAGUAGCUAAAUCAAAGUCAAAUCUAUGGUAGAUGUAAAGCUCUUCGAAACUGAGUCCACUUGCGUUGUGAUUGUAAAUCUCAUGAAUCGCAUGUUCGAUGAUCUUCCAAGUCUUGUCGGCGUAUUUUGGAUCAACCACGACUCAUUGCUUAAACGCUUCAAUCUGGAAAUUUCUCUUCCUCUGAUUACUCAUGUUGAUAAAAAAAAAAAAACUAAAAUAGAAACAAAAAAAAACACCAAAGAGAAUCAGAAAAUCACUUCAAAGCAAAACAAUUCUAGAAACAAGCAGGAACAAACGAUGAUCGAAGAAUUGAUUAAACCUUAGCUCUCAAUCGAGGAGGAAUCAGAAGAAAUCGGAGGUUAGGGUUUGAGAUGUUUGAAGAAGGAAGAAGAAGUUGAAGGUUGAAGAUGAUGAUGAUAGGCUGAUAGCAAUGGACCGGUUCGCAAACAAAAUUUUUUAUUUUUUGUAAUUGUGUUCUUCUCCCAGUGGUUUUGAUUACCUCUUUUGUUACUUCGUCCCCCUUGGUUCGAAUCUUAGAUCGAUCAAAACACGUAGAUAAUAAUAAUAAAAUGCAUAAAUGGGCUUUUAAAUUGUUAAACGGAUGGGCCUUAAUUAAAAAAACUUGUGCCAAACAAUACAUGCCGUUUCAAAGAAGUCGUUCCUUGCUUAUUUUUCUCAUUCGGCAGACAUUGAAGAAGAAGAAGAACAAAACACACUCCUAAAAUCGUUCUUGGUUUUUCGAAUUUUGUCUCUGAGUGAAAUUUCUGGUAAAUUUUUAUUUGUUUUUCUAGCAAACUUUAUGUCUUUGAUUUUGUUUGGGUUUUUCAAUUGUGGAAAGGAUUACCAAAAAAGAAAGAGUCGAAUUAAGAAAAGUUGCGAUUUUGUGGUUCCUUUUUUUUUAAUUAUUCUCAGUUAAAACAUAAAAUGGAUUUUUUUUUCCUUCUUGUUUGCGUAAAUUUAACGCUUCUGUUCGCACGUCAAAGCAACGCUUCUUUUGAUUCUGAGUGAUAUAAAUACUCUAGCUUCAAUUUUUUUUUUAUUUCCCUGCAACUUGGCUUUUUCUUCUUUCUCUUUUAUUUUCCAGCUGGUACUCUUCUCUCUUCUCUUUAUUCCCAAAUUUAUGAUUUUUUUGUUUUGUUUUUGUUUGCAAUUAUGAUCUGAGUGCUUGCAUUAGUAGUAGUCUAGUGUAUGCUGGUUAUAGAUCUCUUUUUGCAUUAGUAGUAGUCUAGUGUAUGCUGGUUAUAGAUCUCUUUUUGGCAAAAUUUAGUGUUUUUUUUGCCUGUCAAGUUUUAAUCUUUUCGAGGAUUUUGUUUUUUGAAUGUAGCUAAACAUGUCUGGUGAGUUGUGUUCGGUGAGACCUUUGUUCGGUGGCGCUAUUUCCACUGCCUUCCCUCAGAGAUUUGAGGUUCUGUCAAUAACUCUGUUCUUCUUCAUCUUCUUCUUCUUUCUUUUUCGCUGCUAAUCAAAAAAUGGGUUUACUGAAUUUAUUGACGGUUUUAUUGUGAAACUUCAGGAUGUGAGUAAUAUCCGACAAGUUCCAGAUCAUCAGGUUUGGUUCUUUCGUUGUUCAAAGAUUUGGAAUUGUUUCUAGUUAAGAUGUGUUGAAGAACGGUCCUGAAUAUCUUUGUUGCUUUUAUCAUUGCUUUUACAGGAAGUUUUUGUGGAUCCUUCAAGGGAUGAGAGUUUGAUAUUUGAGUUGUUAGAUUUCAAGACUGAGGUUGGUGACAUUGGCAGUGCUUCUUGGUUCCUUAACGAUCUUGCGAGUGAGCAAGAUGCAGAAGGAUUCCAGGUAACACACACUAGAACCCUUCUUAUAUGUUUAGAAGACAAAUCAAUUAAAAACUAGUGUUAUAUCUCUAGAGGUUCUUGAUUGUAAAAUGUUUUAAGCAUAUAGAUUUCUCAAAGUUGGACCCUUUUUGUCUGAGAUAACAUUAGUGAGGCUGUUUUUGGGUUAAUGUGGAUGCAGUCUCUUAAACUAGUCGAAAUAGAACUAAUACUGGUGUGUUUGUGGUUAGUCUUUACCAAUGUUGAUAUUUUAUGAAGAUAAUCUAGUAAUUUUGCCGUGUAAUUUUCAGUUGAUUGAGCAAUCAGAGGUCAUUGAGGCGCCUGGACUUUCGUACAGAAACAUCCCUGCCGUUGCUACAACUGCUAUUGGAGAGAUGGUAAUGUCCAUAAACAUAAAUGUUUUUGGUUUGUUUGCCCAUAAGUUUCCUUUUUAUUUGUUUCCCUAACAACGAUCAUUACAGGCUAUAUCCAAAGGAAGGCAGGGAAGAGAGGCACAAAACCUAGUGAGGGUAAUAAACCUUUUCAUAAGUUUUUCUUUUGAGACACAAUUUGUCUUAUAUGAUGGUAUAUUCUGUAGGUAUAUGUGGCAAAUCUUCGUCUUAAGGGAGUUGAUACAGAUGUCUUAGUGACUGCAUAUGAGCCUAUUCUGAUAAAGUAAGUCCCACAAACGUGAAGCUUUGAGACAUUCAGUUUAUAUUGCAAGCAACUGAAUAUAGAUAUGCAUUGUUUCUGAUACAGAACUGAAAUAUUAAAAGAUUGUUGCUGUUUCACAUGUCUUUUCUCUCAUGUGUUUGCGUAUUGUGUAGCCCUCUGAGUGAAAGUGCGGAUGCUGUGGGAUCUGGUUUAGCUGUCCCAGCUUCACAAUCUGGAAAAAUGCAAAUGUGUGAUGUCAUUAAACAAUCACUCUCGACCUUCAAAGUCAAUGACUGGAGUCUUUUCGGUUCCUCAGCUUGAGCCUAUGCAAAACGAGAAGAAGAAUCAAGCCUGCCAAUUUGAUGAGCUUGGUUUCUAGAAGUUUGCUUUGUUUAAGCCAUUUUGGUUUAAGUUAGUCUUUUAGGUUUAUAGUUGGAGCUUUAUAAAUAGAUUUUUAUAAAAACAGAGUUUGCCAUUGAUCUUAUCAAGAACCUUGUUAAAAUUUCAUACACAUCUUUAAAGGAUCACUUGCUUCUUGAAUCUCAGGUUAAACAAGCAUGAAUGGUGAAUCAUUUACCUGUAUAGCACGUUCAGCUUCACAGUUUUGAAUUGGACUCUAUGGAAGCUUCAGCAUGUAACGUGGCUGUUAAUAUACACUUAUAUGAGUUAUUAUAAUGUGGCUGUUAUAUACACUUAUAUGAGUUAUUAUCUCAAAGUCCUUCAUAAAGACCUUUAUGUUUAUACAUGUACCUGUUCUCCACUUCCAUAGCUAUAGAAUUAUAAUCGAACUUGGAUCACUUAAUUUCUCAUUGUCUACACCAACAUUAUAUGUUGAAGAAUACACAAUUCAGUAUUCAAGAACCAGAGUGAUUGUGGAAUGGGUGAUUCCAAAAAAAAAGGCAGACCUCUUCAAUAGCCUGAUUUAUUGAUAUCUUGAAUUCUCUUCCAUCCAUGUCUGCAUACAUUCAAACAUGCAUACAUCUAUUCAUGCACAUACAUCCAAACAUGCAUACAUACAUUCACGCACAUACAUCCAAACAUGCAUACAUACAUUCACGCAUAUUUUCUUUCUUGAUGCAUACAUUCAGACAUGUGCAUACAUUCAAACAUGCAUACAUACAUUCAUGCAUAUUUUCUUUCUUGAAGCAUACAUACACUGUCUGCUUCUUUACUUACAUUGCCAACUUGUUCACUUGCAUUCUUAUUUGCUUGUUUUGCUGCUUGUUUAUUUGAUGUGUCUUCUUUGGUUGGCAUUGAUUCUUUUGAUUUUUGCUUUGUGAAUUGCUUAACUUGUUUGCUUGCCUCAUUUUGAUUCUUUGAUAUUCUGUUUACUUACUUCCUCCAUUAUUUGCUCGCAUUACAUGCUUAACUUGUUUAUUUGUUAUCUUCUAUGUUUGUUUGAUCUUUGCUGGCUCAAUUGAUUCAAAUGUUGCUUCUAUGAUUCUUUGCUUUUGUCAUGCUUUCUUACAUGAUUUCACUUCUAUACGUGUUCCAUUAUUUUGUUUACUUCAUUCCCUAUUUCUUCUUUAUUUUUUAUUUCUGUAAAAUAAUUUCUUCUUUGUUUGCUUCUUUAAUUUCAUUGGUUGUUUUCUUUACAUCUUUUAUUGCUUCCAUAAUUCAUUUAUUCGUUUACUACGUGAUUCUUUAAGUGACUGAAAAAAUAUACUUCAAUUUUUGAAAAAUAUUAGUUUGAUAAAAACAUAAAUACUAUAAUAUUUAUAGAUUGAUAUUAUAAAUAAAAAAUGGGGUCAAAAAUAAAUUAUAAAUAAAAAUAAAUAUAAAUGAGUUUUAAAUAUAACCGAUUAACCGAAUAUCACUAAAAUUUGUAUUUAUAUUUUAAAUCAUUAUUGUCAUAUAAGCAAAAUUUAUAUCAUUGUUAAUUUGUUAUCUCAAAGUGAACGAAAACUUCAACCCAUAAUCAUGUAAAAUGAGUUAGCUAAAACAACCUAUUUCAUUAAUUGCAUCAACCGUCCAACAAGUAGGUCAAACUCCUUUGUAAUUUGACAAGAACGUUAACAUAUUUCCACAAUUGGAGUAGCUUUGAACCUCUUUGAAUAGUUGAGAAGCAAAAAAGAAAGCAUGUUAAGAAUUAAAAGUAGAAUUCCUAUUGGAAUCCAAUAAUUUACUUUUAUAUAAGUUUUAGCUUGAACCUUUUUAGCUUUCUAUUUAUAAAUUAUAACUAGCUUUUUUUUGGCUCCUUUGGAUGUAAUUCUGUCCGCAUAAGUCAGUGGCAAACAAACGGAAACUUUCCAACGAACCUAUUAGCUUUGUUUUGUUAAUAAUAAUAUGCAAUUAUGGCCGAUUAUAGCAUUUGUCUUUUGACAUUAUAUUUCUAUCAAUUCCUUUAAACUUGAAAAUAGCUAUAAUUCAUUUCCAUCCACGGGUAAUGGGUUGGUCCUUUUUCUAGGAUGCUAAAGACUAGAGAGUUAACCAUUUAUAAUUUGGCUUGACUAUUAGGACAUAAUUUUGUUUUAAGGGAAUAAUCAACGCCUUGAUAGGUUACUGUAGGAAACCUUUCGUUAUUGUUCAAUUGUCGAAUCUAAUCAAAAGACGUCUUGUCGGAAAAUUGGGGUCGAAUCGAAUCAAUGAAGCAAGAGGUGGUAGAUCGCUAGGCUCUAGUCUAAUCUAUACCAAAGUGAGAACAAAAUUGUAGGAUGAGAUUAUUUUAAUAGUUAUAUCACAUCACGUUUAGAUUUUUCUUAAACUAUUUUGGGGUUGAAAUGUAAUCAUAUCUUUAUUGGUCAAGACAAGUAACAACGAAUCAAAAUACAAAACCUUAAAAUAAGCAAAAGCUGAACUUGGACAAACCACCUAAUGAUUGAUUUUAAGUUUUAAAUUAAAUUUAAGUAGAGAGUUAUUAUGAUUGACAGCAAAGUUUUGUUUGUACUGGGCUAGGCCCAUACAUGUCUCUUAUGCAAGUCCAAAAGUGAACAUGUAGAGCCGUAGAGAUGUGAGACACAGUAAAAGAAUCACUACGAUCAUAUAUAUUUCAUUAUGGUCAUAAUAAAUUUGAGUCUUAAAACCUAGUAAACCGAGUAAAGAAUCAUUACGAUCAUAUAUAUAUUUCAUUUUAGAAACAGAAAUUCAAUAUAUAAACACAUAUAUAUAUAUAUAUAUAUAUAUAUAUGUUAAGGACUAGUAUAAAAAUUCUUGAGGUCGAUCAUAUAUACUACAAUUUCUAUUCUUUUUCUGUUGACUUUUCAAUAAAGUUUUAAAAGUUUCGUAGCGCUUAAUAGUGAUUUUUCUUAUAGAUUUUGUUAUGAACACAAAAAAUUAUACACAUACGAUAUUUUUCAAAAAUGUUACUUAUGCAAUUCUUUUUUUGUGUGUGUUACAAAUACUUCUUGUCCGACUGUAAUAUUUUCUUCUUUAAAAGAAAAAUAAGGAUGAUUUUGAAGGAGACUUACGUCAGCCCUAGUAAAGAUAGGGAAACGAGAAUAUACGGACGGUCGGAGAGUGACGUAGCAUUGUCAGCCUCACCCACCCAAACUCGGCCAUAGACCUCUUUUCCAGUUUCCACUAAAUGUGUCUCACGUACAUUUUCGAUACAUAUAUAUAUAUUACAAAAGUGUCGAUACCGUAUUCUUUUGUGAUUUAAACUGCUUAUAAAGUUACAAAUACGUAUGAUUACAUAUGUGUUUUUAUGGAUACACUCAUACACACGUCGAAAUUACAAGGUUUUGUGAAUAUUUUGCCGACACGGAUGUUGAUAGGCUCUGGGUGGUGUGUGUGACCAGCAAUUUUUUUUAUAAAUAUAUAUAAAGCUAUUAUAAAUAACGUCAAAAUAUUAUGAAUAAUGUGGUAUAUAUAUGUAGGCUCGGGUCAAAUAGUGAUGGAGAGAGAAAACGAUUGAAAGAAACUUGAGGGUUCCUCAAAAUCACUAUGUGGUAUUUAUCGUAAUUCUCUAGCAUUUGUUCGAGAGGUACUGAAGAAAUACAAAACUUUAAUAAUUUUUUUCCUCUUUUUCAUUUUACUUUAAUAAUUUAAAAACAAAUGAAGAAAACGCUCCUUUGGCAGCCCCUUGUCCCCCCUAUACAUAUUUUCGUAUAAGCCGAGCAAAGUGGUAAUUCCCACAAGAAGAAAGGUUAGACAACCUUAAAUAUAGAUAGAAUAUUUUUUCUUACCCUAAAUUAUUUACUCCCUCUUUUAGAUUUUUCUAUUUAUUUAUUCCAGCUCAAUAAUAUUAUCUUUCAUUUAGAACAAAAUCAUAUAUAUAUUACAUGUGAGCGCGCAAUGCACAAAAAAUCAUGUUUUUGUAUAAAGAAAAAUGUGAUCAAAGGGUUUGAUAUCGGAUAUCCUAGAUUGAAUGAACCAAAGAACAAUAUGAUAGCAUAUUUUAGUAUCUUUGAUGUGUCACGUCACGAAUAAUAAAAUACUUUUAAGGAAAAUAAUGUUCAUACUGUGGAGUGUGGAUAACAUAUAACCAAUAUCCCCACAUUAAUAAUCAAAAUCAACGUGAAAGUUCGAGUUUCCUCGUUUAUGUUAUAUAUAAUAUGAAACUUUUUCUAUAGAAGAAAGUAACUCUAAUUAGUAGUUACUAGUUAAUAUUUCUAGAAGUAGUUCUGAAUUUCUAAUUACUAACUAAUGGUCCAAGAGGAUUAAUAUAACAACAGUUUUACGGAAGAAAAACUAUUUCAUAAUUUUUUUUUGUUAUUGUUGGUAUGAUGAACGUAAAAUAUAUUGUUAUUAAUAUAGCAGAUAGAGAGAGUAAAUGCUUCUGCGCCUUCUUGUGUGAGAUAUACGCAAUAUGCAUAAACGUACAAACAUUUACGUAUAAUUCUAUUUGAGGAGUGAGCUGUGUUCUUUUUUUUUUGGUUGGAUGCUAUUCCUCUUCCAGCAUCUACAUGUUACUAUGUUAGUGCUCUCGUCUUUUCUUUCCUCACUUUCGUUUCCAUUAUGUAACAUUGUUUUUCUAAUUAUUGAACUUUAAGUCUUCAACAUUAAUCGUAUAUAUAUAAUCACAACAGAGAUCCCGCAACUGAAAUUAUAUACACACAUGUAUAUUAUAAUAUUAUGCAUGCUAUGCAUUUUCCAAAUUUUAUGUAAUCUAUAUUCGAAGGUACUUUGUUUUUUUUAUUUGACUCAACGUGUAAUAAAAAUAAGCUAUUUUAGUCCAUUAAUGGAGCACUCAGAGCAGAGUGGAAUGAAGUGCGUGUGCGUCUAUUCAACAAUCUUUGUGCCAAGAAUGGUUGACUUUUUUUCUUUUCCAAAUUAAAAGAAGUUUCAGACUGGCUACAACGUGUUGGUGCGUUCAAGUAUGUGUGUGUCUUUUGAUUUUUUAAAAUUUUUUUGAACUUCAAUCAAUUUUUAUUGUAAGAAAUAAAUAUUUUGGUCAUAUAAAGUGAUAGGAGAUCAAAUAAUCUAAAUUUUGUAAUUAUUAUUUCAACUCAUCAAUUUUUGUUUAGCUCCACACCGUUUGUUUAACCUAUUUCAUAUGUUCCAUAUUCACCUUUUUUUUUUGUUUCGUCGAUCCAUUAAUUUGCUCCACAACGUCUGUUUUGAUGUAACUAUUCUAGCUAGAGUCUAGACCCUUAGACAGUUAGACUACGAUGUGGAGCACAUAAGAAGCUUGUAGCUACUAGCUAGAGCAAAAGAGUGUGCACUUAAACUCAUGUGUAAAGCCUUAUCGAUACUAGUAUACCGAUGGACAGUCUCUGUAUAUAUGUGGGAGUUAACAGCUAUAAGAGCGAUGAUCGUAGUAAUUAUGAAUUUAUGAUGUUGUAUAAUGAUGAUGAUUCAAUGUCGAUCGAGAGUCAGGAACCCACGCCAAAAUUGGCUAUAAAUUACAAAGGCUAAGUAAGUACUCCUAUUGGCCUACCAUAACCUACGUACUAAGCAUAACUGGUUACACACUAGAAUUAUAAUGAUUACUUCUUGGUCGGAAUCCCAUGGAUGUUUUAUAUGCUAGCUCAGAAUAAUCAUUGACAGUUUUUUUCCUGAGCUAUUACAAAUGCUCUGGAACUAAGCAUGUCACUGUUUUAAACCUACCUAAAACCUAACCUAAAACUGUCGAAAUAACUAAAUCAGAAGACUUAGAAUAAUAGAAUGAUGCCAAUAAUAUAACUACGUAAUGUUUGUCAGUUUUAAUAUGUAUUAGGAAGUAUUAUUUCCUAAGAGAUCCAAACAGGUCAUCAGUAUAAAGAAGAGUAUAUGUCCUUUCUUUAAAAACGAUUCCAUUGGACCUUAAAAAAGAAAAGAUGCAUAAGAGAUCAUACAAGCCAUGGAUCAUAUAUAAUAUGGAUGUAGUCAGUGCAUAGAUAUAUAAAACCAACCUUAAAUAAUGCUCAGUAUUCCAGCCAAAGUAGUUUUUUACGCGAUCGAAGUAAAUUUAGAAAACUAAAAACUUGAAGAAAAUAUAUGGAAGAGAAGGUGAGACAUCGGUAUCACACGGUCAUGGAGAUCAGAUGAGGUACAAAGUGAGAAAAUUAAACAUUAUAUAUACAGAUAUAGACACACACACGCAUCACUCUUCUGUCUUGUUUUUGGAUUGUUUAUAUGUACGUAUGCAUGCUGUAUGCAAUUACGUACACGCACAUGUGCUUGUAUAAAGUUUUAAAGCUACACAUAUAGAAUCAUGCAUGUUAUGUAUAGAAUUUUUCUGAUAAAGAUGUUAUGUAUAGAAUUAAUGCAUAUAAAUACAUCGCUUAAAUUAUUUUGUAUAGAAUUAAUGCAUAUUAAAUAUAUACGUACGUAUAUGUGUCAUGUUUUUGUUAGAUAGACAAAGUAAGCAUAAAUUUUAACAAGAUAAAAUGUUUAAAAAGAUAUAAAUGAAAUUAAUAUCAAUUUUGAAUUAAGUCAGUAAUUAAAAAAAAUAGUUAGUUCCGAUGGAAUUUGAAAUUGAUACAUAAGAUGUAAAGGUAGAUAGACAGUUGUAGAAAGAAACAAAAGGAGUAGAGACAGAGAUACGAAGGUAGAGGUGCAGACAUGAAUUAUGCAUAAAUAUAGAUUAUAUAUAGAUCCUAUCAAAAGAGAGAAAAAUGUAAUAAAAAUAGAUUAGAUAGGGUCCAAACACAAACAAUGAAUGAUGAAUGCUAGGGUUCCGGAUGCAACGUGAUUAUGUCGCUAGCCGUAGUGACAGUUCAUGAGAGGACAACUUUUAUGUUGUUUCUUCCCCUCUCUCUCUCUCUCUCUUCUUCUAAGCAAUUAUUUAUAGCACCAUAAGUAACUCAAAACUUACAUUAUUUCUGUAAUAAAAUUUGCAUAUUAUAUGCAGUUUUGAUCUUCUGAAUAAACCAAAUCAAAACUAUGAAAAUGUAUAUUAAUUAAGCGAGUCUUGAAUGGUCGAUCAAGGUAAGGAGAGUGACCACUCAAGUCGUGAAUGGUCGACCAAGGUAAGGAGAGUGACCGCUCAAGUCUUGCCGUUUAACAUGUCUUUAUAAUCGGACAACAAGAUGAGAGAGUCUUAACCAAUCAGACUCACUGAAGAACCUCGUCCAAACUUGUUUGGAACUAGUAUUUGAUAUAUCAACGAUGACAUCCAUUUUUAACUAUGACAUCGGACUUGAACUUGGUUUCAAUCGAUUGAACUAACUUUGUUUAGAUAUUUCUCGACCGAACUGUGUUUGCUUAUAAGUUGUAUAUAGGGACUAUUGUCACAUGGGUUAUACAUGCCGAUGUUCCAUUACCUCUCUAUCCAACAUGGACAGUACAUGGCUUUCAAUGCUCUCUCUUUCACUCUCUUUCUCUCUCUCUAUGUAUAUAUAAUGUGAAUUAUUUAUCUUUGUUUAUGAUAACCAUCAUAUCAAAAUCAAAAAAGUGUAAAUGGCUCUCGUAAUCUAAAACGUGCAUAUAUAAUUAUGUUCAUGUUAACCUGUCUGUACCAACGAGACGAGACACAUAACAAACGAAACAUAUAUAACAAUUAUAUUACAUAUAUAUAAAUCACUAAUAAAUCUGGUUAACAGACAUACAAACGCAGACGCUAUAGAAGAAGAAGAAGAAGACAAGAGAAGAGGGUUUGAACUUUAGUCUGACGUGGAUUAAUUAAUCCCACCAAAAAAACAACAAAACAUAUAGCGUAUUAAUCACUAAUCUUUGGUGAAAUGAUAUCGAUCACGAGUGUUAUGAUCUAGAAUAAGUUGUAUAUUUAUUUUCUAACAAAGUAUAAAACUGAAACUUGGUUUAAUCUUAUGGAUAGACUGUUUUUAAUAUGCCUUAGAAUAUAUAGUUUUUUAUUAUUAAUAGAAUGGAAAUUGACCGAUCGUGAUUGUUCUAAUGAAAAUUGCUUCUUUUUUCUAAGUUAUAAUUAUAUUUUGACUAAUUAACUAACUAUAUAGUGUUUGUUAGAGAUUUUUUUACAAAAUGACGUGGUUAAAAAAAUUGUAACAUAUAUUAUAUUUUGUCAACAUAUGAUAUAGAUAUAUACAAAAUAGCUUCACCGAUUGAAAUAGUAGGCUACUGUUUAAAUACGCUUUAAUUAAUUUUACAAUGUUUGUAUUAAAUAAUUAACAUCUGAAAUCAGCAUAUAUAUAUAUAUAGGUAUAUCCAACUUCUCACGAUUUUUAUUACCACAUUAUUUUUACGAAUAUAUACUCCAAAUAUAAACUAUUAGUUAAGUGCACAUAUUCUAUUUUAUUUAUAAUGAUAUAUAAAUAAGGCAGGAAAGAAAUAGGGAAUAAGCAAUAAGAGAGUAUGGGUCGAAAGAGUAUUGAUAUAGAUACAAAUUGUAUGAUACAAUAAAUUUAGGAGGGGUUAAAUUAGAAGAAUAUAAAGUAAACGGGGCAAAUAUGAAGGAAAUCUAAAAGUGAGGUGGAUAAAAUAAAGAAAGAGGAAAGAAGGAGAAGUGGAGCUGCAAAGGCAGUGAGGCAAUCAUUGCUGGUGACUGGUGAAUGUGGAUGGGAGCCCACUUUUUAUUUUUUCCUUUCUUUUUAUUAUUAUUUGUUUUCCUCUUUCUUUUUAUAAUUUGUUUCCCAUUAAUUUCCAAUAUUCUUUCUCUAUUUUGUUACAUAUAUACUCUACUCAAGUGUGUAUACUUUCUUCUUACAUAAAUUAAUGAGAUGAGUUGGAAAAUAAUGCAAAGUAAAACAUAGUGUAUUCAAUACUAUAAUGUAAGGAUAUUCAUUACAUAUUUUGAUUUGAUUUCGGUUCAAACUUUUUUUCUCAUCUAAAAAUUUAUUAUUAUUUUACUUGUAAUCCAUAUUCGAGACUUAAAUCACUUAUAUAACUUUACAAAAAAAUCGCAUGGAAUGAUAUUUUUUAUUUUGAUAUUGAUGAAAUUUUGAUUUAUUUUAAACAAAUGAAAUAUACGAUUCAAAUAUACGUUUUAUUUUUAAACUGGCUUUCGUUUUCAUUUUUUCAGAUAAAUUAUAAAAGAAUGUUGAGGAAGUUUCUGUAAAAUAGUUAAGAUGAUCUCUUUUUUCAUUAAAAACAUAUAAUAUAAGAUAAAACAGUUAAAAACAAAAAUGAUAUGUGUUACACGCAGUAAUGUUUGAAAUAGGGUUCGUGAUUGAUGGUAAAAUUGGAGAUUCAAUUAAAAAAAAUGAAAAGAUAAGAAAAAGAAGAAAUAUAAAUUAAGGGAAAUAAAAUAAAUAUUGACUUGACUAGAAGAGGGGUCCAGAAAGGGGGAGGGAUGAGGCUAUGGUCGCUGUCUUUAGAGAGUGAAUGAUGCAGAGGACACGCACGUGGUGGACUCUCUCUCUCUCUCUCUUUCCUCCCACUCUCUCCAUCUAUCUCUCUCUCUCUUAUUAUUAUUUCCUCAUUUUCUUCUUCUUUUUUUUUUUAUUAAUAAUUUGUCAAAUUUUGUAUUUUUACAACCUUAAAAUGUAUAUUUAGACAGAUAGAUUGAUGUAUAAAUAUAACUGAAACCCUUGAUCAUCUAUGUUAUGUCCCACGACACUCCUAUUGUUCUCUUUCCAAUAUUUAUAUAUCACCCCACAUGUUAAUUUGUAAUUUAGUAUUAUAUAUAGUCCCUAACCAAACAAAAUUUAUGAAUUUUAAUAGAUAUAUAGGAGUGUCAAUAACAUGGAUUAACCAGGAUGUUGGGAUAGAGAAGUAUAGUUGUUGGAUAAAAAUAUUAGAUUAAGAUUGAUAUUGAUCAUUAGUAAAAAUUUGUGGUCCUAAACCUUUUUUUAGGAGGCUGCUAGUGUGAUUGAUUCUUGUUUGAAGAGGAGAAAUAAGGAGUCGUAUGUACAUAAAUAGAGAUAUAUGCCAGUGAAGAAAAUGACUGAAACUAAUCAAUUAUUGAGUGAUUAAUUAGUCGGCAUGGCUCUUACUUUAUUUUUUCUUUCGUAAAAUCUUCUGUUCAUUCUCUUUAUUUUUGAGAUUGUAAUGUUUAUUAUUUGCAAUGUCAAAAUAUGCACAACGCGUUUCAGCUAUCUUAUUCGUUCUUUUCUUUUUAUGUCUUGAUUCUUUCUUUUUAUACAAGUUUUUACGGUCGAGAACAAUUUGUAAAACAGAAAGAAAAUAUUACAUGUAUAUAUAUAUAUAUAUAGUAUCAGAUAUAUAUUAUAAACGGUAAAUUUUAAAAACUUUGGGAGUUAUAGAAUCGCAUUAUUGUUUUAUUUAGUGGAAAGACUUACCUAACCAGUAAUCAGGUCAUGAUACUAAGAUUAGGCAUUGCACUGCUGCAAGUGUUUUAUAGAACAUUUAAGCAGUAAGACUUACAUCGGAUGACGUGGUCACAUCACUGAGCACGCAAAACAAAUUUUGAAUCUAUGUGGUUUAGUACUCAUCGAGUUAUUUAGACCACUGUACUCAUCCAAUAUGCCUAAAUAAUCAUAAAGUCGGUCAAUAAGAUCAAGUUUUAUUUAAAGUAAAAAAGUUUAUUAAAACUAAUUGCACCUUUGCUCUAAGAGACGGUAUUUAUCUCUACAACUCUACAAUUUAUUUUUUCGAAGGUAUUUUUUUCAAUUUAUUUAGCUUUACGUACAUAUUCAAAGUUGAAAAUUGUGUAUUCGCUACAUAAAAUACCAAUUGCAUUUAUUAGUUUUUCUAACAUAAUCUAAAACUUUCAAAAUAGCAUUUAAAAAAGUUGAACAACCUCACUAUUAAAACCUUGCUUAAACAUUUCUAAACGAUGCAUAUAUCCUGAGAUAAUUUCAUAGAAUAAUAAUUAUCGGGAGUCUCUAAAGAUCAAAAUUACUACGUUUAGUUAAAAAAAAUUUACAGUUGAUCUCCAUAUAUAAAAAAGAAUGAUCAAAAAUAUCUUCAAAUAAUAUAUAACUUUCCAAUCUAUAAUUUUAAAAAUUAUACUCACAUGCUUAUGCUGGUUAAUUUAUGUAAUAACCUCUAACCUUCAUAAUGAUAUGAAUUUACUUUUAGGAUAAAUAAAAAUAAAUUUCUUAAACGUGCAUAUUAGGCAGAACCUAAUCUAGAGUAUCUAGUACCAUAUGAUCUAUUAUAUAAUUUAUGUAUACUGGUAUUGAAAAUUAAUAAAAGAGAGGAAGUCUCUAAACGCUAUAUAAAUGUACAACAAAAAUACUAGUAUAGUGUUUAUAUGAAUAAUCAUCACAUAAGAGAGGAAACUUCUUCAUCACUACUUAUAUAAACUUUGGUUUAAAAGGAAAAAAAAAAGAUCAAAUGUUAUGUCCACAUCAGAGUAUCAAAAAUAAUUUUCUAAAUUUAGUGCUACAUCUUUUAACGACAAUUGUAUGUCAAUGAGAUAACACCAAUGGUGGAAACAAAAGAGAAGCAUUACAAAUUUUGCUUUUAUAUAUAUCUAUAAAGCACUAUAUAUAUAUAUGAUAAUAAUAAUAUCAUUCAAGUAGGAAAGAAGAGAAAAUCCAUCUGUUUUAUAAAAAAGCAGUUGGAUUCUAUAAUAUAUCAUGUGGAUCUCGUGAACUACCAUAGAGCCAAGGAUUAAUCACUGUCAAUAAUAAUUCUAUCUUAUUUAUUAUUCUGUUGUCGCAUAUGUACAAAAAUAUCGUAUGUAUUAAAAAACAACACUUCUGAGUUCUGUCUGAAUCCCUGAAAUUUUCGCUAAAUGUGCAAAAUUAAUUUCCCCGAUCCCUUGAAGUUAACAGUUACGACGAAAAACACUUACGUCACUCUUUUUUUUAAUUAUUGCAAAGAAUGAAAAGAAAAAAGAGAGUGUUCGAUCGAAUAGGGUUGUAAAUUUGUAUUAUUUACUAAUCAAACAGAAUAAAUACGAACACCGUUUUAUUUAUUUUCACUCAUUUUGAUCACUGUACGUAAACACACACAAAUAAAACACAACUUUAUAUUUGAAUAUUUUGUACAGAUUGGAGAACCACGUAGCCCAUCUCUUUUAUUUCCAAAAAUGACGAAAAAUUCUCAAAGGGAAUAGUUUAUAAUGUAAAUAAAAUUCCAUAAAUAAAAAACACAAAAGAUAUAAAGCAGCAAGAAGAAGAAAAAUAAAAUAAAAAAAUAAAAGUCCAUGCUUUCAUAUUCAUUGCUUUAAUCUCUCUCUCUUCUCUCUCACUCACACAGACAUAGACAUAGACACACAGCUAAGCUUCCCAUCUGAAAGGAGUUUCAUGUCCUUAAGGACCAUAUUAUAACCUCUCUCUCUUUCUCUCUCUCUAAAAGAAGCAGCAAAAAAACAGAGAUAUAUAGAGAGAGAGACUAGUAUGGCUCACAUAAAGAUCUAACAGAGACAGUAGUAUAGUCCCACUUCCCCACCACCAAAGCUUCGAUCAUCAUCAUCAUCAUGGAUCCGGAUCCGGACCAUAACCCGAAUCAUCGACCCAACUUCCCUCUCCAGCUUCUUGAUUCUUCUUCCUCCUCUUCCACUUCCUUAGCCAUCAUCCCUGCUUCUUCCGAACCUAGCUCCGAGCCUAAGAAGCCUCCUCCUAAACGAACCUCUACUAAGGACCGACACACCAAAGUCGAAGGCCGAGGCCGUCGGAUCCGUAUGCCUGCCAUGUGCGCUGCUCGUGUCUUUCAGCUCACUCGUGAGCUUGGCCACAAGUCCGACGGUGAAACCAUCGAGUGGCUACUCCAGCAAGCUGAGCCGGCGGUUAUAGCCGCUACAGGGACUGGAACCAUCCCUGCUAACUUCACUUCUUUAAACAUUUCACUUCGUAGCUCAAGAUCUUCUCUCUCUGCUGCUCAUCUUCGUACAACUCCUAGUAGCUAUUACUUCCAUUCUCCUCAUCAGUCCAUGACUCAUCUUCAGCAUCAUCAACAGGUUCGUCCCAAGAACGAGUCACAUUCUUCUUCUUCAUCUUCUUCUCAGCUCUUAGAUCACAACCAAAUGGGGAACUAUCUAGUACAAUCAACUGCUGGAUCUUUACCUACGAGCCAGAGUCCUGCCACGGCACCGUUUUGGAGUAGUGGCGACAACACACAGAACCUAUGGGCUUUUAAUAUCAAUCCUCCUCAUCCCGGUGUUGUCCCGGGAGAUGUUUAUAACCCAAACGGUGGUGGUGGCGGCGGCGGUGGAGGUGGAGGUGUUCAUCUUAUGAAUUUUGCAGCUCCCAUUGCUUUGUUUUCCGGACAGCCUAUGGCUUCCGGUUAUGGAGGAGGUGGCGGCGGUGGAGAACAAAGCCAUUAUGGGGUUUUAGCGGCGUUGAAUGCAGCUUACCGGCCGGUGGCUGAGUCGGCAAACCAUAACAACAACCAACAAAACCGCGACGGAGAUCAUCAUCAUCAUCAUCACAACCAUCAAGAAGAUGGAAGCACCAGUCAUCAUUCCUAGGCAAGCAAACACACACAAACAUAUAUAUUCUGUGAGAUUUAUUUUUAUUUUUUUCGUCCUUUCGUUUUGUUUGUUUGUUCUUAACAAGCGUGUUUUUUUGCAUUGCUUCUUUUUUUCAUAUAUUUUCUUUUUUUUCUUAUAUGUUAAGAGCUCUUAUCAGAUUUCAUCUUGUUUAUUCUUCUGAUUAAUGUAUUGAGUAAGUAAGCAUGAACGUGAUUAUCGAUAUAUCUUAGUAUGUGGGUUUUGCUAUUAAGCACUUUUUUUUUUCCUAGAGGUUUUGGCCUCAUUAAGUAGUACAUUUGUCUUGUCCAAUGUUUUUCUCUCGUGUGAGAGUUUUAUAAUGAGACACACGACUUGAUUAGGGUUUUUGAAACAAGUUUUUUAUAUGUGUCUUAAUUAUAUAUGUAUAUUUCAGUACUAGCUAAUCAAUAAAAUAUUAUUAGUUAUCUUCCAAUUAAUCUCCUCAUUAUUUGUUUAAUUCCUUCAAUUCGACUACAUUGUUUCGGAGAGGUAGAUGUGAUGUAUUGCAAGCUUAAUUAUCCUGGUUCUAUCUCUUUUCAUCUAUCAUUUUCUCUUUAUGAACCAUAUUUGAGAUCUGAUAAAUCUUGGAUGGUCUAUCAAUAUGUUUGAUGGGAACUAUACUAUAAAAUCUUGUUGACAUGUAUAGUAAUAAAAUCAUAUAGUUCAAAUUAAGCAUUGAAAUGUUAUUGGUUUGGUUAUUAAUUAUAGUUAAGUGUUUUGAAGAGUGGAUAUGCAUUAUAUUGUAGAUACUAGAUAAGAUGCCAUAUUAAUGCCAGUAGGUCUUUCUAUCAGCAUCAUCGUUUGGGAUACGUUUAAUUUAUUCAAUUCAUAGCCGUUGCAUAAUAUUUAAGGCAUUUAUUUUGCGAGAAUGGUUUCUGUGUAUAGUUUUAUUUCUGAGCGAUGUAACGUAUAAGAUACAAGCUAAGAAGUGGAACUAUAAAACUAUAUUUUCAUAGGUCCAUAUAUGGUCAGAACUUAUUAGGUUUCGUGUUACAUUAUAUUUGAAGAGUCACGAUUUCACAAUCUCUGGAUCGAUGGAACUAUUUAUUAUGGAACUGUAUUUAUAUGUGAAAGUUUUGUGAAUUUUCCGACAGCCAAAAGUAACACCAAGAACACUAAACUCUCUGCUGAAAAUGGAGAUUUAUGUAUCUCUGCAUGCGUAUAUGUGAUAAGCAAGUUAUAAAAACUAUUGAUAGUUAGAUUUUCCAGCUUUAUCUUUUGAUGAAUGGAAAAAUCGAUUGUGGGACGUGGGAUACAUUGAUGGAAGAUGUUAAAUUAGCCAGGAAAUUUACACCAUACAGAAAAAUACAUAAGCACAUGUAACAUGCGUAAUAACCAUAUCGCUGCAUAUUGUGUCGGUCUACAUUAUUAGUUUUAUUUUACUAUUUAUGUACAUACGGUCUUCCCAUGCAUAGGUAUACAUAGAGAAACAAAUGGAUAUAGUAGACCUAAUAAGCUGUAUAUAAAUCAGAGAUAACAACGAGCAUGGGAAUUGAGACGUUAACAAUUUUUAAAUAAUACACACACAUCAUAUCAUAGAUACAAUUAAUAUUCUGUUAAUUGAGACAAAUUAUUGCUUUCUAUAUUAAAAUAAAACCAAUAUGUAUAUUAUGAAAUUAUAGUUAAAACUUCUAUUGAUCUGUGUGAACCAUUCCUUGGCAUCAUACGCCUGUCGGUUAUAUUAUCCCAUUCAUAUGGUAUCUAGCAUUUUUACAAGAAUGUGCGACUUUAAUUUAUUUAUUUGUAUAUUACCUCAAUAAUAUAUCAAUGGUUAAGCUAAAGUAAACUACAUUUCACGGUGACAAAAAAAAAAAUAGAAGUAAAUAUAUAAAUAGACACAGUAGUUACACAGAUGAUCUAAUGCAAUCAUCUUUGAUAUUUGAAUAUUAUUGUUUUACGUAUUACUUUAUAUAAGAUGAUUAAACAACAAGAUACGAGAGUCAUGAGUCUCAUGACCGAUCAUUGUUUUCAUGUCGGCGUUUUAUUUUAUAAUAAAAAGAAUAUGAAAAGGGCACAAGUAGAAGUAUAGUAGUAAUCUGGCAUUAUUCAAUAGGUCCAAAAGGAAUUAAAAUGUUUCUAAAGUAUACUUUAUAAUAUAUAGAUGUAUGGAUCUACCAUCUACGUAGUUUAUAAUAUACACAUACCACGUAUAUAAGAGUGUUUUUUGAUCUGGAAAAGAUUAGAUGAUCAUCAUUUUCAUCACUUGCUUCUCUAUUUUGUUUAAUCAGGCGCUUCACUAAUACAAUCAUUCGUAGUCUUCACUUUAAUCAUUUUUUCUAUAUUUAUAGAAGAAAACAAUGAUAAAAAGAAUACUGUAAAGGCAUCAAAAAUACCAUAUAUCAUUAUCAAUUACUUAAGACACAAAUUUCGAAUACCUUUACUUUUUUUUUUUUUUUUUUUGUAAACACAAAUUUCGAAUACCAAAAAGAAGUUUUUAUGUGGGUUCUUCAAUCUUUUUUCAUCUGUGAUUGAUAUUAUAAAAUAAUUUAAAAUUAGAUAAUGCUUUAUAUGUUCAGGCCCAGUUUGAAUAUUUUAUAACACCUCGACCUCCAUUAAUUGAUAUGGGGUUUAUGGAAUACUGGGCUCCUGUAAGGCCCAUUUUGAAUUUUGGAAACAACUCCAGUAGCUCCAUUAAUUGAUAUGGGUUUAUAGAAUAACGGGCUCCUGUAAGGCCCAGUUUUUUAGAUUCUUUUGUAAUCCCCAUUGAUUGGAUUAAGCUGACAAAAUGGUCAAGUAUCCUAAGUAAUCUAGAGAGUAGAGAGACACCAGACUUGGGAGAUUGGACCACUGAAAAUGAUUAAGUUACUACUAUUUGCAUAAAUUGUAACAUUCAAGUGUAAAUUUCGGUGCCUCUUUUACCCCAAAAUUUUCAAAAAGUAAAAAAGAUUAAAAGAAAAAAAGAAGCGAGUGGGCGUAAAAGUCCAAGAAGGUCUCUCUGUAAGUGAAACCUGGCCUCCACUUUUGUUUAAGUUUUGUUUCUACUUCUACAGUAAGAGAAAGAGAGAGAGAAAAAAAGAAAAAAAAGCUUAAGAAAUUGGAAGAAACUGGAGAGUGGAGAGUAACAAUGCCUUCAAAUUCUGGAGAUGAUAAUGUUCUUCAAGUUCUCAUCAAGAACUUUGAUGUCCUUGCUCUGUAAACUUCUCUCUCUCUCUUUGUCACUUCUUUAUUUCCCUUACAGAUCCUAUCUUGAUUUGUUUUGUGUGUGUUAAUUAGAUCCUAUCUUGUUUCUUUAGUUUUUAUUUCUACUGUUUUAAACUACAUUGUCAUAGUUUUAUCUAGUUCCCAGUUUAUGAAAAUGAAACCCUUUAUAAGGUUAGUACUAAUUUAUGAAGUUUUGUGGAUACUUACUGUGUUCUUGCUUUUGCAGCCCACUGGUCACUCUUGUCUACCCUCUGUAAGUGAAAACUUAAAACCCCUCUCUCUUUCUUGUAUGAUUUGUGUUAAAUCUGUUUGAUAGGUCUAAUUAAAAGAUUUUUAGUGUUAGCAAAACUCACUUUUUUUAGGCGAAUCUUUCGUUUAGAUUUAUAUGAUGAACAUUGGAAAAUUUUAUGGAAUAAGAAUCAAAACUAAACCUUUUGAUCUUUUUUUAAUCCUCUGUCAUUAAGGAAUAAAAAAAGUAUGAAUCUUGACUAAGAUGCACGUAUAUCCACACACACCCACUUAGAAUCCAAGACACGACGCAUUAUAAUUUUUGCAAGAUAAGUUCGUGUGUUUGUAAUAAUUAACUUAUGUUUGUAAUAAAAUAAAACAGAUAUGCAUCAGUGAAAGCAAUAGAGACAAGAUCAUUACCAGAAGACGAGCAAUGGCUCACUUACUGGGUUCUUUAUGCUCUCCUCUCUCUCUUUGAACUCACUUUCUCCAAACCUCUCGAGUGGUUAGUGUGAUUCACUAACACUUACUACCAUAUUUUUCAACUUUAUUGAUUCAUCAUAGUUAGGUACUAAUUAUAGUUUUUGUUUUUGUUAUUGGUAAGGUUUCCGAUAUGGCCAUACAUGAAGCUGUUUGGGAUAUGCUGGCUAGUGCUACCACAGUUUAACGGAGCAGAACAUGUUUACAAACAUUUCGUAAGACCCUUCUACAGAGACCCUCAAAGAGCUACCACCAAGAUUUGGUAUGUUCCUCACAAGAAAUUCAAUUUUUUCCCUAAACGUGACGACGAUGACAUCCUCACUGCUGCUGAGAAAUACAUGGAACAACACGGUACCGAGGCUUUCGAGCGAAUGAUCGUUAGGGUAAGUAAAAGUUCACACUCUCAUUAACAUAAAACACCAAUGUAUAUAUAUGCAGUAGCAUUAGCUAAUGUAAUGUUGUGUGUUUUGUGGAUGCAGAAGGAUAGUUAUGAAAGAGGGAGGAGUACUAGAGGAAGCAAUAAUUACAUGAUCUUUGAUGAUGACUAUAGGUACUGAAGUCGCCAUGUUACAUGAGUCUUGAUCUCGGUCAUGAUCUUAAACUGGUGUAGCUACUCUCAGUUUAUAAGCUUCGCUAUGUGACUAUAUAAUACUCUCUGUCGCUAUGUUAAUUUUUUUUCUAUAAGUUGCCAGGAUUAUGUAUAAGCUCUAUGUAGUAGCAAGUUCGUAACAUGUUCUCUUAAUAAUCAAACGCUAUUUUUACUAGAUUUUUGGUUCGUUGUUUCGAUUUUGAUCUUGUUAGAAGUUGUUAAAAGUGGAAUAAACAAAUAACAUUUCCUCCUUUUGUGUGUGUAAGCAAAACUUUAAGUCAAUAUUCGUAGGGACCAGUGCUGUCCGGUCCUGCCGCUGUUCUGUAGUACUUUUAUAAAAGAAAAAUGAUUAGAAAUAUUCAAUUAUUACAUUCUAACGAUUUGGGCUUAUACCAAAUUGGGCCGAGCCUAGAUGACUAUUAUGUGAAUUUAAUGCACAAUUAUGGAAAAGAUGUAAUAUAAAAAAAAAAUAAUAAUAAUUAAAAAGGUUUUUGAAUAACGCGAGCGAAGCAUAGGCGUAGGUUCUCAAAUCACGAAGAGCCUCUCAAUAUAUUUUUGCUCCAUCCUCAUCGCCGGCGAUCGACGACGGUACAGCUUCUACGUCCGGCGAGGAAAUUACCCGGUUCGCAUUUAUACGUAUCGAGGUUUUCAGAUUAUUAGGAUCGAAAUCAGAGGUGUGGCCUGUGGCAUUUUGGCUCUCGAUACUAGAAUAGGAUUUGAAAAUUCUGGUUGGUGAAAGCUAGGGGUUGGUGACGAAGUUGAGUAAUUUGAAUUGUUCUUGAGGAGGAUUCUUAAGAGUGGAUUUGUUGUUUUGGUUAAUGUACAUUUUGGACUUGAGAGUUUGGGAAUUUUGAAAUUUUUGUUUUUUUUUUUUUUUUUUUGAGGGAAGCUAACUACUAGAAUGGGUUAGAUAGGAUUAAGAAUGAUUGGAACGAGAUUUGUGUGAUGUUAAACGAUUUGGUUGAUGAGAAUUAUGAUUCCAAAGGGUAUUAGCUCAUUGCAGCAGCUUCAUCAAUGGCUGAUUCCUUGAGAAUUACUCUCUCUGAGAGAGACGUCGAACAGGUACUGUGUACUUUCACUCUUUAUCAGCUCUCUGUUGAAUGAUCUGAUCAUUAAAAAAUUGAUCUUUUGAUGUGAGUAUGGUAUAAAGUAGCGUAUUUUUUACCAUCGUGUAAUGAUUUUUUUCAGGCCAUUACGUCUCUUAAGAAGGGGUCGUACUUGCUGAAAUAUGGACGUAGAGGGAAGCCUAAGUUUUGUCCAUUCCAGCUCACAAGUGUAAGAAUUUUCUUUGAGGCCAUGUUUAGAACUCUCUGUUUCCUUCUUGUUUUGCUCAUAUAUGUUAUAUGUGAAUAUAGGAUGAGUCUGCAUUAGUAUGGUACUCUGGAAAAGAAGAGAAGCAGAUUAAGCUGAAUCAAGUGCAGAGAAUUGUUCCUGGACAACGCACGGUGAGUUUUUCUCUGCAAUUUAUCUUGUCUAGUUAUCAAACAAGUACAGUUCCUUAAUUAUAAGUUAGAGUCUGAAAUAUGUUUCUAUCCCCGUUUCGACAAUUGGUACUUUUAUGGUCUCAUGUCUAUUGGCGUCUUUUUAUAUUAUCAUGCUUCUUUCCUCCACUUGUUCUUACUUUCAUCUUAGACUCAAUGGCUAAAGUUUGUUUCAGGCUACAUUUAAGAGAUAUCCACGCCCUGAGAAAGAGUAUCAGUCAUUUUCGCUUAUAUGUCCCGACAGGUCUUUGGAUUUGGUGAGUUUUCGUGCCAUUUUAAUGAGCCAUACCAUUCCAAUUGUAGAACAGCAUUUAAAGAAUGCAUAUUCAUCUUGACCUUGUUGACAAUGUUGGUUUGGGUUGCAGAUAUGUAAAGACAAAGAUGAAGCAGAAGUUUGGGUUGUUGGUUUGAAAGCCUUGAUCACUCGUGUAAAAGUCUCCAAAUGGAAAAACACUAUUAAACCUGAGAUCACUUCAGCGGAAUGUCCAACCCCUCAUGCACGAAGAGUGUCUCCGUUUGUAACAAUUCUUGUGAGUAACAUCUUUAGGAAUUUGAACAAACACCUUAAAUUGAACUAAAUAUAUAAAAAAGAACACACACCUUAUACUUUGCAUCAUCUUACUCCAGGAUCAAGUUAUUCAACCCUCUACUGAGACUUCUGCACCUAAUCGGUUGGGAAAAGUGUUUGCUGACAUUGUAUCAAUAACUGCACCUGCCAGUAACAAUCAGACAGAAGCCAAUGCCAACCCCUUCUGUCCAUUUUCUCCAGCUCCGGUAAUUGUUGAAAAUUCAAAUUCACGGUUCUCGACCAGCGACCCAGUUCGGAUCAGUCUAUCUAGCGCUGUGAGCACAUCUAGCCAUGGUUCAUAUCACGAAGACUUUGAUGCCUUAGGUGAUGUUUUUGUCUGGGGUGAAGCUAUAUAUGAUGGUGUAUUGAGCGGUACUGGAAAGUCAUUGAACUCCACGACAGAAGAUGCCCUUCUACCAAAAGCAUUAGAAUCAACAAUAGUUCUUGAUGCCCAAAACAUUGCAUGUGGUAGGUGUCAUGCGGUUUUAAUUACCAAACAAGGAGAGAUCUUCAGCUGGGGGGAGGGAGCAGGAGGAAAGCUAGGGCACGGCAUAGAAAAAGACGUCCAACAACCAAAGUUCAUUAGUAGUGUCAGAGGAAUUGGUUUCAAAUCUUUAGCUUGUGGAGAUUUCCAUACAUGUGCUGUUACUCAAUCUGGAGAUCUUUACAGUUGGGGUGAUGGCACUCAUAAUGUCGAUUUGCUUGGGCACGGGAAUGAAUCGAGCUGCUGGAUUCCCAAGAGAGUGACUGGUAUUUUACAGGGAACGCAUGUAUCGUAUGUUGCUUGUGGUCCUUGGCAUACAGCAGUAGUUGCAUCAUCAGGCCAGUUGUUCACGUUUGGAGAUGGAUCUUUUGGUGCUCUGGGUCAUGGAGACCGGAGAAGUACAAGUGUUCCACGUGAAGUUGAAAGCCUAAGUGGACUAGUGGUAAUGAAGGUUGCUUGUGGCGUUUGGCAUACAGCUGCAGUGGUAGAAGUGUCUAAUGAAGCAUCUAAUGCAGAAGUUGGCUCUUCAUGCGGGCAAGUCUUCACAUGGGGGGAUGGUGAGAAAGGCCAGCUUGGUCAUGGUGACAAUGAUCCAAAACUACUUCCCGAGUGUGUAGUCUCAUUGACGAAUGAAAAUAUCUACCAAGUUGCCUGCGGACAUAGUCUCACGGUUUCUCUUACAUCCACAGGACAUGUGUAUACAAUGGGUAGCACGGCUUAUGGCCAGCUGGGAAAUCCUACUGCCAAGGGAAACUUUCCAGCACGUGUUGAAGGGGACAUAGUAGAGGCUUAUGUGGAAGAGAUUGCAUGUGGUUCUUAUCAUGUUGCAGCCUUGACAUCUAAAUCAGAAAUUUACACUUGGGGAAAGGGAUUAAAUGGCCAGUUAGGCCAUGGAAAUGUUGAGAACAAAAUGGAACCUGCAGUUGUGGGAUUUCUUAAAGAAAAGCAAGUGAAGGCUAUAACAUGUGGUUCAAACUUUACUGCUGUGAUUUGUGUUCACAAAUGGGUACCUGGCUCUGAACAUUCUCUAUGUGCUGGUUGCCGCAAUCCCUUCACCUUUAGAAGAAAACGCCACAACUGUUACAACUGUGGCCUGGUAUUUUGUAAAGUAUGCAGCAGUAGAAAGUCUCUGAGAGCUGCUCUUGCUCCUGAUAUGAACAAACCAUAUCGAGUGUGUUACGGAUGUUUUACCAAGCUGAAAAAGUCUAGAGGAUCAUCUCCUUCUACGCCAACCUCACGGGUCAGAAACCUUUUGAACAUGCGGAAAUCGACAGAUGUUUCAGAAAGAGACAGCUUAGCUCAAAGAUUUCACUCCAGAAUAUCGUCUGCUGACUCUUUAUUGCAUUACGGUGAAAGAAGGCACCACAGACGAAACUUAAAACCUGAAGUAAAUAACCGUAAUGUCUUCCCUUUCAUGAACGGCAGUUUACAGCCUGUUGGUUCCCCAUUAUGCAAAGGAUCAACAGCGUUGCCAAAAAUUCCUAAGGUUAGAAUUCCUGGUUCAGGAAUGAGCUCUCGCACAGCGUCUCCUGUUUCAGUAAAGUCAACUAGUCCACGUCGAUCUUAUGAAGUAGCAGCUGAGGAAUCUAGACAAAUAAAAGAAAGUUUUAGUCAAGAAAUGGCAGGUCUAAAGGAACAGGUAGUGGUUUCUAACCAUAUCUAAUUUCAGCUAUAGAUCACAUCAUAAGAAAAUGCUUCUAGACCUAAAAGAAUGUUUCUAUUCACUGAACAUUAUAGGUAGAACAACUCACAUCCAAAACCCACCAACUUGAAGAGGAACUCGAGAAAACUAGAAAGCAGUUAAAAGUGGUCACUGCAAUGGCAGCAGAUGAAGCAGAGGAAAACAGAUCUGCAAAGGAGGUUAUUAGAUCUCUGACUACUCAGGUUUGUAAACUGGUUUAUACUAGACUCAAGCUCAACUACAUUUGUUUAUUUUGUAUAUCGAUCACCCAUAACGUUACUAUGGUUUUUGCAGUUGAAGGAAAUGGUUGAAAAACAAUCUCAAACGGAUGGUAUUGGCACCAACUCAAAGCACACAUACAACGAGACAUCAGAAACUUUAACUCAGACUAGUAGCCAGACACAUAUAAGAAGCAUGGUUUCUCAUGAUAGUCAAAAUAACCUAACAAGUAGGACCGUAGCUAAUGGGCACAGGAAACAUAAUGAGAAGCCAGAGAGAGUUGUGCAAGACGAACCAGGAGUGUAUUUAACAUUGUUGUCUUUACCUGGUGGUGGUAAUGAACUCAAACGUGUCAGAUUCAGGUAUAUGACUGCUUCUUAUCUCCCUAUUAUAUACUUAAGCCAAACAACAUGACAUACCAUGUUACACAUCUCAUUCAAACUCGCUAAAAAACUUUGCUUUCAUCGCAGCCGGAAACAAUUCACUGAAGAACAAGCGGAGAAGUGGUGGGGUGAAAAUGGAGGUAAAGUGUGUGAACGCCACAACAUUCUAGUUUCUUAGGACUCAUGUAUCUUCCUUCAAUAGAGAGAGAGACUAACAAAGAUAAAGAAAAGAUAGUGACAUAUAGAAUAAAUAGAGAAACACAGGGAUGCAGAUGUUUUCUGUUGUUCAUAGAAAAAAAUGUUUGAUGUAAAUUAUGUUUAAUAUAUCUUUUGUUCUGAAUAUUUUUCUAUUUGCUUAAUGAUAUACAAACUCCUAAUCAGAGAACCCAAAAUGGGUUUCACUUUUGCUAGUUCAUGAGUAACCAAAAGAAAUCGGAAAAUAUCUAAAAUUUCAAUGUUUCCCAAAAAAAACAGUUCUCAGUCUGUUUUAGAAAAAAUACCAAACUUUAACAGAAAAGGAAAAAUACCAAUUUUAUGAUAAUGGUAACUGUUACUAAUUAAACGAAUGUUUAAGAAAAAUCUUCAAACCCCUGAACCCUUUCAAACUCCAUUGUUCUUCAUUCAAUCUGCUAAGUUCCGAGGUAUGGUUGUAAUCUUUGUUUUAUUUUCUCCUUUUUGAUUUGAAAAGUUACAUUUUGGUGUUUGAUUACACUUCCUUCAUAUUUCUCCUACAAAACCUAAUAUUGGUUCUAUAUAUACUAUGGCUUGACUAAAAAUCCUUAAUUCGUGUGUGUGUGUAUGUUGCAGAUUCAUGGCUACAACAAGACUUAACUUGAACAGAUCGAUCAAAUGUGUCUAUUAUUGAAGAAAUAUGUUACAUACAUAUAUAUCAGAGAUCGUAUACCAAGUCAUAAAUGUUAAUAUACUCAUCAAUGUACAAAACAGAGAGUAAAGCAAACAAAUAAUCUAACCCCAAAACAUACGGGAUUAUGAUAUGCUAAUACCCUCCCUCAAACUGGAGCAUGUAAAUUCAUAAUGCCUAGUUUGUUCCGGAAACCAUCAAAUGAUUGUUUACCAAGUGGUUUGGUGAAGAUAUCGGCGAGUUGAUGAUGAGUAUCGACAUGAACAAGUGUGAGAAUGCCUUUUUGUAUCUUUUCGCGGACGAAGUGGCAAUCGUUUUCUAUGUGCUUUGUGCGCUCGUGGAAAACGGGGUUGGUAGCGAUAUAUAUGGCGGAUUUACUAUCACAAUACAAGCGCAUUGGUUGAGUGUGAGAGACACCAAGAUCCUGAAGAACACGCUGCAGCCAUAAGAGCUCUUUGGUGAUGUAUGCCAUAGCCCGAUAUUCUGCCUCUGUUGAAGACAUACUCACUGUGUCUUGUUUCUUAGACUUCCAAGAAACGGGAGACUCUCCAAGUUGAACAAAAUAACCAGAAACCGAACGUCUUGAAUUUCGACAAGUCGACCAAUCAGCAUCACACCAUCCUGUAAUUUGAAAGUUCUUUUGUGCCUUUAGAAGAAUACCUUGACCAGCAGUGCCUUUCAAAUAACUGACUGCGCGAAGUGCUGCCUGCCAAUGAUCCUCUCUUGGACUCUUCAUAAACUGUGCGAGAACAUGUACACAAAAAGUCAAAUCCGGUCUUGUGGAGAGCAAGUAAAUGAGUUUCCCAACUAGACGGCGAUACGGUUCCGGAUCCGGAAGAAGAGGUGAAGUAGAGCGAGACAAAUUGUUGUCUUGUGCUAAGGGGAAGGUGACGGGUUUGCAGCCCAGAAGACCUGCUUCCUGAACAAUCUCCAAAGCAUACUUCCUCUGAUUCAAAUAAAAACCCUUAGAACUUCUAGCAACUUCAACACCUAAAAAAUAUUUUAGAGGCCCGAGAUCUUUCAUCUUAAAACAAGAAGCCAAGUAUUCCUUGAACAUAUGCAAAGCUUUUUCCGAGUUGCUAGUGACGAUCAUAUCAUCAACAUAAAUCAGAAUAUGAAUCUGGAUUCCAGCUUUGUCAAACAUGAAUAACGAGUAGUCAGAAAGUGAUUGAUCGAACCCAUAGUCACGUAACGCCGCAGUUAACUUUUCAAACCAGCAGCGGGGUGCUUGUUUUAAUCCAUACAAGGAUUUGCGCAAUCUGCAUACUUUCUUAUCAUCACUUGCAAAAUAACCAGGUGGAGGCUUCAUGUAAACCUCUUCGGUUAAGUCACCAUGAAGGAACGCGUUAUGGACAUCCAUUUGAUGAACGGGCCAAUUUUUACCUGCAGCAACCUCUAGGAACAUUCGCACGGUUUACAUUCGCGCGACUGGAGCAAAGGUUUCACCAUAAUCUUUACCAGCAAUCUGACUGUUCCCCAAAGCUACUAAGCGUGCCUUAUACCGCUCAAUUGUCCCUUCAGCAUGAUGUUUAAUCUUGUAAACCCAUUUUGACCCAAUUGCCUUCUUUCCAGGUGGUAAAUCUUCAAUAGUCCAAGUAUCAUUCUCCUCAAGAGAACCAAUUUCAGAACCCAUGGCAUUGGUCCACACUUUACUCUUCACCGCUUGUUUAAAUGAUUUUGGCUCAACACCAUCUGUGAUUGCAACCAAAUAUGCACGAUGUGUAGCGGAGAAACGAGAGUUAGUGACAUAUUUUUGGAUAGGAUACAAAGAGGAGGAAGUACCAAUCAUUUGGAUCUGAGCCGAGUUAGUCUUAUAAUCCUGAAAUCGAGCAGGAGGAUGACGUGAUCGUUGACUUCGGCGAAGUUCAACCAGCGGCGGCUGAAUUUCAUCGUGAGAAACAGCAGGAGAGGACGCCGGUGUCGGAACAGAAGUCGACGUCGGAGAAGAAGAAGACGACGAUGGUGAUGAUGACGGCGUCGUGUCGGAAUCGGCAGAGGAAGAAGAUGGAGUUGUCUCUCUCGAUGGGCUGUUAGAGAAAUGAUUUUGGUCAUUCUCUAGUAACGGGCCUAUUGGAGUUGUUGGGCUUGGCAAAGGUGCAACAACUGAUGGACCAAAAAUCUCUUCCUCUAAUGGGCCUGGAGCAAAAGGAGCCCAACUAGAUUCUGCUUCUUCUUCUCUUACGUUUCCUGCAACAGAGUCACGAAUGGCUGCAAAAGGAAACUCGGUUUCAGAAAAGACCACGUCUCGUGACACAAAAAACUCUUGUUUUUCAAGGUCAUACAAUCGCCAUGCCUUUUUACCAUAUGGAUACCCAACAAAGACGCACUUCCGACCUCUAGGAGCAAACUUAUCUCCCUUAUGAGCUUGAUUGUGUGCAUAGCACAAACUGCCAAAAACUUUGAUAUGAUCAUAACUGGGAGCAAUUCCAUACAAUUUCUCAUAAGGUGUAGUACCAUUCAAGACUGAGCUCGGAGUGCGAUUUAUUAGGUAGCCUGCUGUGAGAAUGCAUUCUCCCCAAAAACGAAUCGGCAAGCUUGACUGAAAACGCAAAGCUCUCGCGAUGUUGAGAAUGUGGCGGUGCUUUCGUUCUACUCGGCCAUUCUGUUGUGGUGUGCCUACACAGGAGGUUUCAUGGAUGAUUCCUUGAGACUGAAAAUAACCACGCAUACUAGUAAACUCCGUACCAUUGUCACUACGCACUCGUUGCACUUGUUUAUUGAAUUGACGAGCAGCCAUAACAAUCAAAGCUUGUAAAUUCGCAGAAGUUUCAGUCUUGUCAGUUUGGAGAUAAAUCCACACACUUCUUGAAUAGUCAUCAACGACGGUUAAAAAAUAACGUGCACCGGAAGAAGAAGUAGUGCGAUAAGGUCCCCAUAAAUCACAGUGAAUGAGUUCAAAAACAGAUGUUGUUUUAUUAUCACCUAUCGGAAAACUAGAACGUGUUUGUUUAGCACGUAAGCAUACAUCACACGCCUUAUUGGAAAGUUGUGAAUCAACAAAAACAGAAACAUUCGGUAGUAAGCCAACUACUUUUGCAGAAGGAUGACCCAUUCUAUGAUGCCACAAAUCAUAAGCUUUAGGAUCCUUAGUGCGCACCAUCGCAGCUAACUCCGUUCUACAAAAGCGAAAAGUUCCACAAUCACGUUUCCCCGCACCAAUCAUCAUCCUCGAAACGCGGUCCUGAAUAACAAGGAAUUGGUCAGCCAAUUGAACCACACAACAGUUUUCAUCCAUUAACUGCCCAACGGAUAUAAGAUCAGACUGCAACUCCUCAACAUAGAAAACAGACUUCAAAACCAGAUUAGACCCCAACACAACAGUUCCCUCUUGACGAGAGAUGCGUUCUCGACCAUCCGCUAAAACAACUAGAACGGGAUCCAUUGGUCUCACAUUAGUGAGAAUAUGAAAAGUGCCUGUCAAAUGAUGAGAAGCCCCUGUGUCUAAAAUCCAGGAAGGAGAAGAGAACUUACCAGAGAGUUUUUCAUUGUUUGAGCCAGCACCACCGUUCAGAAGCUUCUUAAGAUUUUCCCAUUCGAUUUCAUUCAGCUUCAUCACACCAUCACGAUCCUUGUCUGUGAUGACAUAGUUUGCACGCUCCUGGCUUGGUUGAUGGGGAACAUGAACAACAUUUGCAUAACUCACAUUUCGACCUCGUCCGCUAGAUGAACCAGACAAGACAGCCCCACGUCCUCGUCCUUGCGAUGGUCUGCUCCGUGGACGAUCUCCCCACCAUUCUGGAUAACCAAUGACAGCAAAACAACUAUCUGACGUGUGUCCUGAACGAUUACAAUGCUUGCAUAGAACCGUCUGAUCAUCGUUGCGAGCUGAGGAAGAAGCACGUCCCUUUUGAUGAACGGCGUAAGCAGUAAUGGCAGUAGUAUCAUCAGUUUUGUAGACAUUGUUCUUCAAGUCCUCUUCUUGACGAACAAUAUUGUAAACCUCUUCAAGAGAUUGAAUCGGUAGACGAGAUACCAAUGUCGAUCUCACCGUAGCAAACGGCUCAUCAAGUCCAGACAAGAAGUCGUGAACUUUGUCUUCUUCACGGUCUCGUUCUUGCAACACAGUCAAGUCGCACUCGCAUUUCCCACAUUUACAGAGACGCAAAGGUCUGUGAUUUGCCAUACUGUCCCAAAUGCGGUUCAACUUGCCAUAGUACGAUUCGAUCGAAAGACCUUUCUGCUUACAACAAGUCAGCUCUGCCUUGAGUUGUUGAAUUCGCGGCCCAUUAGUGACAGAGAACCGCUUCUUCAAGUGAUCCCAGAGAUCUUUGGCAACAUCGCGGUGGGAGAUAUUAGAACGCAAUGACGGAUCAAUCGUCAUGCGAAUCCAUGAGAUCAACAAAGCUUGAAUUGUUAACCAGUCUUCCAAGUUUGCGGAUCCCUCUGCUGGUCGUGGAAUAGACCCGUCGAGAAAACCAAACUUUUUCCUUGAGAGCAAAGCAGUUUUCAAACCACACGCCCACUCCUCGUAAUUCAUCCCCUUCAGCAACGGAUGAGAUAUCACGGCUCCGGGAUUGUCGGCAGCAGUCAAGUCGUAAGGAGAGAUUGUUCUUCUCACCUCCAUGGUCGUCGGGUUCGAGUUCAUUGGGUUCGGGUUCGUUGGAUUCGGAUUCAUCGGGUUUGGGAGCAUCGGGGUCGAGAAUUCAGCCAUGGAAUUGCAGGAAAAAAAAAAAAAUUCAGAGAGUUUGAGUUUCUAGCUCUGAUACCAUGAACAGAUCGAUCAAAUGUGUCUAUUAUUGAAGAAAUAUGUUACAUACAUAUAUAUCAGAGAUCGUAUCCCAAGUCAUAAAUGUUAAUAUACUCAUCAAUGUACAAAACAGAGAGUAAAGGAAACAAAUAAUCUAACCCCAAAACAUACGGGAUUAUGAUAUGCUAAUAUAACUCCUCCUCUUGCCACUUUCCAUCAAGCACAAGACUCUCUAGCGAGAGCUAUCUCGGUCUGAGACCGACCGUGAGGAUUAGUUAUGUCCGAAACCUAACCGCUUCACGUGGUUAUCUUGCUAUAAAAGCAAACAGAGGUCUCCCUUCCGUGGUCUCUGCGGUGGCUAUAGAGGAGAAGCUAAGAAGAGAGAGGUAUUCAGGAGAAUCAAAGAGUUUCGUGGAAGAGAGGAGACUCGUGGCGAUGAGAUUUCACACUAGAGAUCAGGCAAAGGAAGGAGAAAAAGAAUCUAAAUCUCCGGAGGAAGGUCCUGUGGCGAAAUGGGACCCGACGGUGGAAGGAUACUUACAGUUUCUUGUGGAUAGUAAAUUGGUUUAUGACACGCUUGAAGGGAUUAUCGAAGAAUCCGAUUUCCCAACUUGUGAGUUUCUUUUUCAUGUCUUAUGGAUUUUGAAGUAUCUUGUUGAUUCAUUUCAGAAAUCAGAAGUUGAAGUCAUUUAGAUGAUAUUUUUUUAAAAGUUGUGUUCUAGUUUGAUAGUGUUUACUUUAGAGUCUAGUGUGUACGGAAUGUUUUGGACCAAUCUUCUUGGAUCACAUGCACACAUUUGUUUCUUGAAACAGUCGCAGAGAGAUCGUGUAACUUUGUCAAUAUCUCUGUUUUGGACUUGGUUUACAUUCAAAGUCAGACCAGUAGUCUUGGAUCAUAUCAUAUGCAAACAUAUAGAUUCUUGAAACAAUCUGAGUGAUCAUGGUUCUUUAUAAUGUAUUUUGAACUUGUUUAACGUUUUGUCAAAAUCUCUGUCUUGUUAUGAGUAGAUGCCGUGUUCAAGAAGACGGGAUUGGAAAGAGCAGAGAAACUAGGGAAGGAUUUGGAGUGGUUCAAGGAACAAGGUUACGAGAUUCCAGAGCCAAUUGCUCCUGGUAGAACAUAUUCUGAGUAUUUAAAAAUUUUAGCAGAGAGGGAUCCUGAAGCAUUCAUUUGUCACUUCUACAACAUUUACUUUGCUCAUAGCGCCGGUGGCCAAAUGAUUGGUACAAAGGUAAAGAAAAAAAAAUCUUUAUGCACUAAACUCACUUGGAAGUUGGAGGAACAUAGUUUCUGAAACUUUACAAGUUUUGCAGGUAUCUGAGAAGAUACUCGAUGGUAAAGAACUUGAGUUUUAUAAAUGGGACGGCCAACUUCCUCAGUUGUUGCAAGAAGUGAGACAUAAACUGAGCAAUGUUGCAGAGGUAUUGAACAUAUAUAUGUAUAUAUAACACUAUCUAUAACAAGAAAGAUUCAUUCUAAUGUGCUGAUGUGGAUUUUGAUAUUUGAAUGGACAGUGGUGGACAAGAGACGAGAAGAGGCAUUGUUUGGAAGAGACUGAGAAAUCGUUCAAGUUCUCUGGUGAGAUUCUUCGUCUCAUAUUGUCCUGAUCUUAUGAUUCACAAACUCUUCCAAAUAUUCAAUAAAGCAUUCUGCUAGUUUGUGAAAGUUUCAAAAUGCUUUUUCUUGAUUUUGUGAUGUCAAAUCAAGAAGGCAAAAGUUUAGGUGGAACAAGUACCAUUCGGAUUUUUAUGAAAAGACAUAAAACUGUGUUCCUUUGUAUAGUUCUUACUGAAAAAAACUAACUAAAAUAUAAAUGAUUAUGCCUGUUUUAAUUGGGAAAUGAGUACAGAUGAGUUUCGUUGUUACACACUUAACGAACUUAAUAGAAAAAUUUAUUGUACACUCAAACACCGAAAAGCAAAUCUAACCGCAAAGACUUUGAUUAUAUUGGUCGUAUUCAAUGUUGAAGUUUUACCGUGUUUGGAGAGGAAACAAUGGUUCAAGUUCAACAUCCGACCACGAUGAAGACGACCUUGCGACAACAUUGUAUUGAGAAGCUGGAGCCGUAACUACAACAUUGUUCCUUGAUUCUACCCUUACGAUAUCUUCCACAAUUCCUUUGUUUUCUUCUUCCUCUUCUUCGUUUUCGCUAAUAUGCUCUUGCGUUUGCAUAUCUCCAGAAGACAUACGAAUAUUGUCAAGCUCCAUCAACACUUCUCUCAUGCUUGGCCGUUUCCUCCCUUUCAGAUUGAGACACUUCCUUGCAACUUUUGCAGCUGCAGUCACUUGGCUCAGCAUGCAGUCAUCUCUUAUUCGAGCAUCGAUGAUAUCGAAGAGUUUGUUUUCUUUCAUUUUUGUAAUAAAAUAAGUUGCCAAUGUUCUGUUUUCUUGAGACCGAAAGAAAGAAAUCGACUUUUCUCCUGUUAUCAACUCCGCUAGCACGACCCCAAAGCUGUAGACAUCACUUUUUUCUGUAAAUUGGCUAGACUGAAAGUACUCUGGAUCAACAUAUCCUACAGUACCUGAAACUACCGUUGUCAAGUGGGUAUGAUCCACUGUUACCGAUCUUGAAGUUCCAAAAUCAGAUACCUUGGCUCGAUAUUUCUCAUCCAACAUAAUGUUCGUAGACUUGACGUCUCUGUGAUAGAUUGGAGAAGAUGCAGACGAGUGCAAGUAUGAGAGAGCUCCUGCAAUAUCUAUAGCAAUGCGGAGACGUACUUUCCAAGUAGCCAUAGUGUUAUCAUCAGAGUCAUCAUGAAGAUGUUCGAAAAGGUUACCAUUAGGAACAAAUUCGUAGACGAGAACUGGGACCUUUGUCUCAAGGCAACACCCCAAGAGUUUCACGAUGUUCCGAUGGUUGAUCUGUGAAAGAAUGACAACCUCGUUGAUGAACUCUUCAAGCUUGUCUUCGUCCACGACUUUGGAUUUUUUUACAGCUACGAUUCUUCCAUCGACAAGCAUUCCCUUGUAAACAGUACCUUGACCACCCUGACCAAGUAUUCUGUUUGAACUGAAGUUUUCAGUAGCUUUCUCCAACUCCCUCGAACUGAAGACUUUUGUCGUCUCGACUUUGCCUUCUGUGGAAGUCAAUUGCUGUUGCAACAAUAGACCCCCAUUACGCUUGAAGAACUUCUUCUUUUGGUUUAUCCUCCUUUGCUUUCUAAUAAUUUUGUAUAACCAGUAUAUUCCACCGACAAAGAUCAACGAGCCGAAACUAGUACCAAGCCCUGAAAACUCAAAAAAGAAAGUGAAAACGUUUUAAUUUUUUCGUUUGUUUACUUCUUGAAUAAGCGGUAAUAUAUAUAAAGGUUAUCAUCAUCGUUGACGGAAAAAAUUUGUUCAUCACCAUUGUGAAAGAGCUUUAAAUGGAAACACACGCACAUAGUUGGGAUAAAAAUUCCCACGACUUACCUAUAGCUAGUGGCCGAUGAUUUGUGUACCUACAUUCAUAGCUACCAUAUGAAUUGACACAUCUGCCUCCCCGACAAUAAAAAUGAGCUCCAUCAUAUCCUUCUUGUUGGCAUUCAUUAAUGUCUGUUUUUUUCAAUAAUAAUAAUGAGAUUAUAAUCAAAAACAAUGAUCCUGUAGGCUUAAUUUAAUAAAAAAAAUUGAAUGAAAACAUAAACUAUAAACAGAAUUACUAACCUUUACAUCCUCCUAAACUGUAUGGGUUGCCUCGGAAACCCCUAGUGCAUCCGCAACUUGCAUAGUUUAGACUAACAUUGUAGUCGCAUUCACAACUUCUCAGAUCACCGUUGCUACGGUAGUAGGUCGGACUGAAGUACUCGUUUACAGUAUAGCAUCCCAGAGACUCUACAUACGAAUGAUUCGCAGUAUAGAUAAACCAUCCUAACUCAACUGUACUGUAUCCUCUAGCAUAAGCCCUUUGCGGAUCAAGAUCACUAGACAAAGAGUAUGCCUCGAUUGUGAAGAAGGCAACUUUGCAGCCUCUCGUUGUGGUGUUUUCUAUUCUAACACCAACGACCUGUGGAAUAAUAUUGCCGUACAUGGAUGCCGCGCAGAAUCUAAUACCAUUGUAGCUUGUUUCAGUCACAGUGCUUUUUUCAUAGCAAUCCUCGCUAUUGUAGCCAUACUCGUUGUGACAAGCGGCUAAUGCAAGAUAACCUUGAGUAGGCGUAUGGGGUUUUAUAUUGCAGCUUGAUUUGCAUUGUACUAUGCUUGGCUCGACAUUCGUCAACGAUGCCGUGUUGUCGCAACCAAGCCCAAUCAGUGUAUUUCUUCUGGUAACGUAAAAAGGGGUACCCGUUAAAUUCAAAAGUGAUCCAGUUAGCUCUUCUCCGUCGCUUGAGCAUCCCAUUGAAGUUAUUUGGUUUCUAAUGCUAACUGACGAGUAAUUCCCGGAGAUAUUGUGUAUGUCGUCGUUCCGAUUCCAAAGAGAAAUGCCCACAACUUCCUUGUUGAUUACGGAAAGAAAAGGGACGAGCUUUCCGGAAGUAGAAGAGGUAUUACAUGUAAUUUCAUACCACUUCUCCAGAUAACAACCCUUUCCCACUCCAAAGGGGUACGGUAUCUCGAUUCCUCCACAGUGUGUCGUCGGACAAGAAACUGUGAGAUCAGAAGAAUUUACAUUUAAAAAAACUGGCAAAGAGAAGAGAACAAUCAAAAGAGAAAAACAAUUAUAACAAGUCAUGUUUUUUAUGUUCUGCUCAAAAACAAAAAAUAGCAGACGGGUUUUUGUAGGAAGAGAGGUGUAGAGAUUUUGUUUACUUGGACAUCAGUAAAGUCUUAAGUCUAGGAACGUAAAGGCAGUGUUGAAUUUUUCGCUCUCUUGAUCAAAAGAGUCAGCAGCGUAAGUCCACACCUCAUGUGUUGCUUCACUGCUCUGUUUCAAAAUUUUCAUACUCGUUUUCCCAAUUGACUAAAUCAAUACUGCCUUUUAUGUUUGUAGGCCUGCCUACUCAAACAGUCACUAGCUCCAUUAUUUUGAAAGAAGAAAAAGAAAAUAAGUAUUGAUUGAAAGACGAAAUUUCCAAACCGAAUGUUGGAAAUUGGUGUAGUUGUAGACUGUUUCUUCGAGUAUUUAAAAAAUUGGACUAUGCUUUUUUGACUUUUUCCAACGUCCAGUUUUCCUCUAUUUAACAUAGGACCAUUACAGCAAUUCCAUUGGUAUUGCUUAAUGGUAAGCUUAAGACAUUGCCUAUAUUUAUUGGAUUAUAUUUAAUGCAAAAUCAAGUACUUUUUUAAGUUUUGUUGUCUAAAUUAACUCUUUAAGGAAAGAGUAAAAACCACUUAUAAAUUUAUUUUAAAAACUAAUGCAAGAAAAUAAGUAAGCACCCUCCAACGGUGCUAAUCAUUGGAGAUGGUCUUAAAGCUUGAUUAUACCACCAACGCUUCCUUAAUCCCAAACAACAAAGAGAAGUGACGAGAAACUUUUAUAAGAAGUCAUAUUUAUGUUCUGCUCAAAAAAAUUGUUCUUUCCUGUAUUUUUUUCUUUUGUAAUAGCAGAUGUGUUUUUUUUUUUUCUUUCUGUUGUUGUUGUAGGAAGAGGUGUAUAGAUUAGAAAGAUUCCGUUCAGUUGGAUAGAAAUUAAGUCAUAAGUUUUCGUCAUUCAAUUUUGUCAUUUCUCAAUCAAGUCAAGUAAUAAGAGAGUAAAACCACAUGUUAGCUUUUCUGCUCAUUACUCAUUUUUUUUCAAUUGACUAAAUCAAUAUUGAAACAUUGACUAUCCCACCAUCCUUUUGAAUUUUCUUUCUCCAUUAUUUCAAGAGCAAAAAAAAAUGAUAGCUAUAGACCAUUCUAGACUUCUAGUUUGACCCCAAAAAGAAAAAGAAAAAAAAGCCCAGUUCUUCGAGGUUGUAAAUUUUUUAUUUUUUCUCUUUGCUUUCUGUGUUUUCAUUUUCAACAAUACAGCUUCAAUCUUCUUUUUCUUCUUUACUUUCUAAAAAAGCACCAUAUCCUUCAGCUGUUCGCAAGGCGCUAACACUAACACAUUCUAAUACUCACGAACAAGCCCAUAGUAAAAACAGAACCUAAUGUGACCGUACUUCAUAAACUGAAACUGAGGCUCCAUAGACUGAAGCUGAGACUUGGUAAACACAAGCUGACGCAACUUCUUCUCUAAAGACUCCCCUUUCAGAUUCAACAAACUUUAUGAUAAUACGCUUCAUUAAGUGUAUAAUACAACCAUAGUAUUCCUUAACUACAACCAAUUAUAACCGGGACAUAACCGGAUCAAUGCUUAACCAAUUGUAUACCGAUAUCUGAUAUCCCCCGUAAACAGCCAUAAACUGGGCCGGAGCUUAAUAAUCGUAAGCUCUGUGAGAUCCUACUCUACUUUGAAACUCGUUUGUAGUUUUUUCCCAAUGGCCUUUAUUUAAUGAGCUUAUAUUAUCGGUUCAUAAUAAUUUAUUAUACCUAUACUUUGAGAUCUAAAGCUUGGGAAUAAAGGAAACGAAUAAGUUCCUCCCUGAGAAGAAAUAAAUUGAACCCUUAAUUAAAUGGGCUUGUAAUGUCGUCGGUUUAUAAUACUUAUUUGUUGGAAACCGACUUCAUUGGAUCGAACAGAGUGGACUUAUCAUGUAACACACGAGAUUACGUAUUGAACAAGCUAACUGGCAAAACUCCACUAAUGUGGAUUUUAAUAUAAUAGGCAGUGGUGGACAAGAGAGGAGAAGAUGCAUUGUUUGGAAGAGACUGAGAAAUCGUUCAAGUUCUCUGGUGAGAUUCUUCGUCUCAUAUUGUCCUGAUCUUAUGAUUCACAAACUCUUCCAAAUAUUCAAUAAAGCAUUCUGCUAGUUUGUGAAAGUUUCAAAAUGCUUUUUCUUGAUUUUGUGAUGUCAAAUCAAGAAGACAAAAGUUUAGGUGGAACAAGUACCAUUCGGAUUUUUAUGAAAAGACAUAAAACUGUGUUCCUUGUAUAGCUGUUACUGAAAAACAUUAACUAAAAUAUAAAUGAUUAUGACUGUUUUAAUUGGGAAAUGAGUACAAAUGAGAUUCGUUAUUACACUUAAUAGAAAUAUUACAAAUACUGAAAAGCAAAGACUUGAGACUAUAUCUGGUCAUAUUCAAAGUAGAAGUUUUACCGUGUUUGAAGAGGAAACAAUGGUUCAACAUCUGACCAAGACGAAGACGCGGCUACAUUGUACUGAGAAGCUGGAGCUGUAACUACAACAUUGUUCCUUGAUUUCAUUUCUACCCUUAUGAUAUCUUCCACAACUCCUUUGUUUUCUUCUUCCUCUUCCUCGUUUUCACUAAUAUGCUCUUGCGUUUGCAUGUCUCCGGAAGACAUACGAAUAUUGUCAAGCUCCAUCGACACUUCUCUCAUGCUUGGCCUUUUCCUCCCUUUCAGAUUGAGACACUUCCUUGCAACUUUUGCAGCUGCAGUCACUUGACUCAACAUGCAGUCAUCUCUUAUUCGAGCAUCAAUAAUGUCAAAGAGUUUGUUUGUUUUCAUUGUUGUAAUGAAAUAAGUUGCCAAUGUUCUGUUUUCUUGAGACCGCAAAAAAGAAACCGCCUGUUAUCAACUCCGCUAGCACGACCCCGAAGCUGUAGACAUCACUUUUUUCCGUGAAUUGGCUAGACUGAAAGUACUCUGGAUCCAAAUAUCCCACCGUACCUGAAACUACCGUUGUCAAGUGGGUAUGAUCCACUGUUACCGAUCUUGAAGUUCCAAAAUCAGAUACCUUGGCUCGAUAUUUCUCAUCCAACAUGAUGUUUGUAGACUUGACGUCUCUGUGAUAGAUUGGAGAAGAUGCAGAAGAGUGCAAGUAUGAGAGUGCUCCUGCAAUAUCUAUAGCAAUGCGGAGACGUACUUUCCAAGUAGCCAUAGUGUUAUCAUCAGAGUCAUCAUGAAGAUGUUCGAAAAGGUUACCAUUAGGAACAAAUUCGUAGACGAGAACUGGGACCUUUGUCUCAAGGCAACACCCCAAGAGUUUCACGAUGUUCCUAUGGUUGAUCUGUGAAAGAAUGACAACCUCGUUGAUGAACUCUUCAAGCUUGUCUUCGUCCACGACUUUGGAUUUUUUUACAGCUACGAUUCUUCCAUCGACAAGCAUUCCCUUGUAAACAGUACCUUGACCACCCUGACCAAGUAUUCUGUUUGAACUGAAGUUUUCAGUAGCUUUCUCCAACUCCUUAGAACUGAAUACUUUUGUCUUCUCGACUCUGCCUUCUGUUGAAGUCAAUUGUUGUUGCAACAAUAGACCCCCAUUACGCUUGAAGAACUUUUUCUUUUGGUUUAACUUCCUUUGCUUUUUAAUAAAUUUGUAUAACAAGUAUAUUCCACCAACAAAUAUCAAUGAGCCGAAACUAGCACCAAGCCCUGAAAAUCAAGAAAAAAUAGCAAAACCUUUAUUUGUUGGUCAUCACUGUUGACAAACACAAUGUUGGUCAUCACUGUUGACAAACACAAUGUUGGUCAUCACCAUUGUAAAAGAGUUUGAAAUGGUUGACCACGACUUACCUAUAGCAAGUGGGCGAUGAUUUGUGCACCGAUAGUGUCCAUACAAAUUGACACAGGUGCUUCCGACGUCACAGUAAUCAUAAUCGCAUUCAUUAACAUCUGGGUUUCAAAAUAUAUAGAGAUUAUAAUCAAAGGAUGAUUAAUUUCAUAGGUUUACUUUGAUCAACAUGAACUAAAACUCACAAUUACUAACCUUUGCAACCGCCUAAACUGUAUGGGUUGCCUCUAAAACCUCUAGCGCAUGAGCAGCUUGCAUAACUUAGAUAAGCAUUUUCUUCACAUACACAACUUAUCAUGUAAUUCCUUCUAUCGGGGUAGGUUACAUUCCUGUAUUCUUCUACAGUGUAGCAUCCCAGAGACUUUACAAACGAAUGAUUCGCCGUACGGAUAGACCAUCCUAGCUCAACAGUACUGUAUCCUCUAGCGUGAAUCCUUUGCGGAUCAGGAUCACUAGACAAAGAUUGUGCCUUGAUGGUCAAGAAGGCAACUUUGCAGCCUCUCGUUGUGGUGUUUUCUAUUCUAACACCAACAACCUGUUGAAUACUACCGACCAUGUUUGCCUUGCAGCAUCUAAUACCAUUGCAGCUUGUUUCAUCUAUAAUUUGUCUUCGAUUACAAUAGUUGGAGAGCCAGUUUUCAUUAUUGACUACUGCAAGAUAAUCUUUAGCAGCGGUAUGGUUUGAGGCACAGCUAGAUUUGCAUCCCACAAUGAUUGGCUCGACAUUUGUCAACGAUGCCGUGUUGUUGCAACCAACUGCUAUCAGUGUAUUUCUCGUGCUAACGUAAAAAGGGGUAUCCGUCAAAUUCAAAAGGGAUCGAGUUGGCUCUUCUACGUCGCUUGAGCAUCCCUUUGAAGUUAUUUGGUUUUUCACGCGAAGUAACCCGUACUCUAUGCUAUCUUCGUAACCAUACGCGUUCUGAUUCGGAACAGAGAUAUUCACAACUUCCUUGUUGAUUACGGAAAGAAAAGGGACGGGUUUUCCUGAAGUAGAGAUAUUACAUGUAAUUUCGUACCACUUCUCCAGAUAACAACCCUUUCCCACUCCAAAAGGGUACGGUAUCUCGAUUCCUCCACAGUCGUGUUGACAUGGAGAGACUGUAGAAAAAAGUAGCAAAUAGAGGAGAAUCAAAAGAGAAAAGCCAUAAUAAGAACUCAUGUCUGCUCAAGAAAAUAUGUUCUUUCCUUGUAUAUUUUGUUCUUUUGUAAUAGCAGAUGUGUUCUUUGUUCUUGUAGAGGUGUUGUAGAGAUUAGAAAUUUUCCGUUUACUUGGACAUCAAUAAAGUCCUAAGUCUUCGUCUUUCAACAUUUUAAAGUAGGCCUACAAAUAUAAAGGCAGUGUUGAAUUUUCGCUAUCUUAAUCAAAACAGUAACUCCACACCUCAUGUUUGCUUCACUGCUCAGUUCCGAUUGACUAAAUCAAUACUGCCUUUUAUGUUCGUAGGCCUACUCAAUCUGUCGCCACAAAAAAAGUAUUGAUUGAAAGACGAGACUUCACUAUAUUACCGGAACUCAAACCGGAAUCGAACCUAAUUUUGAAAUUUAGUGUAGUUGUAGACCGUUUCUUCAAGAAUCAAAAAUUGGACAAUACUUAUUCCAAUGUCCAGUUUUUUUCUAAUUAACAUCGGCUCGAUCAUACCACCAUAGCUGACAUUAAUAAUUUUCCAGUGUCAUGUUUGUGUUCUGUUCAAAAAGUUUUGUUCUUUCCUGUAUAUUUUUUCCUUUUUGUAAUAGCAGCUAUGCGUUUAUUUUUUCUUAAGAGUCUAAAAGAGGUGUAGAGAUUAUAAAAAGAUUACGUUCACUUGGAUUGCAAUAAAGUCUUAAGUCUUGGUCUUUCAAUUUUGUCAUAUCUCAAUCAAGUCAAGAGAGUAGCUCAUAAGUCACAACUCAUGUUUGCUUUUCUGCUCAUUUACUCAUAUUUUUCCAAUUGACCCAAUCAAUACUGAAACAAUGAUGACUAUCCCACAAUCCUUUUGAAUUUUCUUCCUCCAUUAUUUUAAGAGAAAAAAAAAGUAGAAACUAAAAAGUAUUGAUAUAUAGACCAUUCUUCGAGGGUUUUAAACUUUUGAAACUGGACCAUAGUUUACAAAACCCAGUUUCAUUUAGUUAAAAUAGGCCCAUUAAAACUCUAUCAAGCCCAGUUCUAAAACCACUUAACACUUUCAAAUUUCCACAAUCCUCAAACUCGUAUACUCGCAGCUAAAGCGAGUGAACACCAGUCUCUAUCUUCUUUGUCAAUUGUCAAAAUCGGCGAUCAUCCAAAGUUAUCAUCUUUCUCCUAAACCCAUUUUUCCUCACAGCUUCCUUAAUCCCAACAACAACUACUUCUUCACAUUCAAGGUUUGAUUAACAACAACAACCUUUACUCUCUUUCUCUUUGCUUUCUGUGUUUUCAUUUCGAACGAAACAGCUUUAGUCGCCUGCUUCUUCUUCAUUUUCACAUAAAUCUUGCUUUGUUUAGUCAAUAUACGAUCCAAAGUCUGUAACUUUCAAUUCAAUCCUGCAUUCUAAGUCACGGGUAGAUCUUAGAAACCUCAAUUUCAGAAUUCAAUACCACAAUUUGUCGAUAAUAUUAUUCUCAAUGUGUUCCCUUGUAUGCUGCAGAUUCAUGGCUACUACACCAAUCUUUAAUGCCUCUUGUAGCUUUCCUUCGACCAGAGGAAUCGAUUGUAAGAGCUAUGUUGGUCUGAGAUCAAAUGUGAGUAAAGUGAGUAUUGCUUCUUCUCGAAUUGCAAGUGGUCAACGUCGUAAUCUUGUCAUAAGAGCUAGUGAAUCCGGUAAUGGACACGCUAAGAAGCUUGGAAUGAGUGAUGCUGAGUGUGAAGCUGCCGUUGCUGCUGGAAAUGUUCCUGAGGCACCUCCGGUUCCACCUAAACCCGCUGCUCCGGCUGGUACACCGAUAAUUCAGCCUCUUGUAAGUAUCCUGAUCCCUUUAUUUCAUUGUGAAUCUGCUCUAAUUGCGUUGUAUAGAUGAUUUUGCUGCUAGCUAAGAACAUAAUUUGAAUCGAUGAAUCGGUUCUUGAUUGAUUUUCAUAUAUCUUGAUGUAAUGAACAAUGUGUUUACCUGCAAGGUUGAAACUUUUAAGAGGCAUACCAUUUAUCUCUUCUAAUGUAACUUAUUGCUCGCAGAAUCUAAACCGACGCCCACGUCGUAACCGUGCAUCCCCUGUUACAAGAGCUGCCUUUCAGGAAACUGACAUCUCCCCUGCAAAUUUUGUAUACCCACUUUUUAUUCAUGAAGGUUUGCUAGUUUCUUUUGUAUUCUGACUCUAAUAUCUCUCAUUGGGUCUCUAUUGUCUUUAUGAAACAUUAUGUGGUUUUGGAGUGUGGCAGGUGAGGAAGAUACGCCUAUUGGAGCUAUGCCAGGUUGCUAUAGACUUGGUUGGAGGCAUGGUCUUGUACAAGAGGUUUGGCCCUGUGUUUUUGAUUUGAUUCCUUUAUAUGUUGCCGCCAUAUUAACAAGAAAGUGAUUAUUUUGGUCUUGAUUUAUUUGCAAAACAGGUUGCAAAGGCUCGAGCUGUUGGUGUGAACAGUAUCGUAUUGUUUCCCAAAGUCCCUGAAGCUUUGAAGGUCUUUCACACUUCUCUUCUGUUUGUGUACAUAUGUUCUUGAGUUGUAUCUGUAACGCUUUGUUUUGACGUCCAUUCUGUAGAAUCCAACAGGAGAUGAAGCGUACAAUGACAAUGGUUUGGUGCCUCGAACAAUUCGUCUUCUUAAAGACAAAUAUCCUGAUCUUGUAAGAUUUGUAGUCCCAGUUUGUUAAAUAUACCAGGAGAUGAAAUAUGGGGUAAUUUGUGAUAGUGAAAAAUGUUCUUCUCUGUUGCUAGGUUAUCUACACUGAUGUGGCUUUGGAUCCCUACUCGUCUGAUGGUCAUGAUGGGAUAGUUAGAGAGGAUGGUAAGUAUUCCUUCCCAACUUCCAUUUGAUACAUUUUAAUUGGAAGUCUGAUACAUUUUUUAUCUUUGUAGGCGUAAUAAUGAAUGAUGAAACGGUACACCAGCUGUGUAAGCAAGCUGUUUCUCAGGUAAUUCUUUUCGAUAUCAAAGAGUCAAAUUAUCUGAAUUUUUUCUUAUUAAUGGGAUAUGAUCUCUCCUUCUUUCUUUCCAGGCCCGAGCUGGUGCGGAUGUUGUCAGUCCAAGUGAUAUGAUGGAUGGGCGAGUAGGUGCAAUCCGCGCAGCUCUUGAUGCUGAAGGAUUUCAAAACGUCUCCAUCAUGUCAUACACAGCAAAGUAAGAAUCAUACAUUUCUUUUUCCCUCAAUAGCUUUUGUAAAGGCAUAUUCUUGUUUGUUCUGACUAAUUGUAUGAAUCUUCUGCCAACAGGUAUGCAAGUUCAUUUUACGGUCCUUUCCGUGAAGCCCUGGACUCAAAUCCCCGCUUUGGGGACAAGAAAACGUAAAUCCCAUAAAACCUCGUUGAUACUGAAUUUGCAUUACUUUUUUUUCUAACUCUAGCAGUUGCAAACUGACGUUGUGAACUAUAGGUAUCAGAUGAACCCAGCUAAUUACAGAGAGGCCUUGAUCGAGGCACGUGAAGACGAGGCUGAAGGAGCAGACAUUCUCCUGGUAAGCCCUUUAUCAUCCUUUAGCAAAACAUUUUAUAGAGUUUGGUAUUAAAUUGGAGUGUCUUGUUACAGGUGAAGCCAGGUCUUCCAUAUUUGGACAUUAUACGGCUUCUGCGCGACAAAUCUCCAUUGCCCAUUGCUGCAUACCAAGUACUUGCCUUAUACUCUGCUUCUAAACAUAUUGAAUAACAUUCCCUGUCUGAGGUUUUUGUUCAUUCAAACUCUCAAUGAAUUUUUCAGGUUUCUGGAGAGUACUCCAUGAUCAAAGCAGGGGGAGUCCUGAAGAUGAUCGAUGAAGAGAAGGUGAUGAUGGAGUCGCUGAUGUGCUUACGACGUGCUGGAGCGGACAUCAUCCUAACAUACUUUGCUCUCCAAGCUGCUACUUGUUUAUGCGGCGAGAAGCGGUAGAAUAGAUAGCGAGAGUAUGUGUUUUAUAACCAUUUGAGUAUGUAUUUUAAAUCAUUCGAGACGACUGUGAUUUUUGCCUUGUUCUACUUCUGAUCCAAGUUAGUAUGGUGCAUAUGUGAUCGUGUAUUGUCUAAUAUGUAUUAUGAUGCCUGCUAUCUUCGAUAACAUUGCGAAUAAUCAAAGGCAUCACAUAUUCAUAUGAAAGUAUGAAACCACAAAUGAGCUUACAACUUUAUUUUGGGAAGUCUUUGGCAUUGUAUAUUCUAAUAUCGAAAUUUUUAAUGUGAAUGGAUUCGUAAACCCUCUUGCGUAGAAGAGCUCCCAAAUUUGGCUACAAACUUUGUUAAAAUAUCUUGUGUUCGUGUCUUCUUUGACCAUAACCAAAAAAUAAAAAGACAUUAGCCGAAAAAAUAACAUGUUCACACUGGAAGCAAUAAGGUCAAAGUCAAAGAUUAAGGCCUGGACCGAGCACCAAAAAUAUCCAAUGGGCCUUUAUUUAGCUAAGCAGUUACGUAUGCUAUACUUAGGGUUUCUUUUUGUCGUACCUAUAUAUUCUCAUCACAGCGUCCCCAUUUGUAAUUUCUAGGGUUUUGCAAUACCAUCAUCAACACCGAACGGAUCCAACACGAUGGGGCGAAGUAAGUCGAUCUUCUCUUCUCACUCGCAAUCUCAAUUCGACUUCGUUUCAUUCGAUUCGUAGUUAGGAGAAUUCGGAAAUGUUUUGAGAUUUUAAUUUUGUCGACCUACGGUAUAGUGUAUGAAUCGCCAUUGAUAGAACUCAAAUUUGUAAAAUCUUUUUUUCUGAGUCUGUUCAUUCGAAAUCUGUAGGCUUUGGAUUAGUUUGAUGUUUUGAUUUUGUCAAUUUACGAUUUUAUUUGUGUGAACGCCAUUGAUUGAACAAUCCGAUGUUAAAAUGUAUAGGACCUGCGAGAUGUUACCGUCAGAUUAAGGGAAAGCCAUACCCGAAAUCGAGAUACUGUCGUGGAGUUCCAGAUCCAAAAAUCAGGAUUUAUGAUGUUGGUAUGAAGAGGAAAGGAGUUGAUGAGUUCCCAUUUUGUGUUCAUUUGGUUUCAUGGGAGAAAGAGAAUGUGUCAAGUGAAGCUCUUGAGGCUGCUCGUAUUGCUUGUAACAAGUACAUGGUUAAGUCUGCUGGUAAAGAUGCGUUCCAUCUCAGGAUCAGGGUUCACCCUUUCCAUGUUUUGCGAAUCAACAAGAUGCUUUCGUGUGCUGGAGCUGAUAGGCUUCAGACAGGAAUGAGAGGUGCUUUUGGUAAAGCUCUUGGUACUUGCGCUAGAGUUGCGAUUGGACAGGUUCUUUUGUCUGUGAGGUGUAAGGAUAACCAUGGAGUUCAUGCUCAGGAAGCACUUCGUAGAGCUAAGUUUAAGUUCCCUGGUCGUCAAAAGAUCAUUGUUAGCAGGAAAUGGUAUGUGUUGUUCAAACUCCUUUCCCAGUUUCUUUCUCUGUUUUGAUGUUUGAGCAUAUAGCUAAUCUGAUAUUUGAUGUAUCUCAGGGGAUUCACCAAAUUCAACCGUGCUGAGUACACUAAGCUGAGAGCUAUGAAGAGGAUUGUUCCUGAUGGUGUCAAUGCUAAGGUUAGUACAACUUUCAAACAAUUUGAGCUUUUUGUAAUGCUUAUAAGGGGAUGUUGAUUUGAUUCUAAAUUGUAUUGUUUUUUUUGUUGUUGCAGUUUCUAUCAAACCAUGGGCCAUUGGCUAACCGUCAACCUGGAAGUGCAUUCAUAUCAGCUACAAGCGAAUAAGAAAAAAGAUGAUGAUGAUUUGUGGUUGUACAAGAACCGUUAAUUUAGUUUCUGCGGCAUUCUAUUUCUCUUUUGUUGCAACAGUUGUAAGACAUGGAUCCUCUUAUGAUUCCAUUUUUCUUGAACAAUUGUUUCAGCCUGUGUUUCGUUUCUUUCUUUUCUUUUUCUUAUAUACUCCCAAUUCGUUUUGUCUAUCUCUAUUUAUUCAAAAUCGAUUUCUCAGUAUAUUUAUAACAAAUUGAGGCUUCCGCAACAUAAAAAUGUAAUAUGGAAACCCAUUAUAAUGUAAUAUGGGCCCGAAAAAAUAAUAUGUUCACACUGGAAGCGAUAAGGUCAAAGUCACAGAUUAAGGCCUGGAUCGAGCACCAAAAAUAUCCAAUUGGGCCUUUAUUUAGCUAAGCAGUUAAUAGGGUUUUGCAAAACCAUCAUCAACACCGAACGGAUCCAACACGAUGGGGCGAAGUAAGUCGAUCUUCUCUUCUCACUCACAAUCUCAAUUCGAAUUCGUUUCCUUCGAUUCGUAGUUAGGAGAAUUCGGAAAUGAAAACAAAGUAAAGAGAAAGAGUUCUGUUAUUUAGAUGCUGAACUUUUUGUAUUGCAAUUAAAAAUGUCAUAUACCCAAUUUCUUAAAAAGUAUGUUGAGGAAUCUGCUUGAGCUUUCUGAGAUACUUCGGAUUACAAAGAAAAAAUAAAAAAUAAAAAAAAAGGCAUGCUGAUAAACUAAGGGAACGUGGAAACCCAUUAAAAUGUAAUAUGGGCUACGAUGGGCCUGACCUGAGAGAGGUGAAUUUAGUUUUGACUUUUCAGCUGCUUUUCACAUACUCGAUUGAUUCGAGGAGCGAAUCCAAAAUUUGCAAGUUUUGUUGACCAUGAGUACAGGUGUGUUUUCUUCUCUUCUCGUCUUCUCACAUGCUUCUUCUUUCUUGUUUCUGAUUUCUCUGGAAUUGAAGAUGUGAUGAUUAUAUUAGGUUUGCCUUUUGACUUGGAAAAAAAAUUCUGGGUUUUCUUAGGUAUCUGUCAUUACUAGAUUUAUAAGAUAUAUUAUCUCUUUGAGCAUUUUAUGUAAUCGGUUGUUCUAUUAGUUAAUAAAACCCUAAACCCUAAAUCAAAGGUGUAGAGUUUCCCCCAAAACUAUCAUAUCUUCUACUGCCUUUUGGGUUUUGAUCAGUAUAAAUCCCACAUAGACUGUUCAAUUGAAGUUUCAUUUUUCACAAAAUGAAAAAUCCACCCUUAUUGCUUUAUAAGAGAGGAUUAAGCAGAUUAUAAUGAUCAAUGUUACUACUUCCUAAAGCUCGAUGUGAAUCGUUACCUCUUGCGUCUGUUGAUUUGUUUGGUAUAAUAUAGGUGGAGCAUUUGGAGGAAACAGAGGAUUAAGACCAAUACCACCAGAAAAGGGCAUUUUCCCUUUGGAUCACUUGCACGAAUGUGAUGUGGUAUGAUUUCUUCUUCUUCAUCUUUGCCUUUUGGUGUAUAUGUUUUUGGUUAUGUUUUAGUCUAUUCACUUUUAGCAUUUUUUCUUGGUUUUGUUUUCAGGAGAAGAAAGAAUAUCUUGGCUGUCUUAAAACUUCAGCUCACAAAUCUGAGCAAUGUAGACAUCUCUCUAAGAAGUAUCUCGAGUGUCGAAUGGCUAAGUAAGUCACCAUCAUAGUUCUCUCUCUCUAGUGAGUUUCAUGUUUUUACUUUGAAUCACAUCAGAAAAAGGAGGAAACUUUUGAUGGUAUUGAGAUCAUGAUAAACUGAUUUUGACUAUUGCAGGAACUUGAUGGCAAAGCAGGAUAUGGCUGAACUUGGAUUCAGUGGUGUUAAAGAACUGGAUUCCACUGAAGAUAAGAAUAAAGAGAGUAUCCAACAUUGAAGGUGGUGUGCCUCGUUUUGUAGAAUUUUGGAUUGAGAUAGUAUUUUUAAGAUUUGAGGUCUUAAAACCCCAACCACUCUCAAAGUAUAUGCUUUACCAGCUUUACAAUACGUACUUCAUAUGUUUUCCUGUGUGUGAAUUAAAGUAUCAUUAUACAAAGCAUUAAACAGAAGCAAAAUAGGAUUUAUAAUUAGUCUCUUUCUUUAGACCAAGUUUUUUUGGGUUUGUUUGUCUUUGAUUUUGAUUAACUUAAAGAACAACUAGUUAUAUAUGGUUGAUGCUAUUCUAUAAAUAUAUAUGCGUCAUGUGUUUGAAAUUUAGUCUUGAUUUCAAUUCAAAGUCCGGCGUCGUAUUCAUGUUGAAUGCUUCAAUGGCUUAUCGAAUAAAAUGACCACCAUAUGAAAGCCAAAGUCAAAUAGAUCUUUUCCUCCUUUGAUUAAGAUCUUUAAACUAAGAUAUAUAUAAACCCUUUAAUUUAAGAUCUUUAAACUGUAUGCAAGUUUUCAAAAUCGUCGCCUUCUAUUAAGUUUGACUGUUUAGAUUGUUUUCAAGAAGAUAUAUUAUCUCACUAAGAAGAUAAAAACCAAUAACUUAAAUACACUAUUCUUUUCCUUUUUGUAUAAUUUUUUUUUUUAAACGUUCAGUUACAUAUAAACCUUUUAAGAAUGAAAAUUAUUAUUUCAAACUUUAUUCUUUUCUAGAAUAAUUUCAGUCUAGUUUCAUUGCUAUUACUUGUCUUUCUUAUACAUAUACGUCAUUUUGUUACUACUAAAAAUCAUCUUGACAAACUUCAUCUUCUUGUGUCACCAAUUCUAUUUUUGAAGAAGAAGAAACAAAGCAAAUGUAGAAUACUUGAAGGUGGCGGAUAUAAUGCGAUCGUUUUAUGUUGUCAAUUUUCAAUAUAGCUACAAAAUUAAACAAAGACAAUAAAAUGAUUAGUGACGUGUUUCAAUAAUGUUUUUUGAGUUCAACUAUGUAAUCAAGCAGAGAUUAAUCUCUCUGUCUCAUAUCAUUAUUGCCACGAUCGCCAUUGUCCUAAAUUCCAAAUACCCCCACUUGAUUUUUUUUUUGGUUACAACGCAACCGUAGCCAAAUGAAAAGGACUUACAUAUAUUAUAUAGUUGUUAAUGCCAAGUACAUAUAUGUACAUACGAACAUUACAGUUUCUAUAUAUAAAAACGUAAUAGGUAUGAUUUGAGAUGGUAGCUCAUUUGAUUGAAAGUUUGAAACUAAAGAUUUUUUCCGGACAUCUUAGGUUUUCCCAAGUUUAAAUCUGAAGAUAGUUCUUGCUCCACAACAUUUGUGGUCUUUAGUGUGCAAACUUACCAAUCUGUACACACAAAAGAACAAAAUUAUAACCUUGGUACUUAUGCAUGUGUAGAACAAUAUUGUUUUUAUAUAUCAACACAAUAUUGUUUAAAAAUAUGUUGAAGUAAUAAUAGAGUUGUGGUUUCGAAUAACAAAUUGUGAUUAUGUUAUGAAAUAAACUGAAAACAAUAAUGUAGUCCAGAUAUUAUUUCGAAUUUGUCCAGUACCCGACAAACACGACAAAUUAAUAAAUGAUUUAAACUCAUUAGAUCUGUUCAAUGGGAUAACUAUUGAAUUAUCGAUGUCAGGAACUGGUGGAACAUAGCGUCAGUGGAAAAUCGCGUAAGUGGACUGUGGACCGACAACUUCAUAUUUUCAUAAUUUAAAAGAGGAUACAUUUAUUUAACAAACCAGAAAAAAAAAAAAAAAGAGGAUGCAGUAGUUUUAAUUUUUUCAUUUAUUACCCAACGUAAGAAAAUACAUAUUGAGAUAUAUUAAUAUUUUAAGAAAAAAAGGAGAAAAACAUAUAUAGUUGCUAAAUCAUAAUGCUUUCAUAUAUAAAAUAUACAUGCAACUAGACAAGUAUGCAACCAUAAUAUGUAGACGAUCGUGAUACGAGGGAUACUGGCGUAUGAUGAACCAUGAGCAUUAAAACCACGAGGCACACACUCUCUCUUUGAUCCUUUGGUGUAGAUUAUCAGAUAGUCUUACUGUAAUUUGGUUGUUAACAUUACAAUUAGAUACUAAAAAACUCUAAAGAACAAAAAUUAGAAAAUAGGAUAUCUAUAUAUAGUAUUACAACUUUUCUCUAUUCUCAAACUUGUCUAGAACCUCCAUUAACGUAGGCAUGGCUAUAUUGUCCUCCACUAAGGAAGAGACCAAUGCAUGAUGGACCAAGCUUUUAGAUUAAUAAAUCAACUAUAGCAACAAUUUUCUAGCUUGAUUUUGUUGAUUUUUUUGUUCUAUAUAUGGUUAACUCUUUUGCCCUUUAUCCAAUAGUAAAGCAAAAUUCAUUUCCGAUAAAUAUGCUUCUCUGGGUACUAUUCAGACGCAAAAGCCCAAAACACGUGAGACGUGACCUACUGACGUACGCCAAAUAUUAGAUGUGGCGUUAAAUAUACAUUUAUCAACAAAUCUAAAGUACGUAAAUCUGUAGAUGUGGAACUUUUGGAAAUGUAUAGAACUAUUAUUUAUAGAAUUUCAUAAAUUUUUGAGAUAUUUAAUUACACAAAUUUUAAUAUUUUAAACGUAAUAAAGUAUACACGAGAAUACUUCAGCGUAGUCUAGCUCUUACCUAAGUCCUAAUACUAAUAACGAGUGUGUAAAAUGACCGGCGAUGCAAUAUGUAUCAUGGGACAAUAGGGAUGGGUAGGAUUGAACAAACUAUAUACAUCUUGUUCGUUUAUCGUUAUAUUCCAUUUGAUACGAUUAUAUUAUAUAAUAUAUAUGAUAUUGAUAUUAUAAAUUUUGAGUAUUCGAGAUUUCAGAGAUGGAUAUCGUCAUAUUGACAAAAUAAUGAUGAGUACAGAUUCGUAGGUAUGGCACCGUAUGGCCGUAUAGAUACGGAUAUUUUGAGAGAGAAAGAAAAAAAAAUCCACUAUGUAACAUGAAAUAUGUAUAAUAAAUGUUUGAUGCUAACCCUUUUUCUUUAUCAAAGUAUUUAUACAAACAUCUUAACUUAAAACAUAUUUAUAAAUAACUCUCAUUUUAAGUUUUUGUAUAAAUGAAAAAAAAAAAUAAUGCAUAGUUUAUUAGUUGAAUGGUUUUUGAGUAUUUAUAUUAGAGAUUCACAUAUAACCGUUUGUAACUUGUAAGAAAGGUAGAUGCGUUAUAAACACGUAAUUUGCAAAGUAUGAACAUAGGUGCGCAAUUAGAUUUUUUUUUUAAUUAUAUCUUAACAAGAAUAGAAGUUUAAAUUUGCUGACAAAGAAAAGUUUAAAUCUGAUUUUACUUUAGAAAUAUUUUUGUAGAAAUUUCGAUGAAGACUUCUUGCAAGAUGUGAAACACAAUGGUCCGGGUUGGGACCAGUGAAACCCACUUGUAUUAACUUUAUUUAUAUUUAGAUAUGUUCAUUGAACUGUAGUGGUAGGAUUGAAAUGUCUUUUAAUAACGUAACAAACAAUUUAAAGAUUAAGAAAAAAACAACAAAAUAGUAUCAUUAUCAUUAGUCCCACUCACUAGAAAUUAAUCAAACCAAUAUAAAUCAUAUAGUAUCUAAACAAAUAAAAAGAGGACACUUGUCAAUUCACAUGGAAAAAAUAACAAAAACAACCAACAAUGAUAAAGAAUUUUCUAUUAAAGAUCUUUUUUUUUUAACUUCAUCAUCAUCAUAAUUUGGUCUUUUACUUUUCCUUUUUUUACCCAUCCUCUUUUUCUUGUUUUACCCUAGUUUAGCCUUGUCUACAUGAACAGUUCAGACUGUAGCAACGUGUAAUAAUUAGCUGCUUCAUCCUCAAGCUCCCAAAGCCCAACACCAAACCCAUCUAAUAAACUAAACCCAUUAACGUAAUCUUGAUUAGUAGUCUCACUGCUCUUAAUCAUCUCAUCAUAAUUACUCUCUCCACCAGUUUCAGUGUUAGGGAUCCCGAGUUCGUCGUCUGAAGCUUCAAGAAGAUGCUUCAUCACCUUCUCUUUGUCUUCUUCGUACUCAUCUUCUUUCGAAGUGCAAGAAGACGAAGAUGAGGAGGAGCAGGAAGAAGAGAGAGAAGGGUGGUUCUCUUCGAAAACGGCAGCGUUUUGCUCUUCCGUUGAGAUUUCUUGCUGAAGUGUUGUGAUUAGGGAAGUUAUGUCAUUGUCGGCUUCAUCGUCUAGGAGACAUUGAACUUGGUUGUGCGAGGAAGAAGAUGAACAAGGCUUUGGUCUUUUCGUUUCUUCUUGGGUUAUGAUGUUUUCUUGUUCUUGCUCAUCUCUUUGGCGCUUCAAUGGUGAUGAUGAUACAGUUGUUGAUUCAGCCAUGUUUGGACAAGAAGAGAGAGAGAUAGACAAUGGUGUUGAGAGGUUUUGUUUAACUUUUUAAAUCGUAAGAGAGAGAGAGAGAGAGAAUCGUUGAGGUGAUGAGAGAGGGGAGGAGACUAAAAUGUUUAUAUAGAGGAAGGUUGUGGUCAAAAUGUGUUUUUUUAUAUUUAAAUAAAAAUAAUAACGUGAUUAAGUGUCAAAAUGAAAUAAUUAAUACUAGAAGCAAUUUGUUGGUUCGUGCAUCUCAGGAGAGAGACAUGUGAAUGCUUUUUCCUUUUUCGCAUAACCCGGAGUUAUAUAUAAUAAUAAUACAUGGUCUAUACAAUUAUUUUAAAUACAUACAUGGUCUACAUGGUCUAUACAAUUAUUUUGAGUCAUCUCGGCGACAAAGAUGAAUACUAUAAUACGAAGAUUCAAAAUAUAAUUAUUUAGUUCUAAUAUUAAAGUAGUUUUUAGAUCUUAGGCAUGUUGUACUUAUGAUAAUCUUAUAGCUUUGACCGGUAACAUUCUACUUGAUGACACCAUCUCAUCUUCGCUUAUGUAGUAAUAUAAUAAUUUUUAGUGAGACGGUAAAAAAAAAAUGUAUUAUCUUGUUUUCAUCGUAUGUACCAUUAUUGUAGUUACUAUUGUCUUCCAUCAAUAUUUUUCUUACUACAAAAAAAGAAAAGAAAAUAUCGUUUUUCUGUCACUAAUAUUAUAUAACUCACAAAAUCUCUACAAGAAAACUAAGUUUAUUUUCUGUAGAUAUUGUUCAGAACAAAAUAAAAAUAAAUUAUGAAGUAGAAAUUUCCGACAAACAUAAUAAAAGUUCAUAAAUAAAAAGUACUUGGUGAGAAAAUUUGUUCAGUGGGACUUGUAAAAUGUAAAUGCAGUGGCCUAACAUUUUUGUCAUGUAACAUUAUACUGAUGUUUAGAGGGAAAAUGAUAAAGGAAGAUCCUCUUUGAUUGAUUGCAAUUGUUUUUUAUAUUUUGUAAGAGAGACAAAAGAGAAAACAAAAAAAGUAAUAAGUAGUUGUUGUCAUUGAGAUUUGGUAAAUAUAUAUGAUGUGCUUUUGUAUCUAACCGUUGGAUUCGCAUUCGAGAAGGAGCUUGUAAAUUACGAGGGAUGUAUCGAACGGUCGUGGUUUCACGUCUGGUGGAUUGCACAUGGAAAGUGACAGCCCCUCUCAUUGAUUCUUAUCGUUUAAAGUGGACGAGGACGACGACGAUGUGAAUUAACCACCGCGUAAACCAUUGUCGUGUCUUAAACGUUGGGAUGGUUGUAUCAGUUUCUAACCAUGAUUUUUUGUAUGUAUUUAUUAUUUACUAAACGUGUUUAAAAUGGUUAGUUGUAAUAUGAUAUUUAGGAUUAUAACUAUUCUAGAUUUCGACAUGUCAAAAGUCAUAUAAUGCUAUUAAUAAUUGUUAAGAAAAAGUUCCACUUCUGCAAAAUUGUUGUUUUUUUAUAGCUAUUAAAGAUGUCUAAAGUUCAAUAUUUUGUAGAUGUGGAACAUGUUUUGUAGUUUAAAGAACCCACUAAACGAAACUUCUAAGUAACCAUCCAUAAAAGCUAUUGAACUAAACUUUUUUGGUUAUUUCUUUGAAAUGUAUAGAAGCAUUAAAAAUGAUAAAAGUAAGUAAGCUUCGAAAUUUCUUUGUAAAAGCUAGUGUAGUGAACUAGUCAUAAUAAUUGAUUUUAACUUUUAUCAGUCAUUAAUCUUGAUUAAUGAAAUGCAGUUUAAAUGAUAUCUAGAUUUGCUUCAAAACGACAAUCACAUAUUGACCUAAUAAUAUUUAGUAGAGUAAUAUUUUGUUCUUGUAAAUACAAAUUAAAUUAGAAUACUGAUAAUUAUUUGUAUGUUUGCAAAAAGAUAAAAAUAUACUGCUAUUCACUAGUCACGUCUAUGUAAAAGACAAAGAACCAGUGUGUGUACUUGGUGAACAGUUGUAAUAUAAUUAAGUUAAACUACAUUUUUCCCCCAAAGUAACUUACCAAUUUGGUCACCAACAUGUAAAACCCCAAACCAUACGAUAUCUAUCCACUUAGUACCAAAACUGUUAAUAACUUUAGUUACCUCUAUAAUCAAUUAACAAGAGAAAAAAUUACGUCUAUAAAGAAGGUACAAAUGUCAAAAAUAAUAAAGAAGGUACGCAUCUUUCUAUCAACAAGUCUAUGAAACUUGUGUUUUCUCAACGUCGGUAAGCUUUUUUCUUUUCUUUUUUCCAAUUUUUGGGUAAGAAAUAGUACAAAUCGAAAGUUAUUAUACUAGUUUAAAUAUAUAUACUAAAAGUAGGAAGCAAACAAAAUAUGCAUAAUAAUAUCAAUUUUCUUGGUACAAAUGAUCAAUUCAAUAUUUAACGUCAAUUCCGAAUUAGAAAUUUUAUCAAAAAAAAGAUGGAACAUGUUCUUAAAAAAAAAUUGAAAAGUACAGAGACUUAUAUAAAAAAACAUCCACGAGCUUAUAAAAUAUACUAUUAAAAUUUCGGCUUAAUUAAACCGACUUGAACCAUAAUUAUUCUAAAAAACAGAUGAGAAAAAAAAAACUAAAAAGCAAAAUACAGUUAUAAAGAGACUGGAAUAUAUAAAAAUAAAAAUAGCAAAAUAACAAAAAUAAAAAAAAAAGGAAAGAAAAAGAGAGGUGACUGGUGAGAUGAUGAAUACAACUACAUGGUUCGAGGUAGGGUUACGCAAGUGGGUUUUUGUUUAUACACUUCUCCUUCUUCUUCGUGUCUUUACUUUUUUUCUUUUCUUUGUCCUUUCACUUUACUUUAUUUAUCCUUCCUUACCCACUUUUUUCUACACUUCAUCUCGGUUAAGAGACAAAUCCAUAACUAGUGCGGUUGAAUUUGUAGUUGUUGAAAUGAAACAACCACGACAUAGAAUAUGACAUCAAGAACAGAGGAUAGUUUUGGGAAAUUUUGGUGACUUUAUAAUCCGUAUUGUACCUGACUAGAUUAGUCACUAAUUUUCUUGGCUAUUCGUUUGUAACGUAUGGAAAUGUAAAAGUGAUUUCCAACGAGUGAAACUACUAGACAAUUUCUUGAUAUUAAUACCAAGACAACUAAGGGUUUUAUCAUCAAGCGAGAUGACAACUAGCAAUUAGUAUCUUAGAAAGAGUAGGUACAAAUUUUGUUUUUGAGAAAUGUAAUGGUGGUCCAAAGAGGAUGAAUUGGUUAUAUGUUUGGGGAAGAAGAAGGAAGAAGUGGGGACUUCUUCUCUCGUAGCCUUUCUGGAAUAGCACACACACAUAUACACUGACUGUUACUUGCCAUCCCUCUCGAUAUGUCAACUUGUCCAUUGUUAUUAAAAACUCUCUCUACUCCCUUUUUUCUAUGUUUUCUAUUGCAUUUUUUUCAUUUUAUUUUCCCAUACUUCGGAUUUUAAAAUAUUUAGAUUAGGAUCCGUGUAAAAAUUGAUAGCAAAUAACUACGUACAAAUUCAAAUCCUCUUAAAAAAAAUUAGAAAUUAGUAUACGGAUAUAUGAAUUCGUAUCCAAAGCUGUAAAUAAUAAACUAAUUUUGAAUUACAAAAGAUUCCAGAAAGAAAGAAAAAAAAAACUAAGUCACAAAAAUAUAUUCAAAUUCGAUUCUUGAAUUUUUGAACAUAUUUAUCAGAGAUAGUUUCAACAAUACCACCUUUUUAUAUCUAAGAAAUAGGUUAUAUAGUUUAUUUAUCAUUUACUAUAUUAAUAUAUGACUCCUAUAUACACAUAUAUCUAAAUUAUAUAAGACAAUGUAAUAAUGAUGAUUUAAAUCAAAAUAGCUGAAUUAAUCUUAGACAUGGAUCAAGAUCCAAAACGUCUGAAAAUAUCAUAUUCAUAGAACCGACCCAGAUCAGAUCUCGCAUCUCAUCUUUGCUGCAGUCCCCAUAUAUUUAAGGUUUUUUGUUCUUCUUCUACGAAAGAUAUGCAUCGAUCUUGAAGGGUUCUCUAGUCAUUUCAAAACACGUAGACACAACAAUGCAUGUACACGUACAUGUGUGUUUACCGUAUACGUGUUGUGUGUACGCAUCUCUCACUUAUCGGUUUCGAGAGGCGAAUAUUAAAUGUUUUUUUUUGGUGUUUCCAUAAUAAUAAUAAUAAUAAUAAUAAUAAGAAAGGAGGGGAGUUGGUUUGUUCAUCCAUCGGCAUAAAAAUGAAUGGACAUGUGCCCUUCUUCAUAAUUCUAUCCGUUAUCUUAUUAUAUCAAAACGAAUAUAUAAAAAAGAAAACACAUAUUUAAUGAAUAGCAGAAAAUAAUCAUGUGACAUUAUUAUUAUGACACAUGAUUAUUAUGUUAACCCAUUUUUUUUGUCGAAUUAUGUUAACUCAUUUAUGCCGACGAACUCACAAACUGAAUUAUAUUAUUUUUGUACUACUAUAAUACUAUGAAACAUACGAUUAACUUAAUUAUUAUUAUUUCAGAUUUCAGAGUACGAUAUAUUUAAAAGUCAAGAUGUUGAUCUUGCAAUAAGAUAUUUCGAUAAAUAAUCUCAAUACGAAAAUAACUGUCAAACUCGAUUAUUUGUUCAGCUGAUUUUUAUCAUAAUCGAUUUUUUUUUUUUGUGUCAUCUUAUCAUAAUCGAAUUAAUGUACUGACUUUACAUAAUAUGAAAUGAAAUAUCGUGUAUAUCGAGAAAAGAAAAUGAAACAGUAAAAUAAGUGCAUUUUGCUGUAAAAAGCCUGAUCUGUCAUGAUGAUGACUCGGUUUCUUCAAUACACUUAUUUUAUUUUAUUUUUGAGGGUCCUUUAUUUUGUAGUUUAUUUUGCGAACAAAAGAAGUAACGUAUCGAUACAAGCAAUAAAUAUAAUUAAAGUUACUAAUAAAAGAAAAUUAAAGUGGUGUUAAAAGAUGUCUCCCGUGAGAAUUAAUUAAAGUUAAAAACCAAAGAGUGAGGUUUCAUGCAUGCUCGCUCAUGAUUCGUCAGACCUAAUUAGGAUCUCAUUCACGUGUUAAGUUAUAUAAUGUUUUCGCAUUAUCGCAAACCUAACGCUUUAACAAGCAAUUUUAAUUUUAUCUACAUAAUGGUCAAUAGUAUGUUGUUAAUUCUUUAUAUAUUUCUGCUGGUUAAAUUAGAGAAUGGAUCUGGAUCGGUUUAACUAGGUUGACGACAAGAUAAAAAUAUAUUUGAAAACUUAUCUCUAGGUUUUAAUGUUUGUGCACUUACUAUUAUUCUAUAUGUUAAUUGAGUUUUCCCAUAUUAAUGAUAGAUUAUGAGAUAGACCCAUAUCAGGUUAAACUAAGGAAAAUAAUUCCAAUGUAAAGAUACAUGGCUUUAGAGUUUAGUAUUUCAUUAUUUCUAGUACCAAGCAAAUUGAGAUAUCAAAAACAUAAAGAACAUAUAAAUUUCUAAUGAAUCUAUACAUAUCCAUGAAUGUAAUUUUGGACAUGCACCCUAUUAAACAAUUAUAUAUAUUUUCUCCUUAUCUUUCGUAUUAUGUUCGUAAUUCUUAAAGGGUCUCUCCCUGAUUAAAAUGGUCUAGGAGAUAGUGCUGCACAGUUAUGAUAUAUUAAUACCAUAUUUAGCGGAAAGCUUUAAAUAAACAAUAUGAGUUCGUCAUUAUGCAUCCACCGCCGAUUGUCGAAUGCUUGCUCAUCAAACAAAUAAACAUCCUCCUCUUUUGGCUAGUGUAUUAUUACGGAUAUACGUACGUACAUACAGUACAUAUACGUAUGUGUGUGUAUACUGUAUUCAUACUACAAGUUAUUAUUACAUGAAAGGAUCUGAACAGUUAGAAGACAACAAAUCUUAUGAUGACAUCAAGGUCACCAAAUUAAGUGCAACAACAAAUUAACACCAAGUAGUUUAUAUAUAUAUAUAUAUAUAUAUAUAUAUAUAUAUAUAUAUAUAUAUUUUUGAACAUAUAUAUAUAUAAUUCUCAUCAAUCAGCUAGGCUUAAUUUAAUUAGAUCAUAUUUAGAUUUAAUUCAGUGAACUAUGCAUGGGUUUUCCGGGUUUGGCGCAUAUAUAGUUUGAAUAACGGAAUAAAUCAAAAGACUAAAAAAACAAUGAUUAUUUAAAAUCUUUUUUAAGUAGAGACUUGAAAACUUGUGUUAACAUAUUUAUUCAUUUAAUGAAAAAAAAAGAAAGACAAUUGUACACAAAACAAUGAGUUCGCCUCAAUUGCUUAUUCUCUACGUUUUAAGAUUUAUCAAUACAUCUGAAUUCACCUGAAAUCACAGCAAAUUAGCUUAGGGGUAGAGUAUUAGGUUACCGAUUCUGAACCUCAGUGGCUGUCGGUGUUGUGCCACAAUCACGGUUACGUUUUCUACAUGUCAAGGAGUUUUGGUUUUUUUUUUUGUCUCUUUACGUAUAUGUACGCCAUAUACAUGAUUUAUACGUCCUUUAGCAUAUGUAUAUUUGUAUUUAAUUCUGAUUUCUGUACCGGAAAAAAUAAAGAGAAGACAUUUGGUACAAUUAUAUAUUAGAUUUAGAUCGAUCGGUACGUGAGGGAGGGAAAGAAAAAGUAACACAUCCACCACGUGCAAGAGGUUUAGUUUGCAGUAUCCACCUACCUAACUCUAACCUCUUCCAUCUCAUUUUUGUAUCUUACAAGAUUUUUGAAGCUAAUGAUUUUUUAUUCUCUGACGACAGACAAAGGUAACUAUAUAAUUCACGCUUCAUACUCAAUACAUAGUGACGAUGAAAGGUUCCCAAACAAAAGACAGCUUACAUAUUCACCCUAAGCAUUUCUAGUCAACUUUACCAAAGCCCACACCAAUUAAAGAUAAGAUAUACGUAGCAAGGUGAUAAGGUUAUCUAUAAUCAGCACAACAACAAAAAAAAAUCCAUCAUAAAGAUGAGUUUACCAAUCAUAUAUAACUAAUAAUACAUUUAACCAUUCAACUUCUAACUUUUCCUUGUAUAUAUUUCUUCGUGUUUGUUUUAAUUUAACCGUUUUCUCCAUAGUCGCUAAAUUGUUUUUUAUAUCUUAUUUAAUUAGAUCAUCGAUAGACCCAUAUGUCUUAUGAGAGGUAACUCAUAUUUUUUCAAAAAUCUUAUAUUCAACAUUAAUUACAAAAAGUAUCAUUUUGAAAUUAAGAUGCCUUUAGACAUACCAGCCUGAAAAUUCAAGCUUAUUAUUCGACUUUUAACAACAAAAAUAUCAACCUUGUAAGAUUGGCACAUCAUGUUUCUCGGUCUAAAUUUGAUUUAUUUUUUCAGACCAUUAACUGCAAUAGAAAAUAUCUAGAACGAAAGGCUUUAAUGCUUACGCUGAUCUAUUCAGAAUAACAGAAAAAUCAAACAACUUGAGAUUUAGAAACAAAGGUGUUUUGUUGUUGCUGUCUCAACCACUUAAGCAAAACUCCACACUAUUUUCAUUUGGUUUUGGAUUUUUGUGCUGUCCAGAGUAACAAAGACUUCCCAACGUAUGAUAAGGAUUCAAAUACAUUUAGUUUGAAUAGUUUCUAGAGAAGGUUUUCAAAUAAGUCAGGAAUAGAACGUCACAAUGCAUUAAAUUAUAAACGUCAACAUAUAUGGACUAAAGCUAAACACCUAAACAGUCAUACGUGACUCUUAUUUUUUCCUUUGCCACAACGGCAAACUGAAUAAGUAAACAUUAAUUUAAAGAAACGGUUAUAUAUAUUUAUAUAUUAUGAAACCAUCCAUCACAUAAAAUCAUUUGCUACGAAACCAUAACUUAUAACAUUAUGGUUUGUAAUAGUGUUGUCUCCUUAUCACAAUCCAAAUUCAAACCCCCACAUGAUAUAAGCAUAUCGCAAAUAAAACAUUGAUUAAUAAUAGCUAUAUAUUAACGUACUGAAUAUCAUAUAAUGUGCAAAGAAACGUAUGACUUAGGCUGGCACUUAGCCAUGUGGAAAAGGAGAACGUUCAAUUAUAAUUAUUGGAACGAUGCUAUUGUAUGUAAACCACUAAUUUAAAUACGUAGAAAGAUAACAAAAAGGGGAUGUCCACGUCUAUCCGAGUCAUUCAUCUAUUUUUAUUAGUUACAUAAACUCAACAUAUAACGUGAUAUUUUUUCGCUUUCUUUAGUUUAAAAUUUAGUCUAAUAUUUAAAACUUAGUGAUUAGCUCAUCAGAUCUAUAAUUGGAUGGGGAAAAUUAGAUUAAUAUCUUGAUAGGAGCUAGGUAUCCGUUUUAAUACAAUCUUCACACUCUACUUAUAAAAAACUAGUAUUAGCAUGUUGGGUUUAAUCUAGGAAGUUAUCGGGAAAGUAAACUAAUCAGCUUCGGUGCGUCAAAUCGAUUCAUCGAUGAUGAUGUACUAUACAAUUUGUAUUAUUAUUAAUAGACCAUGCCCGACAAAAAACGACGAUGUUCGAGUUAGUGGACCGGUCUUGUAUUAGUGAUUUUUCUAUUACAGUUUAGUUACUAUAAUCGGUAAACAUGUUUUGCUGGAUAUAUAUACUAUAUAGUAUAUGAACAUUAAUAAUCUGGGGAAGAUACCUAUCAAUAUGAGAUGUAUCGGUUCAAUAAAAAUGUGUUCCGAAUCCUAGAAAAGAUUAUUGUGAUUUCUUUCAUAUUUAUUAUUCAAAACCUGUAACAUAUUAACUAGAGUUAUCUUUUAAAAAAUGACAUACUAAAUACUAUUGUUGUGUUCUCUAAUAAAAGUACUGAUUCAAGAAAUUAAUAGUUCUGUAUGAACCACUUACUACGUUGAUGUUAUUUUUUUUGCUUUUUACUGUAAGGGUGUGAAGUUAUUAGUAACAUCUUGAAUAUAAUGAUUUAAGAAUUUAUUAGUUUUAGAAAGUAAAAACUAUUGUCAAACUAUAAUCUUGCAUAAUAUUGGGUUAGUCACUCUAUUGGGCUUCAUGAGGCUAUUAGCAGAGUAAAUAUGAUAAACCCCGAAAACAAAUAGGCCCUAUCAUAACAGGCAAAUAGUUUUUGUAACCCAAACAUCGACAUUGAUCAAAAGAAACAGUCAUAAGUCCGAAAUCCUUGUUUUCACUUUCUUUUUCUUAUUUUUGGGGCCAACCCUUGUUUUUUACUUCUUAUGCAAAAAUCCUAGGAAAACUUUAGAGCAUCUUAGAGAAAUUCAUAACAGAGAAAGAAAAAGUUCCAACACCGAAGAUAAAUCAGAAGGAAAUUGAAACAACAACAUUGCUCAUGCGCCGCGCAAGCAAGCUCGGCAGGAAGAUUAUGACUUCAAGGCUUCAUGUGUGCGAAACCUUGAGGCAGAGUAAAAAGUGGAUAGUCUCCUUCGUCUCCUACUGUGAGACCUUGGAAUGCCAUUGCCAAAGCAUAUCCAAGUGCCUUCGCUACUGGAACUGCAACCGCGUUACCAACUUGAAUGUACCUGAAAACAAACCAAAUAUUUAUUUAUAUGUAGUCUGAAUUUUAUAAAUCUUGAAAACUCUCUUCUCUGAGCAUAAAUCAAAUCAAAACUGAAGGAUUCACGAUUACUCACUUUUGUUUUGUUGGACCAAAGAGUUUGUAGUCAUCAGGAAAGCCCUGGAGUCUUGCAUUUUCACGAAUGGAUAGUACACGAUCUUGCUGCGGAUGAAUGAUUACCUGCCAAAUCAUCAACAACAUUCAAAACUCUUUUUAAGUUGAUCCAAAUAACUCUAUGCAAAUCUAGAACACUAGAAUAACUCUCCCUCUGUUACAUUAUCUAAACUAACUUACAACUAGGCAAAAAUUCAGAAAUUCACCUGGUUAUGCGGUUCCGCUCGAGUGACAACAGUAGGGACUGUCUCAUCCCACCAGAGGCGUCCAAAGGGCCUGAGGAAAAACAAAUGGUUUUGGUCAUUUCAAUAACAUUAGGCCAAUUCAUAAUUUACAGAAUAUAAAAAAGGGAAAUGAGAAUCACUUGGUUGAUGUCCCAUCAACAAAAUUCACAGCAUAAUAGGGCACCUGUAUGAAGAACACCGUUAGUAGAUUGAGGAGAAAAGCAAAAUUAGCAGUCAAUGAAGAUAAAAAAAGAUUAAUAUCAGGAUCCAAUUAUAGAGAUGAUUAUUAUUACCAAUGAUUUUCCAGAUUCAAGGUAGACGCUUCGACUCUCAUCCAUGUGAACUACAUUACCGGGUCCAACAACUACACCAGGAAAGUCUCUGAAAUUUGCUCCCUAAUACCAAAAGUUGUAUUCAAAAUUAUCAGAAUAAUUCUAGAAACUAAAUCAAACAAGAACCACAAAAUCAUAUUAUCAAUGAAUGUGGGAAGAUUGUACCUUCCUCUUGGGGACACUACAAACUCGUUGAUAAUCAUCUUUAUUCAGAUUCAGGGGAUGGUGAUCAUACAAGACUGGCUUUUUGGACUUUGAAUUUUUUGAUGAACCUAACUUUUCUGUUGAAAAAGUCCAUAAACAAUUUGUUAAAAGAUCCCUCAAGUUGCCAUAAUGGUUGUCAAAUCUAUGUUUUUACAUCGUUUCCCAAAAUAAAAAAAAAGUUAGAAACUUACCAUCUUUCCUUAAUCUGAUGAAUUGUUGAAAUGGUGUUUCAGGAUUUUUGUCAUAUGGAAUCUCGUCUCUCACUUCGCUGUUUGCAAUCUAAACUCAAGGUAUUAUUUAGUAAGACGAGAAUAUGCACGACAAGCUAGCUAAGUUUUAGUCAAGAUAAGCCACCAAAGACUUACAGCUGGAAGAUCAGAAAUCACGUCUUUAAGUAAAAGCUUGUCUUCCAACUUCACAGUGUGUCCUACAUUAUAGGCUACUGUGUUUCCCUGGCAUUAAAUAUAAGCAAAUAUGAGAUUUUGCUAGACAUAUGGAAUAGAUAUAUACAGUCUUAAGUCUAUUACCUCAAACUCCACAGGAACAUUUCCUCUCACGACUACAUCAUGAGUUGGAAGUGGGAACUGAGGAAGCGUCUGAAACAGAAAGAUACAAAUUAAGAACAUCUUCUAUUCAUUAAUACAAAAAACCAAGAACUAACACUAAAAUUUUUACCUCGCUAGAGAGUGCGCCACAUAAGAAGAACCGCAUGCGGAACUGAGCAAGACCAUAUGCACCUGCAGCCAUCAUUCCCAUCCGACUUUGGUAAUUCAUUUGGAUUAGCCGUCCAACAGCGUAUCGUGCAAGAUAGCCCUUAGCAAACUUAAGCAUGUCUACCACAUUCUCCAUUAAGACGUAUUUUGGCUUCAAAAACUCCACAAUGUUCAUAUAAACAAGAAGCUGCUUAUUUUUCUCAUCAUCUAGAGGCUCUUCUGAGUUCCUGAAGCGAUUAUGACCACUGAUUCCUUGGCAGGGCGGUCCACCGCAAAUAACAUCAACACCUCCCUAAAUUAGUGUUUCGGUAAAAGUGUCAGUGACAACCACAUUGUAAGACUCUUAUAUUUCACCACUGUCACCUAGUCACUUAUUCCAGGAUAGUGCUUUAAUCCUCAACUAUUCAAUUACCAACUCAGCAACUAGCAACUAAAUUACGCAAAACAACAUAAUAUUGACCCUUGUUAGUUCUUGAACUACCAAACACAAACUAAUAUAAGUAAAUUAUCUAUAUACAUAAGACACAUAAAGCUUAGCACAUACAAAAACAACUUUGCACUGGCUUCAGAAAUUUAGGAAAGCAAAAGAAGUAGAAUUUAAAAUUUUCCUACUUGUAAUGGAAGGAUACCAGCUUUAUAUCCACGUUUGACAAACUCUUUGAUUUUCUCCCGGCAAUUACUGUUUACAGAUAAGUUUACAAACUUUACUAUUGACAUUUAUUAUUUUAAGGAAAGACUCUUUAUCUUAUGCUUACCUGAGUCCUUCAAUAGGCUCCCAAGUAUCAUCCGAAGGCUUGUAACCCUGCCACCGUACCUAUAAUAUCAAAACAUCAAAAGAUUGUGACUAUAACAAGACAAAACCAUAAAAUAUAUAGUGAAAUUUGUACAAACAGGCAACAAUACCUUCAAAUAAAGUCCACGUUCCUUUAUCUUCUUAGGAUCCCCGAAGGAAAUACCAACAAUCUUUUCCACUGUAAAAACCUCCCCAUUAUCUUCGUUGUCACUCUCCUUGCCCUCAUCUUCAUUGUCACUCUCCUUGCUCUCAUCUUCAUUGUCCUCAACAUUACUCAUCCCAUAAAGGUUGUUAUAUUCUUCUGAAUUUGGACAUGUUCUCAAAGAGAAAUGAAUGCAUAGCUUCAACCACUCCUUAAGCAGCAACAGGAAAUCUUCUGCGGACAUGUUUCUUACCUAAGAAGAAGUGACUAUUUGAGGAUUUCUGUAGUCAAUCUAAAUCAAAUUGGGAAAAAGGAAAACACAAAGAAAUACUGAGAAUCUUACUUGUGUUUCUGGGUGGUUAUGCUCCAAACUUUUACAUGCAUGCGGAUUCAUGUCAACAGCCCAUUUCUUGAGAAAUAAUUUUUUAAAGGAAAAUAUAAGCAUUAAAAAGAGUAAACAAAUCGGAGAAGCUAUUAAAACAUUAUAAUUAGCAAGUAAAAAAGCCUCACAGUGACAAGGUUCAAACCAGCAAGCUGUGCACCCAUGCACAACCCAGUGGACAUUGCUCCGCAACCACAGUAAAGGUCAAGCAUUGUUGCCUCUCUUUUAGAUCCAGUAGCUUGAGAAGCUUCUUCAUCCCCGGAUAUAACAGCAGCUCUUUCAUUUACUUCAGUAUCGCUGGAUAUUGUUGAACUUUCACUUAUAGCCAUCUUGUUAUCUGCACAGUUGAAAGAUAUAUAUAUAGAUGCUUAGUUAUCUUCAAAAACUGCAGCAUGUUAUCUAAUCUAGUUAGCGGUGGAAAGAAAUGCUAACUUGAAAGAUAUAUUGUUAAAUGCAUUAACCUUGUUGUAAAGCUUCAAAUGUAGAGUAAGGCAACAGAUAGUUCAUAUCACAAAAGUAGUCACAGCUUUUUGUCGCAUCGAUAGUCUCAGUAUUUUCCUGUGUGAAACAAAAGUAAGUUAGUAUCAAUGGAAGACUGCACUAAGAUGUAGUAUUACCAAAAACAGACAUUACAAAUAAAGCUGUAUAAAUGAAACAAGAACGUACAUUUAAGGGAAUCAUCAAAAUUUUGAGCCUCUUAAGUAGAGUGCCUAAUUCAUUUGUAUUUCGAUCCUUCGAGAAAAACACACGUUUUUCAUUAAUUAGAGCACUGUGCAUACCAAUUACCUGAAAGUUGAGAAAACGCCAAAACUUAAGACAAUUCAACAUAGAGAGAAGAAAAGGUAAAGAAGAAUAAACUUUUGAUUCUUACAGUAUCAGAAGCUCUAUAGAACCAUUGAGCCGUAAAGUAUAAUUUUCCAUCAGCCCCUUCGAACAUUUCAACAAUUUUACAAAUGAAAGGUGCUUUCCCUUCACCAGCCUGAGCAACAACAAAAAAAAACUUAAUUGUGAGAAAAUCAAGUUAUAUCAAUUAUCUGAAGAAAUAGGAAUCAUGACAAACAGAGACAAUACAACUGAAAUAACUUGAUUUUCUUAUAAUUAAUCCCUGCACAUCCAUUUUUCUUUUAAAAAAUUAACAAUGCUGGCACAUUAAAAAGUGAUAAAUCAUCAAACUGAAAUACCAAGAAACAAAAUGUCUUUUACAUUCCAAGUUCCACAGAUAAAUUAUCUAUCAGAAAUAUUGAAUACAGUAGACGUAACAGAGUCAUACCUCCACAUAAGCAUCAUCAUUAAGCUCAUAUGUCUGACACUCAUCAACAAUCGCACGUCUAAAAUGGCAACGUGCCCGUAUGAUCUCCUCUUCUUCAUCAUCAUCGUCAGUCCUACAAAAUGAAAUCACUUAAUCAGUCGUUUAAGAAACAGAAAUCGCAUUAAGGCGCUAAAGGCAAAGGACUCAACAACUUACUUCUUCUUUCUCUUUGCCGGAGGUUUAGGUUUCUUCACCUGAGAAUACAAAAAACAAGAACAAAAGCAAAAUUCCUUCAGAAAUCAACAGAUCUGCAACAAAUCUCUCUCAAUUUCAAACAAAUCUAACCAUUUCAUACAUAUCCCAUUUUCAAACACCCCAAGAUUUCAGUUUCGGAUAAGUGAAAUACCUCGAUUGGUUUGUAUCUAUCAGGCCAGGUAGUCUUCGCCUCCAAUUCUGGUAUAGGCUCGUCCAAGAACCUCGCAAUCGUACUAUCCUCUUCCUCUACAACUGGAACCGGCUCUUCUUUCACCGUCUUAGCUCGCUUUGGAGAACUCUUCCUUGGUUUCGGAGCGAAAUUGGUAUCGCCGUCCUUCGCCGAAGCUCUCUUACGCUUCGGCGCCAUGAUUAGAGUCGGAGAAGACGAAGCGAGCUUAACCAGAGUAAAGAAAGAGAUGAGUGAAACCCUAGAAAAAUCGUGUGACGAGUGAGUGGACUAAAUAAUAUCUGAGUAGUUUGAGUGGCGAAAUAAGCGCGUCACUCAAGCGCCAAACCAAAGUUUUGGCGUUUCGAAUUUUUUUGGGAAUUUUGUUUUUAUAUUAUUAUUUUUUAAUGAAUUUGAAAAUUUUGGGCCUAAUAAAAUGUUAAAGGCCCAUAUCUUGAUUACAGAGUCAGAAAUGUUGAGCCGUAGAGAAUAUUUAUUUUCCUUAUCGAUCUAUGAUUUAUAAUAAUGAAUAUGGUUUAAGUUGAAUUCGUUUAGUGAUCUGAUCAGUUUCGUAUCUAUAUAUUUCCAGAAAUAAACAUUUUAUUAAUAUUUACAGUCUCUACAUGGAUCGGAUGAAAAUGAUGAUAUUACCACACAAAUCUAAAGUUUAUUAGAAAAAUGAUUAUGUCUUUCCAUAAUGAUUUUUAGUUUUGAAUUUAGUGAGCAAAGAAAUUUUGUAUAUAUGUUUCCAUAUAUAAAUAUAUCAACACAAUCGUAUCUGAUCUUUCCAUGAUUCUUUUAUUCAAUUAAUUAAUCCUACCAAAAUUAAAGACUAUAGUGGAUUAGUGAUUCCGCGAACGGCGUAGGGUUGGAUUUAGUGUGUAGUUAAGAUUUGAGGAGGUCGUUUUGGAGUUAAUCAACACGUUCCAAUAAACUUGGAAACAACUAAGCAAAAAACAGAAACGUGGAACGUUGAAUGGUAACACAUGAAGGAAAAGAGAAAAUGCCUACUGAGAGUAAUGGAGUAGUGACAUUUUUUUGCAGAUAACUUCUUGACCUUCCCACUUCACUCAUGCUUGUCAUACGUUACUACUAGACCAAAAAAUUACUCAUAUUGAAUCAUGUAUAUCCACCACUUUAAGUUCAUAUUUAGCCAAUGGUUCUCUUGGUCUCUCAUAUUAUGGACUUAUGUAUAAUUGUGUAUGUAUCAAUGUAUGUAUAUGACUUACUGAAAAGGUUGGAUUGAGUAAAUUGAAAGCAUAAUAACGAUGAGGGAAGCAUAUGAAUAAUAUAGAUGUCGAUAUAAGAAUUGUGCAUUCCUCUUUUUGUCGUGAUGGCUGAAAUUAGCCAACUUUUUAUUUGGGCCUUAUUUCUUGUCUUUGGGUCCACUAUGUCUUUUUUGCUUUAUUUAUAUGUUUGUGUUAUGCAACAUAAAUAUAUUUAAAAUUAUACACGUAUAUUUAAUUUUCUUUUAAAAUAUGUAAUAGAAGGAUUGGAUUUAAAAAUGUAGCAAUUAUUUGUUUGUCAAAUAAAGUAAAGAAGAAACCCUUUAUAACUUGGUCAUUAAUCUAUAUAUUUGAUGAGAUGUUUUUUCGAAUUAUAUAAUUAAGUUGAAUUAUAAAAAAAAACAUCACGAUGAUAUGAACAUCACACACGCACACGUAAUUGACGUAUAUAUAAAUGUUACGUAAGUGUCAUGUAUACAGUAUUAACACUGUGCAGUUAAGUUCGAUACGAGUGGCUGACAUGGGCGGAGGGACAUAUUGUGACUACUUGAAAACUACGUUGUUGGAUUUUCCUAAAUUUGAUGUUGAAGUUUUGGGCCAUUUUAUACAAUUUCAUAUGGAUAGACACUAAUCGAAACAUAUGCUUUGAUAUUGUCUUGAAAAAGAUACUCCUAAUAUAGGUGCUCAUUUACCCCCCAAAAACAAAAAUGACUCUACAAGUUUUCCAAAUUUCUUGCAACUUGUGCGAGACUAGCCUUUUCACAUUAAUCACAUAUCAUAUCAUACGCUAUACUAUGUUUUUUUUUUUUCACUUCUUGAUGAUAAGUGUGCAUAUAUGGCAUACGUCUAGUCAGAAUCUUGUGAAGAAUAUAUAUAUGCAUCAUAUAACAGUAAACAACAAUAUAUCAUAUAUAUGUAUAAAUCUUAUAGCGUCGUCUCAGUUUCCGCAAGACGAUUUUGUAACAUACUAACAUCAUAUAUAUUAUAUAUACACUCAUGGAUUGAGGUCGAGAGCGACACGAAGCGAUGUGUGCAUGUCAUGGGUUAAACAGAGACGGAUAAGUACUCUGAAAAAGUAAUGAAUAGGAAGUCUAAUCGAAAGUGAAAAUGAACGUAAAAUGUCAAGAUAUAACCACGUGGUUGAUAACCAUGUUUUGAGAAAACAUCAUCAAUGAAUUGAUCGAAUAUGAUAUAUGGAUGAAUACGGCACAAGGGAUGUUUGGGAGAAGCUAAGAAAAAUAAGAAGAAAGAUAUUGAUUAUGAAAAGGAAUGGAAUAGGAAAGGAGGGAGAGACAAGAUAGAACAGCUCUUAUGUGGGGUUUAUCAAACAGUAGUUUAGUUUGGUUUCUUCCUUAACCUAAAUACCCCACGCACCAUCUUUAUACGUCUGUCUGUACAUGCAUGCAUACACACACGCACAUAUGUAUUCAUGUGUACAUAAACCCAUAUAUAACCUAUAUAACACACGUCUGCUAUAUAAUUUGGAUUAUUUUAUUUUGCAUAUCAUUUCGGUUUCGAUCGCUUACAUCAUUAUAUUUUAUAUUAACUCUGAUACAUUUUAAACAAAAAAUGCAUCACUUCCGAUUUAUAUGUAUGGACUAUUUCUAUUAGCUAAUGGUGUAACAUGUUGUGAUUCCUCAAUUAGUAAUAUACUCUACAUAUAAUUAGCAUUACCAGUAAUCAAUAUUGAUUUUGAUUUUUCUGUUUCGUUUUGGUAUCUGUCUUGCUAUAUUGAUGAUAGGUUAGGUUAUACAGCUCCAUAGGUUUGAGAUCAGAUGUGACAUACCAUGAUUUCAUAGACAAGAUCUAGAAUAUUUCAAAUUAAAUACAUAUUACGAGUCUAUUGACCAUGUAUAUAUAUGUAGAAUCCAUAUCGUAAGCUAUUUCCAGUUUUAGUAUUGGUUAAUUAAACCGUUUCUUGGUUUGUUUUGAAUAUAAUACUGGAUUUACUUUUCCAUUCUAUAUCGAACGAAUUCAAUUUAGUUUUGGAUCAAUAAAAGUUUGGAUUUAUUAAACUUUGGUACAAUGAACUUUUAACAAAAACUAGGGAAGUUCAUACACUAUAGUAGAUUUUUUAUACAUUUUCAGAGAUAUAUUUUUUAGCAGUAGCCUAGCUAUAGAGAGAUUAAACAUGUUUUUGUAUCUUCAAAACUGAACUAUUAAACAAAGGUUCUCAAUAAAGAUGGUACGAGACAAGGUAUGAUGGUGUAGAGUGGCUAUAAUAUUAUUAUUUUUUUAUGAAUAUUUUGAUAUUAUACUGAGUUCUGACUGUUCUGUAUAAUUUCAUACGAGAUAAUGUAUGAUGGUGUAGAGUACAUAUAUUGAUUGAAAGAAAUUAAUACCAUUUGCACAUCAACAACAAGAAAUGAAAGAUAUUAAUACCAUACUCUACUUGGGAGUUGGGACUAAAUAUUUCAUUCUUUCUUUAAGAUCAAAGGAAUCAAAACUAGCAUCAUAGAACAUCUGAAAUCAAUAAUUAUCACUUCUCUCUUCUUCAAAAAAACAAAAGAAAUACUAAGUAUUUUCUUGUUUCAUGAACAGUCAUAUAUGGUUCUACAGGUCUAGGUCCAUCCAUGUAGACUCAACACGAUUAUUUGAUGGGUCUAUACUCUCUAUACGUACUAGGCUACUCAGUGUGUAAAUACUAAAUAGGAUCAACAUUGGACCCAUUCACUAUCCACCUUACCUACCUCGAUAUCACUACAUGAUACUAGGAAAUUGAUUUACAUUCAAUACUAGUAUGAAAUGGCUUUAGUUGGCUACUUAUACAAAUUAAGUUAUUUGAAAAUAAAUUUGGAGUAUAAAAGUAGAGAAAGAGGCACAACUUUGAUUUAAGAUGAGCAUUGGACCCAUUUCAUUUGGUUUACCAAAAAAAAAAAGGACAAAUCUAAUUUAAAAGAAAAAAAAAAGAUGAUAGAUUAGAUAAAAGAUUAAAGGACAAGAGUAUGAUGAGUGGGAGAGAACACCUCUCUGCAUGUCUCUCCCAAGGGGAAAAAAGAAAGAGUCCUUUCCUCUCUUAUUACCUUUUUGAUUCUCUCAUCUCUUCAUUUUCCAAAUUGUACGCAAAGCUCAAUCCCUUUUACAAUUUCUUUCAUCUUUUUCAUCAUCAAAGAUUAUAUUAUAUGUGAAUUUGAUAUGAAUUGGUAGCAACACAAAACAAGUUUGUUCUAUCUCUUGAAGGUUUUAAUUUUGUGCAACUCAAAAUAGAUAUUAUCACUACAAGAAAACAUGCCAAUUUCCGACGACGAUAUUAGUCGGAAUUUUGUCGGAAAUGACAUAUUCCGACGAAUUUUCGACAAAAUCAAAUUCGUCGGAAAUCUUUGGUCGGAAAUUAAUAUUCGUCGGAAAUUGGUCGGAAAUUACUGACGAAAAAUUAUCGUCGAAAAUUUGUCGGAAAUAUUUGUCGGAAUUUUGUAGGAAAAUUUCCUACCAAUUUCCGACGAAAUUUCUCGGUGGUCGGAAAUUCGUCGGAAAUUUCUGAUCAUUUUUAUAAAUAAAUUAAAUUAAUUUUUAAAACUAUUUCCGACGAAUUUCCGACAACUAUUUUUAUUAUUUAAAAUAUAUAUAUAUAUAUAUAUCAAGAGUAUUAAAAUGAAAUUAAAAUCAAAAUAAAAAUGAAAUGAAAAUUAAAGUAAAAUUUAAUACUUAAAAUAAUAAUUAUUCAUUGUAUUAAAAACAUACAUAUAUAAAAUUUUAAAAAUGAAUUACUAAAUACAAAUAUGAAAAUUAUGAAUUAAAAAUAUAAGUGAAAAUGUAAACUUUUAAAAAUGGAUAAUGAUUCUAAAAAUUGAGAGAAGAAGAUGAGGAGAAGAAGAUGAAAUGAGAAAUUGAUUAUGUUGUAUUUUGAAUUGUGAAAUGGGUGAAUACUCUUUUGUAUAUAUAGCAAAUAUUUCCGACGAAUGUUUCGGUCGGAAAUUUGUCGGAAACUACAAAAGCGGUAAACUCAAUUAUUUUGAAUUCGUAAACGCGGGAACAUACGAAAAAUAUUCCGACAAAUUUCCGCCGACCAUAUAAUUUCCGACGAAUUUCCGACGACCGUUGAAUUUCCGACGAAUUUCCGACGACCGUAGAAUUUCCGACGAAUUUCCGACGACCGUAGAAUUUCCGACGAAUUUCCGACAACCGUAGAAUUUCCGACGAAUUUCCGACGACCGUAGAAUUUUGCGACGAAUUUCCGACGACCGUAGAUAUUUAUGACGAAUUUCCGACGAUCGUAGAUAUUUCCGACAAAUUUCCGACAAAAUUUUUUAUUUUUAAAAAUAUAUAAUUAAAAAUAAAAAUACAAAAACAAGAAUAAUAUAUGUUUCGAUUAAGUUACGACAAAAUUCCGACGACCACAAAAUUUCCGACCAACUAAUUUGACAAAUUUUCGACCACUUUUGUUUGGUCGGAAAAUUUUGCUAAUUUCCGACUAAUUUUCGACGAAUUUUAAUUCCUCGAAAAUUAGUGGGAAAAUGGUUGGAAAUUCGUCGGAAAAUUUCCGACUAUUAUUUUGGUCGGAAAUGGUGGUCGGAAAUAGAUAUGUUUUCUUGUAGUGUUACAUCUAAAUUCAUAUUCAAAUUUUGUGUCCUUUUUUUUUUUUGGUCUAAUAUAAAUUUGGUUAAUCAAUGAAUCGCAUCACAUAAUACGUUACUAUCCUAAAGAGUUAUAGUAGGUAUUACCAUGGUCAAAUAAAUUGGAUCCCACACUACCACCACUUGAAAAACCAACAUUGGUUUCUUAAAAAUAUCUAUCUAAUAGUAUAAAAUGGAAAUAAA